rnacentral:lncRNA from 1 species
CUUCUGCCGGUCAAGAAAGGCGAUCCAGGACGCCCCGUCAUCCCGAUCUCCAUCGGCAUGGUGAACUUCCCAGAACCACUCUGCGACUUUGGCUCUAGUGUCAACAUUAUGCCCAGGGUAAUCUAUGAAAAAAUCUUUACAUAUCCUUUAUUAGAAACAACCAUGUGUUUGCAGUUUGCAGAUCAGACGUUAAGUUUCCCAAAGGGAAUAUUGAAGAACCUCUGUGUUCAAGUUGGUACCUUGUACGCCCCAGCAAACAUUUAUUGCAUAGUCAAACCAUGGAUCCAGAGAAAUAAGUCAAUAAGUCAAAUCAAGAUGUGCAUGUGUGGCGAAUGAAUGGUGUAUGGUGAUGAUGGUGAUAACAAUGGUGAAUGUCUAAUUCUACUUUUGCUCUUUUGAGGGGAUACAUACCUUUCUUGCUCUUUUGAAACUUUGAGGAGAAUGAGAUGCUCUAUAUUUUUAUUUUUCCUCUCAAGUGGGUAUUUUGUACCUCUAAUUCUACUAUCGGACACUUGUCCAUUUUUACCUCUCGUCUCACUCUUUUUUUUCUUUUGAGGUUCCGGGCACUUGCCCCUUUUUAUUUCCUCGUAUCUUUUUUUAGAGCACCCAUCUCUUGAAAUAAUAUAGCAAGUGGUAGUAACCAAGAUAACUUGAGCAUUUAUUUCACAGGGGAAAAACAGAAAUGUUUUUGGCUAUUCUCUCCCGGAUUAGGAGUAGAAUAUUUUUGAGUAGUUCUCAAGAUGGAAAUGGGUGGAUAUAUGUGGAUGCGUACUUCCAGAGUAGAAGCAGCAUGUGUGAGUGAACGUGCAAGUGAAUCUUGAUUUAACCACAUGACAAGCUCCAAAGGGUCUACACAGCUUGACCACACUCAAUGCUCAUAAGCAGUAAAAAGUAAAUGUGUGGCUCAAAAUCUAGCAAGCAUGUAUAUAUGACUGUGGUAGAAAUUUAAAGUCUCAUCAUACAGGAACUCAUCAUGCAAUAUUUUAAAGAUUUUCAAAGACAAAAUUCUCCAGAAUUUUAGCAUCUCUAGGAACAGAUAAACAGCAGCUCAACCUUCUCAUAUCAUAUCUGUUAACAACUUAGACUUCAGAUCAAGUUUUCUUCCUACAAGUUCAGGUUUAGAGCAAGCUUUAAAUUAUAACAGUUAUGUCUAAACUUGAGAGAGAACUUCAAAUUUUAAAAUUAGGCAGAGCAACUAUUCAUCAUAUCCAUGCUAGAGUUUUAUUAUUAAGAUUCAGUUUAGCAUAGACACUUUAUUUAUUUAUUAAGCACACUAAUCAAAAGAUAUAUAUGUAAGCAUAAAACCUUUAUUUGGUUUUUCAUAGUUAUGUAUAUUUAUAUUUUAAUAUAGUAUAAGUAUAAAGAUAGAUAGAAAUACUUAGCGGGAUAAAUGGGGGUGCUCUGCCCCAAGCUGAAUUUUAACGUAAUUUCUUCUGAUGUAGCUAGCAGGUGGCAGAGGUGUAUUUGAAAGUCGACAGUACCCUGACAGCGAUUAGAAUGUCCUCCGUCUGCUAGUCUUCUUGAUUCUUAAAUUCUGUGGGGCUCAAAUAGACAACAAAGCUUUAUAGAACUGAUUAAGUGUUAGCAUAAAUAUCUAGCCUUUAUCAUGUUGAGCCUCUUCAAUAAAUAUUACUCUCUAUUUUUAUAUUUUCAUUUUAUAGAGAAUAGAAAAAAAUUAUUUAUUUUAUUUUUAUGCCACCACAGUGAAUGUACUUAUGGGUUUUAUGUCACUCGUAUACUCACACGGGGCUUACUGUUUUUUUAACAUUUUUAUUUUCUUUUUAGGAUAGUAUGAACAUGAUUAACUAAACAAACUAUUUUAAAUAAUUGGAAGGGAAAGGAUAACUACCAAGUUUACCUCUUGGCAAGGCAUUCGGUGUUUUUAAGUCCUCCGAACGGGACUCUCUGUUUUCUCAGUUGUCCUGGGAUUUGUUGGGUGGCGUAGUCGGUGCUUCCGGCGGCGCCUCUUCUUCAUGUAUAGUUAUCUUCUCUCUCCAAACCUGACUUGGUGCUACGGUCUCCUCUGGAUAAUUCUGUUCAAGCUGUAUGUCUUCAGACCUUACCACUUCUCCUUCGUAGUCUGCCCAUCCGUCCUUGAUGAUUUGCCUCCUCUGGUUGCGGUUGCGUCGUUUUCUUCUUGUCCUGACCUACUUAGAGUCUUCAACUAUAUAGUUAGGGUCAGUACAAUAGUGGCGUAUCUUCUCUGAGGGGAAGUGCAUAUGGACUUCUCCAGUUCCAAUAUAGAUGACUGCUUUAACGGUGCUGAGGAACGGUCUUCCAAGGAUGAUGGGUGGAUCGUAUUCGUCUUCUCCCAUGUCAAUAACCUGUCUAUUUUGACAGGGACAUCAGUUACUAUUCCUUUAACUUCUCGAAAUGUCUGAUCUGCCAUCUGGAGCUGAAUGUAUGUUGGUUUCAAGGGCAUGGUUCCGAACAAGAGCCGAUAGGUGACUGCGGCCAUUAUGUUGACGCCUGAUCCUGUGUCGCAAAAUGUCUUAUAGAAGUUGUAUCCAUUUAUGGAGCAAUAGAUGCUUGGCAUUCCUGGGUUGUCCUUCUUGGUCAGAAACGGUGACUUAGUCGAUGAUCUUGACCUCCUUGAACUGCAAUGACCAUUCUAGCUAACUCGGUCCACACUUGCUUGUUUCUAUUCCUCGUGUUGGUCCUCUUCCUUGGUUCAUGUCGAGAUUGCUCUGGGAUUUGUGUAGUUUUGUUCUUGAAGAAAAUGUCUCCUUCCUCCCUUUGAUAUAGAAACUAAUCUUGGCAGCACUAGCGUAGAUUAUAGCUCCCGAGGUGUUUAAGAAUGGCCUCCCUAAGAUGAUGGGUGCCCUCUCAUCAUUACCGGUCUCUAUCACCACGAAGUCUACUGGGGCGUACAAGGUACCAACUUGGACGCAGAGGUUCUUUACUAUUCCUUUUGGGAAACUUAUCGUCUGAUAUGCAAACUGCAAACACAUGGUUGUUUCUAAUAAAGGAUAUGUAAAGAAUUUUUCAUAAAAUACCCUGGGCAUAAUGUUGACACUAGGGCCAAAGUCGCAGAGUGCUUCUGGGAAGUCCACCAUGCCGAUGGAGAUGGGGAUGACGGGGCGUCCUGGAUCGCCUCUCUUAACCGGCAGAAGGUCAAUAGUAACUUCAGUGACGGGGUUACUCCAGUUACCUGCAUCAAACAUGUCUACAAGAUUUGCAGAUUCUAAUCCUUCCGGUUGUGAUGGUAUACCGGGGUUAGUAGCAGGAACAACAGCAACUAUUUGAUUUAACUGAGAUUCAAUAAUUUUAUGAAAGCUAAUUUGAUUCUUGAUGGUAGUAGAGAAAUUAUCCAUUCUAUUAUUUAUAUUUUCUAGCAUUUUAUCAUUAGAUGCUAAUUUCUUAGAUAGGUUAUCCAUUAGCUUUCCUUGAUUAGACACUAACUCUCUCAAAGGUAGAAAAUUAUUAUUAUUAUUGUAAGAAUUGUUACCUUGAUAAUUACCUGAGUAGUUAGGCCUUUGUUGAUUCCAACCUUGAUUUUGUUGAGGACGGUUGUAGUAGUUGUUGUUGUUAUUGUUGAUGUAGUUCACAUCCUCAAGCAACUCAGGCAGUGAUUGCCUGAGUGUCCAGUAUCUCCACACUCCUCACAAGUCAUGUGAGAGUCGUAGAUGUGCAUAACUUCUUUCUUAUCUCUAGCUCUAUCAUCGAGCUUCUUCAUGAGCACGUCUAGCUUUGCAGACAGCAUGUCUACCUCCUUGAGCUGAUGCAUACCUCCACCUUUCUUGCGUGUCUGGGUCCUCUCUUCAUUCCAGCCUUUGUUGGAUGUCAUCUUCUCCACAAGAGCUGUGGCUUGUGAUAUGGUGAGUGAUAAGAAUGCUCCUCCAGCUGCAGCAUCCAUGGUCUCUCGGGCACUGUUGCCGAGCCCAUGAUAAAACGUCUGCAUCAGUAGCCAGCUCUCCAUUCCAUGAUGGGGACAUUCUAGGAUGUAGUCUUGGAAGCGCUUCCACGCUUCUGGAACGGAUUCAUCAUGUUGUUGCUGAAAACUUGUAAUUUUCUCACGGAGAGCAAUGGUCUUGCCCAUGGGAAAUAACUUAGCCAGAAAGUUCGUGGAGCAGAGUGCCCAUGUAGUAUUCUUCUCCUUUGUAGCGUAGAACCACUACUUCGCUCUUCCUAACAGUGAGAAUGGGAAGAGACGAAGUAGUAUAGCAUCUCUGGGGACUCCUGAUAUGGUGAAUGUGCUGCAAAUUUCGAGGAAGUGUUGGAGAUGAGCACUAGCAUCUUCAUGUGCCUCCACAGAACUGAUCGGAUUGCACCAUGUUGAUAAGUCCAGGCUUGAGCUCAAAGUUGCCGUCGAUAUCUACAGCAGGUCCAGUACGGAUGUUGUCCGUAGUGGGAGCUGAGAACACGCGGAUUGAUUUGUUCCCCAUGGCUUCGAAUUCUGAAGACAAGUUCCGGUGGUCUUCUUGAUUGGAUGAAGCUUCUUGCUGAAGUGUUGAUGAUCUCUUCUUGAGCUCGGCUCUUGUUUGUCUGAAUAACGCUUCGGGAUUGUCAACAAAAUUUCCUCGAAGAUGUCUUCUAUUUAUACAUUACCCUGCAUAAAAUAAAAUAGAAAAAUAUCGGGAUAAAACUAUAUGAGAGAAUUGAUAAGUUCAAUCAUAUUAGUGAUGCGAAUGAUGACUCAAAAUUCUAUAUUCAUUCCUGAUUAGUAAUCAACCUUCCCCGACAACGGCGCCAAAAAUACUUGUUGGGCAUUCUUAACGUCACUACCAAAAGUAGACUUAGUUUUCUAAUUCUUAUAACGGCGCCAAAAAUGCCAAACCUAUCCCUCAUGCCACUUAAGCCAAGUUGUCAUCCCCAGCAUGACAUAAGAGACUCGGUAUAUAUUGAAAUAUUGAAUUGCUCAUCUAAAUAAAUAACAAAUGGGAUCUGUAAGCGCACAGAUUAAUAUCGAUGUAGUAUUUUAACCGGGAAGUAUUCCGGGUAUCAUUAUUUAUAUUUUUACCACUGGGAAGGGAUUAGUAAUCAUCAAUGUUGAUUAUAGAAUGAAAUAUAGAAUUGAGUAUCUAUCAUUCUAUGUAUAAUUGAGAACAUUUAUCUAUCUCUAACAUGACAGGACUACGCCCAUGCAUAGUGAUAUUAUCAAGGAAUAUGAGAAACAUCGCAAUCACUACCCUAUAAUAAUAUUGCUCUGCCAGCCCUAUACACGAGAGGGGGACUAUAUAAGAAUCAAUGGAGCUGUCACUACCACGAACUACCCCGCGAUCUGGCAUAUAGGGUACAAUCGCAGAUAAAUACGGUAUAAGCACCACGCCUAGACAAUAUAUAUCAUUUACCCAUCCGAUGGAUAAAUGUUGUACGAUCCUAAACAUGUAUAUAAUUCCAAUCUAACUAAGCCAAGUAUAUAACUAUGAUAAACUAAGAACAAUAUAAUUGCGAAUAUAAACGAGUAGAGCAAAGUCAUAAUCAAUAUAUUGAAGUAGAACAAAGUCAUAUUCAUAAUAUUGAAGAAGAAAGAUGAACAAUCGAAGAACAAUAGAGAAUUACAAAGAAUCCUCUUGACAGAUCCGGAAACCAAUCGAAGAUUGACUCCUAGUUCUAAUCCUAUGUAGCUAUGCUAAUCUAGAUAUCUAAUUGAUGUGGUGGCUCUAGGCUUGAACAGAGGCUUCUUCUCCCUUGAUGAAUAAUGAAUUAGGGUUGAGAGGUCCCCUCCUCUAGGGGCCUGGGGGUCUGGUUUUUUAUAGUCCUUCUAAGUGAAUAUGGGUCGUCGGAUCAAACCGACAUUGAUUGAACGUUAUCCUUGAUAGGUCGGUGGAGCAUAAUCCCUGAAACGAGUUCUGAUUGGACUCCAAAGGGGGGCGGGCGCCCUGGGCCAGGCCCCGUUCUGCCUCCGCUUCGUUCACGUGGCUUCUGGAGUCUUCUAGAUGUAAGAUAAUUGCGCGGUACGUUAAUAUCUCUAUGUAAUCCCGACGUGUGGGCCUUUCUUCCGUAUUUCCCGAUAACCCCCUGCAGAAAUAGACAAACACGAAAACUCGUGGAAUUCUAUUAGAUAAAACCCUAGUCUAGAUGUUGAUUUCAUUUGGAUCCUUUUCUUUGUUUAUUUGAUAAUUAAAUUUGAUACUUAAGGACCGUCAACAAAUAGUUGCUCUGCCUAAUUUUUAAAAUUUGAGUUCUCUCUCAAGUUUAGAUAUAACUGUUAUAAUUUAAAGCUUGCUCUAAAUCUGAACUUGUGGGAAGAGAACUUGAUCUGAAGUAUAAGUUGUUAACGGAUACGAUAUGGGAAGGUUGAGCUGCUGUUUAUCUGUUCCUAGAGAUGCUAGAAUUCUGGAGAAUUUUAUCUUUGAAAAUCUUUAAAAUAUCACAUGAUAAGUUCCUGUAUGAUGAGAGUUUAAAUUCCUACCACAGCCAUAUAUACAUGCUUGCUAGAUUUUGAGCCACACAUUUACUUUUUACUGCUUAUGAGCAUUGAGUGUGGUCAAGCUGUGUAGACCCUUAGGAGCUUGUCAUGUGGUUAAAUCAAGAUUCACUUGCACGUUCACUCACACAUGCUGCUUCUACUCUGGAAGUACGCAUCCACAUAUAUCCACCCAUUUCCAUCUCCAGAACUACUCAAAAAUAUUCUACUCCUAAUCCGGGAGAGAAUAGCCAAAAACAUUUCUAUUUUUCCCCUGUGAAAUAAAUGCUCAAGUUAUCUUGGUUACUACCACUUGCUAUAUUAUUUCAAGAGAUGAGUGCUCUAAGAAAAUAUACGAGGAAAUAAAAAGGGGCAAGUGCCCGGAACCUCGAAAGAAAAGAAAAGAGUGAGACGAGAGGUAAAAAUGGACAAGUGUCCGACAGUAGAAUUAGGGGUACAAAAUAGCCACCUGAGAGGAAAAAGAAAAAUAUAGACCAUCUCAUUCUCCUCAAAGUUUCAAAAGAGCAAGAAAGGUAUAUAUCUCCUCAAAAGAGCACAAGUAGAAUUAGACUUUCACCAUUGUCAUCACCAUCAUCACCAUACACCAUUCAUUCGCCACACAUGCACAUCUUGAUUUUACUUAUUGACUUGUUUCUCUGGAUCCAUGGUUUGACUAUGCAAUAAAUAUCUUGUAAGUAUGUAUACUUUAUCUCCCACCUAUGAGCUCCAGAUAUCAAAAGCCUUAUUAGAGUAGGAUGAGAGAGAAGGCAAUGUCACUAUGCCUUAUACCACAAAUACCACAUAUUUUGAGAGAAGGCAUGUACCAUCACUGCCUUGGUAAGGAUCCAGAAAUACCACAAAAGAGAGAUCUGAGAGAGUCAUACAAGGAAUCUGUGAGUUUUAUUUGAAAAUCUACAAAAACUCCAGAGCUAUAGCUGAUCAAGAAUAAGAGACAUGGCACUUGAUUAGACCGUUCUAUCUUUUAACUGCUCAAGACAGAAGUGACGGUUACAAGUCCCAUGGUUAACGGUAAUAUGAGUAAGUUUUAAGUCUUGACAGUUUAUUCUAACUCAAAGAUGAGACCUCAUUUAAAAGCAUGUGUACUGUCAACUUUUAAAGGCAUUUUAGCAACUUCUGAUCCAUCACUGAGAUUAUCCUUGCUCAGGGACGAGCAAGAGGUAAGCUUGGGGGAGUUUGUUGACGGUCCUUAAGUAUCAAAUAUAAUUAGCAAAUAAAUAAAGAAAAAGAUCCAAAUGCAACCGACAUCCAGACUUAGGGUUUAAUCUGACAGAAUUCCAUGAGUUUUGGUGUUUGUCUAUUUCUGCAGGGGGUUAUCAGGAAUUAUGGAAGAAAGGCCCACACGUCAGGUUUACAUAGAGAUAUUAACGUGCCGCGCAAUUAUCCUAUAUCUAGAAGAGUCCAGAAGCCAUGGAAACGAACGGGAGACCGGACGGGCUCGGGGGCAGGGCGCCCGCCCUCCCCCCUUGGGCGCUCGCCCUGGCCUCGGGGCCAAUCACAGCCAACUUCGCGGAUCAUGCUCCACCGACCUAAAAGAUCAAGGAAAACCGUGCGAUUAAUGUCGGUUUGAUCUGACGGCCCAUAUUCACUUGGAAAGACUAUAUAACCAGACCCCCUGGCCCCUGGAGGAGGAGAGCUCAGACCCUUAAUUCAUUAUUCAUCUCGGGAGAAGAAGCCUCUGAUCAAGCCCUAGAGCCACCACAUCAAUUAGAUCUUUAGUUUAGCAUAGCUACAUAGGAUUAGAACUAGAAGGAGUCAAUCUUCGAUUGGUUUCCGGAUCUGUCAAGAGGAUUCUUGGUAAUUCCUCUCUUGUUCUUCAAUUGUUCAUCUUUGUUCUUCAAUAUUAUGAAUAUGACUUUGCUCUACUUCAAUAUAUUGAUUAUGACUUUGCUCUACUUGUUUAUAUUCGCAAUUAUAUUGUUCUUAGUUUAUCAUAGUUAUAUACUUGGCUUAAUUAGAUUGGAAUUAUAUACAUGUUUAGGAUGGUAUAGCAUUUAUCCAUGUGUACAGUGGGUAAAUGAUAAGUAUUGUGUAGGCGUGGUGCCUAUGCCGUUUUUAUCUACGAUUGUACCCUAUAUGCCAGAUCACGGGGUAGUUCGUGGUAGUGACAGCUCCAUUAAUUCUUAUAUAGUCUUCCUCUCGUGUAUUGGGCUGGCAGAGCAACAUUAUUACAGGGGAGUGAUUGCGAUGUUUCUCAUAUUCCUUGAUAAUAUCACUAUGCAUGGGCGUAAUCCUGUCUCGCCAUGAUUGCCAAGUAUAAUUGCACUAACUAUGAUAUGCUGUAUAGUUGAGAAUAACUUAGGAAAUAUUCUUGUAGUUCGUCCUAAUUCCAUGCUAAUGACUUGCUAGAAUAUCUAUUGAGGUGCUUAUCAUAUUUAUAUGUGGCUAAGUUAUGCUGAUCAGAUUAAUUAUCUUUGUCACCAUUUAUACUUUAUCUAUAUCUUUUAUGUGACACUUAUCCCUGUAUGAAAGAGAUAGAUAGAUGCUCUCAAUUAUACAUGCAAUGAUAGAUACUCAAUCCUAUAUUCCAUUCUAUAAUCAACAUUGAUGUUUAGCAAUCCCUUCCCAGUGGUAAAAAUAUAAAUAACGAUACCUGAAAUACUUCCCGAUUAAAAUGCUACAUCGGUAUUAAUCUGUGCGCUUGCAGAUCUCAUUUAUUAUUUAUUUAGAAGAGCAAUUGCAUAUUUCAAUACCACGUCUCUCAUGUCAUGCUGGGGAUGACAACUUGGCUUAAGUGGUAUGAGGGAUAGGUUUGGCAUUUUUGGCGCCGUUAUCAGAAUUAGAAAACUAAGUCUACUUUUGGUAGUGACGUUAAGAAUGCCCAAUACUUGUUGUCGUAGAAGCCUUAAGAAAUGAGUUUGGCAUUUACCCUGCAGAUUUUAGUUAUGCAUUGAUAUCACAAAAUAUAUCACAGUUUGAAGCAAUGAAAGAAGCAUUGGAAGAUAUCAUACAGUCAUACUUUAAAAUGAAUGAAUCUAUUGCUGGAUACAUUGAUGCAUUGAAUGUUUUCAUAUGUGAUUUGAGCAAGUGGUUAACUUCAAGGAGUGAUUCAGCGGAUGUAACGACAGUUUCAGCUGUGAAGGCUAUGCAUAACUGCGCAACUCAAUCUUCAAAUGCACUGAGUAAAGGGAAAAAUACACACGCAGAUGUGGUUGCAGUGAAAUCUACACUAGAAUCUUUCCCUCAAGGGUUGCGUAGACUCAUCAGAACUGCACCUAUGCCAAUGGUAAUGAACCAAAUAAUGCUGAUAUUAAAAUGCCUAGUAUAUAUUUGAAAUUGUAUAGUGCCAUAAAAAUUAUAAAUCAUGCUUGAUUACUGUAAUAAUGUUUAUAUUUUUGCAGAUGCUGAACUGGGAGGCAUCAUAUUAGAUCAUGAAACUUGAGUUCAAAGCGGUUGUUGCAAAAAUAGGAGUAUAGGCAACAGAGCCAGAGGUUUCAGUGGUUUCUCAAGGAAAAUACAAGGCAAGAAUUACAGUGUCAGUUGAACCAUACCAUUUCAACUCCGAAGCAUGCCAGAGCCAACUAUCAGCAAAGGCUAAGGUGAUGUACAUCGCUCUUAAAUACAUGAAUGAAAUGAAUGGAUGCAGCGUACUAGACAUGAACCACGAAAGCAGGCUAUACAUACAGAACAUGAUACAGGGAUUUGACAUACAUGUGAAAAUGGUUACAAGGUGUGCUGGUCAGUUGUUUAAACUUAACAAUUCAUUUUUAGAACAAUUUACAAAGAUGUUGCAGGAAGUGGGGUCGAAAAUUUCAAUGCAUUCAGAUUCCAAUGAAGUACUCCAUUCAAUGGCUAACACUAGGAUUAGAGUGUCAGCAGUCAAGGCCGAAUUCUGUCUCGCUUUGUAUACUUUGAUGACAAAAAAGGUGAGAUUUCAUUUGACAUCUCGUCUUUUAUCAUAUUCUCGGUGACAGGAGUAAUUGCCUUGACUAACAUUAACAACCUCUAAUGUCUUGAUAGGUUGAAAGAUCUUCAAUUGAACGACGCCACUCUAGAUAAACAAGAAAUCGGCAUGAAUACGAACUGGAAGCAUCUGUUCAAGCUUUUGAGGAUCCAAGACGUACAAAGUUGUAAUCAGGGACCAAUCCGUUACUGAUGCAAACCCUGUUGUUGCUCCAGAUCUGUCUUCCGAACCAUGCUUGAUGUUACCAUAAGUACGCCAUGCCGGGUUGUAUUAGUAAAAGAUUUAAAUAACAUAUAUUGCAUCUCCUGAACUAAUCUUGUUCAUAAUUGGUUUCACGAAAUUUAGUUACAAGAGAAAUAUUCAGUUACAAGGUUACACAACCGAAAGAUAUUACAAAAAUAUAAGUUUCAUACUAGGUAAUCUGUAGUAGUACGGUACACUGGAUACUUAAUGAAAUGGUUUAGACAAAAUAAUAACAAUGAUAUAUAUACCUCAGGUAGUGAAGUUUAAUACACCUAGGAUGCAAGAACAUCAGCGAUCAAACGAGUUUUCUCACGACUAGGAUUCUCUUCAUCGGUGCUGUUGUGCUUGUUACGCUUCUGCUCUUGUUCCCAGGACUGAAGACUAGAAUGAGAUGGCCUACCCUUCUUUAUGGGCCUAUCAGGACAGCGGAUAUUAGAUGGCACACCGAUAGAUCUUCCAACAUUGGUGUUUCUUGACAUAGGUUGUAAUGGAGAGAUGUCUUGCACCAUAGAAUUUGACUGUGCCUUUGCUUGAUCAAUAACACCCAUUACUUCGCUAUACAUAUCAUCUGUGAUUGGAUCAGGACCAUAAACCAUCUCUAGUACUCGAUUCACUAAUGACCUUUUCUUCAAUAAGUUUGACGACCCACAAAUUGAUUCAAGCCCGGAAUUAACUUUGCUGUGCUCAGUUCUUUCAUCAAUGUUCUUCAUCCAACGAACCAUCAAAUUAUUGGUCAGGAUCUCUUUAACAUCCAAGUGUACAAGAUCCUAAAAUUAAACAUGGAACAAAUCAUAAUAAUAAAACAUCAUGCAUGACAAGAUGUCAACGGGCAAAAUAAAGAAAAGUUUGCAUCAUCGACACAGCAUCUUACCUUAAGGGAGUGCCUCCAUAGGAGACCUAUAUGUUCAAAAUACCCACACUGACAAGUAAUCUUGUCCGCUGAUGCAUAAGACACCUUAUACAAAACCUGGUCCGAAUUCCCAUCAUAAGAACUGUGAGCUACUUCAAAAACCUCGUUACCCAAACGACUUUUGAUAGCAUAUGAACCAGAAUAGAACAAUUCGUUGUAGAACUUCUCAUAAAUUCUCCUUGUAUAAACCAGUUCAGCAUGUCGCUCAAUAGGAACACCAACUCGUCGCUUGCGACAUUUCUGUUAGUAGAUAAAAUCAUACUAGUACAAAUCAAUAUUUGCAUAAUAAUUUCAAUUGAAUAUUAAGGUCGCUACUCAUGUAAAGUUUAUGGGCCAUACCUGUUUGGUGACAUAAACCUCCUUAUCUUCCUGAUUCGUUGCGGUCCAUCUGUAGCUCAUUAAAUUUCCGAACAAACAUAUGCAUCGGUGCAGACCUCUGUAUAAACUGCUUCAGCAUAUGAUUUGCACUUUCACUCCUUUGCGUACUGGUCAUCCCAGCAAAAAAAAUACCCAUGAAGUAUGGUUUCGCCCACUUUGCACGGUGCUUAAAUAUUCUGUUCAUAAACUGAUUCUCAAUAAGAUAAUAUUUCCGCAUUAACUGCCUCCAUUUCCGUUCAAACCUAUUUUGGUUCGUUUCUUCGGUAACAAGUUUAUUAAAUUCUUUCUUAAAGUUACUUUUCUUGCUAUAUACCAGACCAACUUUUUGCUUAGUCUUCCUUAGAACAUGCCAUCGACACCACCUGUGAUUUGCAGCUGGAAAUAUAGAUUUAAUGGCAGCAGCCAUGGCUUGACACUGAUCUGAAAGUUUAUUUGUAACAAAGAUAUCAAAAAACUUCUAUUGAACCAAAUGAAAAUGUGACGUCAAAUAAUACAAAAAGUGAGGCCUAAUCACGAACCUGUGAGUAUUGUCUGCAGUUGCUUGCCAAACAUAAUUUCAGAAAACUUACUGAAUGCCCACUCAAAAUCCUGUACCUUCUCGUUGGUCAACACACCACCAAACACAAUUGACUGAAAAUGAUUAUUAACACCAAUAAACAGCCCGAAACGAAGGUUAUAUAAAUUGGUGCGGUAUGUUGUAUCAAAUGUAACAACAUCGCCAAACUUAGCAAAGUCAGCCCUAUUCUUUCCAGUGCACCACAGCAUAGACUUAAUCUUUCCGUCGUCAUCAAGUUUAAAUCUGAUUUCCAUUCCUAAAUCUUUAUUUUUCAUCUGCUCAAGCAGGUCAAUUGUCUUCCCAAUAUCAUCCUUGAUAUUCUCUUGAGCUAUACUAGCACAUAGAGAUCUGACAGACUCUUUUGUUAUGGGAAUUGCUGAAUCUGAACCAUGAACUCCUAAAAUACUACAUACCCUACCUAUGGGUAUGUUAUUUUCACGAAGCUUACGAACAAAGUCCUUUGUCAUGGGAUCAAUAUCACUAUGUGAUGGCCAAUGUUUAUUCUGUCCAUAAGUUGCAGAGCAGAGAUGGUUGUGUUCCCUCUCGAAACGAGAAAUUACCCAUCCAUGAUCAAGUGUACGAUGAAGCCUAAUCAUAGCUUUGCAACCUGUCCUGUACGAAGCUGCACUGGUAUUGGGACAGAGACCCUUUUGGAGAAAAAACAUGAAACACAUCAGUACAUGAAUAACUUGUAACAUUCGUGCGAAAGUUAGCUAGAGACUCUGUGGUACAUAUAAAAAAACUUGCUGAUGCUGGAAUGAGGAGGACCUCGCAUGAGCAUACGAAGUCGAGCCUAGUUGUAUACUUGUUGUUGUUGACUCUACUUCGACCAGUUCUAAUACCAAAACCAAUUUCCCAAGAAUAUAUAUUAUAAAAGUCUUUUGCUUCUUUUGCCAAAUUGAACUCCAUGCCAACUACUGGAAUGAAAACAGGCUCCAAAGGUCGAUUGCUUGCAGUUCGCAUAGCCUGUGAUAUAGCACUUUCUUCCAACGGAGAAGAUUUUGAGUCAGGACCAUGCUUGGCCCUCUUCCUGACAUAAAGAAACUAUACGAACUCAAUAGCGUAAAUAAAAGUAAAUUAGUCACAGAAAUAUCUGAACGAAACCGUGUGUUAACCGUAACUACUUAAAACCAGUAUAUUAAGAAUACUGCAUAUAAUUGUGAAUUGUCUUUGUUAAUUACCUCUUUAGACCAUUAGACUCUUGCCCGCGAUAAAUCAGAUUUGCCGCAGACGCUGAAAACCAAUAUAAUACGACAACAAAUAUCAUAAUUACCAAAUCGAGGCGAGCAAAAUUGAAUAGGUUGAUACAUACGAGAUUAAACAGAUCUUAAUGGCACUAGGCAUCCAAAAAUUAAAAGUUUACCUGCGAUUAGCGGACUGGACAUUCCAUCAUUUCCCUGGAAACUUUCAAUCAAGAAGGACGGUUGCAGCUCCAUUCAAACAGUAGAUUGGGCGACACAUAGGUCGACCUCAGUGGCUCUAUGACCACUCAUGUGACUCAGCGUGAUGAAGAAAUAAGAAGAUGAAAGAAGAUGCAGGGGAUCGACAUAGAAUCAAGCGGCUUUAAAUUUCAUGAUUGACAACUAAGUGUACUGUAUAUUGUGGCCCCCACUUAGUGUGAAAAUUCGAAAGAGGUACCCAAAUCCCGCCACACUGAAAAUUCUAUACGCCAUGUCAUCAAUUUUAAACAAGAUUACAGAAUCCUAAGCGGAAAACAUUUGAGCCACGCGUCAAUCAUCCAGUACAUAUUCAUUAAAUCAGGGUCGUUCAAUAGUAUGGGUACAUAACCCCUGGGGUAUCACAUCAUUUACCCCUGCAUGACGUGCUCUGGCGGUGGUGGCGUGCCCUCGUCGUCGUGCGGUGCGGACGACGUGCCCUGGCUUGCGUUGGCAGCGCACCCUCAGCGGGGACACGAUUAGACGCGCGGCACGGGUCCCCUGGGGUGGCCUGGGCAGACCAGCCGUGGGGCUCCCCUCCGUCUCGCGCUGGCUGGUAGCACCGCAGUAGCCCCUUCCUCACCAGCGACGGCAGCUGCCUUCUUCUGGCCAUCAGCUGCCUCUUUCUCGCCAUCGAUCGACGGCGACAGGGAGGCUAGUGUGAUGGCAUGCGCCAGGCACACCUGGGGAAGUCGCCUGCACAUCCAGCGGCACCGGUCGUGUAUAGCCUAGUGGCGGCGGUGUGUCCUCAUCGGCGGCAGGUCUCGGUGCUGACACAGCCCCCUCCAGCGUGCAUGGAUUGGGUGGUCCUGACAGUCUCCUUCGCCAUGGGCCUCCCGCCCUCUCCGGCGUAGAGAGUCAUGGCUCCUACGUGUGCCAGUCCUACUCCUGCGUGCCCCUGAUGAUUUUUUUUUUCAGAUGAUUGCUAUUUGCUACCGCAGGCUAACUAAAGUUCUAAACCUUUGUUGUUUGACUCGAUCUAAGAUUUAUCUAUGUUGUGUAGGCGAAUGUAGGCCAUGACGCUGUAGGCGAAUGUGUUACAGGUCGGGCUCUCGUUAUAGCUGAACAGGUGUGGUUUUGGAAGUGCCACAAGAGCUAGGCAGAUUAAUCAUUUUUGACGUAGUGUAUGAUUAUCUUGUAUUUGGUUCAAUUUGGUUCAUGCACUAUUGAUGUAGUAUCUUCACUUUGGUGAUAAUUCCCAAUGAUUAGUAAUUAAAAAUAUUCUGAUUAAAGAUCAGGCAACCUGUUAAUUAUUACACACAAUUUUACCACUCACUUGUCAAUACGGAAUUAUUUCUUAAUAAAAUGAAAAAUUAGGCUAGUCUCAGUGGGAGUUUUAUUUGAGUUUCAUUCACACUAAAUAGGCUGCCACAUAGGCAUUUUGGAUGACAUGGCAGUGUAUUUAAGAAGAGAGAGAGAAGAAAUGAAUUUCAUCUUGAUGAAACUCUCUUGGCACGAUUACCAACUCUCUCUAUGAAACUAUGAAAUGAAACUCUCCAUUAAGAGUGGAUGUUUCAUACAAGUUUCAUUUCAUUUUAUAUGACAUGGCAACCUUGGAAACAACACUAUGAAACUCUCCACUGAGACUGGCCUUAGUAACAAAAAGUCUAUCUGCAGAGCGGAUGCCAUAUUUAUUAGGACAGGCAAAUUUACCGCACAUAGUCAACCUUUUAUUACUAAAAUUGUCAUUGCAAAUUAUAAAAUAUACCUUGGUCACCAUAAAGUUGGCUCUAAUAUUUACGAAUCCAUCUAGGCUUAUGGCAAGGUAUUUUAUAGAUCAUAGUUAGAUAACAUUAGUAAUAAAAAUGGGACCGGAGAGCGAAUGCCUGGAUGAAUAUGACAGCCAAUUUAACUGCUCAUAGGUAAGGAUGAAAAUAUUUAUAGACCAAAAUACCAGAGAUCGGACAUGUUAUUGAUUAUUGCAGCAAAUUUUACUACACACAUGUCCAAAAACAAAAUUAAUUAUAAGCUUAAUUGAUACUAUUAGUAAUAAAAAUCCUCCCAUCCGGCCCGGUAGAUCAGCACAGGCAAAAUUACUACUCAAAAAUCCCGAUGAAAUUAUUAACAGACCAAACAAAAGUAUUACUAAUAAAAUGAUACUAUCAGUAAUAAAAAAUACUUUGCUGACUACCACAUGCAAACUUAUUACUCACAGGUUUGGAUGAAAUUAUUUACUCAACGAAAUAAUAUUAUCUGUAAUAAAACAUUUCUAACCGGAGACUAGACACACGGGUGAUAAAAACACACGUAAAUUUACUGCUCAAAAGCGAGAAUGCAAUUAUUCACUUAACAAAAUGGUACUAUCAGUAAUAAAAAAUACUUCGCUGAUUACCACAUGCAAACUUACUGCUCACAGGUUUGGAUGGAAAUAUUUACUCAAUGAAAUAAUAUUAUCAAUAAUAAAACAUUUCUAACCGGAGACCAGACACACGCGUGAUAAACACAGGUAAAUUUACCGCUCAAAAGCCAGAAUGUGAUUAUUAACUUAACAAAAUGAUACUAUCAAUAAUAAAAAAGUUUUGCCAAAGAUCGGACAUGCUGGUGCUUAUAGCACUGAGAAAUUUAUUGCUCACGGACUAGGAUGGAAUUAUUUUUGUUAUAAAAUGAUACUAUUAAUAAAAAAGUUUGAUCCGAGAUCAAACACUGAUUAGCAUAGAGAAAUUUACUACUCACAGGUUAGGAUAGAAUAAUUUUAUAUAAAAAAUAACACUAUUAGUAAUAAAAAUUAAUCUAACCAAAGACCAGACACCUGUUGCUUAUCAUAUCUAAAUUUACCACUCACAUGUCAGUACGGAUUUUUUAUUAACAAAAUGAUACGAUUAGUAAUUAAAAAGUCUAUCUGCAGACCAGAUGCCCCAUCGAUUAGUAGAUGCAAAUUUACCGCACACAGGCAACCUUUUAUUACUAAAAUUGUCAUUGCAAAUUAUAAAAUAAAUUUGGUCAAUAUGAAGUUGGCUCUAAUAUUUACGAAUCUAUCCAGGCUGUGACGUCAAGGUAUUUUAUAGAUGAGAGUGUCUGGACAAAAUUAUUUAUUAGUCCAAAAGAUAAUAUCAGUAAUAAAAAAUAGCCUGACCAGAGAGCAUGCCUGGAUGACUAUGACAGUCAAUUUAACAGCUCACAGGCAAGGAUGGAAAUAUUUAUAGAUUAGAAUGAAAAAUCCUAGUAACAAAAAAGUCUGACCAGAGAUUGGAUAUGUUGGCGACUAUUAUAUCAAAUUUUACUAUACAUAUGUGCGAAUAGAAUUAUUUAUAAACUUAAUUGAUACUAUUAGUAACAAAAAUUCCCCCAUCCAGCUUGGUUGAUUAACACGGCAAAUUUAAUGCUCACAAAUCCUGACAUAAAUAUUAACAGACCAAACGAUAAUAUUAGUAAUAAAAAAUAGCCUUCCAGAGACCAAACAUGCUGAUGAUUAUUAUAGCAAAUUUUACUGUACGCGGGUCUAGACAUAUAGUAAUAAAUAAUAGCUUGACCAGUUAUCUGAUACGUCGGUAACUAUCACAGCAAAUUUUUUACGCAUAUGUCAAGAACGAAUUAUUUAUAGCUCAAAAUAAUAAUAUUUGUAAUAAAAAUCAUCCAACUGCGUCAUAAGUUAAAUAUGGAGAAUAAUAAAAAAAUAAUGAGCAAGAAAACCACGUAGGCUGGACGCCUGGGAUAAAAGCUGCCGGACCAAAAUUAUUUAGGAAAGACAAUGAUAAUUAUAGUAAUAAAAAUGCAUAUGGAUAUUAGACAUGCACCGGUAAAUUGCAAAUCGUAUCUGAUAACUAUACUAGUAAUAAAAUACAAUGACACUGUCCUUUCAAGGAGCCGCCAUGGUCUUUCAAGAUGCAACACGACGUAAAGUAAUAUUAUUUAUUCAUGAUGAUUUGCCAUAUAUUUCCAAGCAUUUCGUUACUUUCUAAAAUAAAAAAACAGCAACAGGUCAAUUCCAUCUAUCGUGCAUUCAAUGCUCCAGCGACAAAAUUGACGCUAUAGCUGUGACUGAUUGGAGUCUGCUGCCUUUCAUUACUGCGCUUUAGGCAAGACCUAAAUCAGAUACCCAUUCAAUAAUUUGGGUUAUACACAGUAAAAAGGUCACCUCCCCAAAAACUUGGCUUCUCCAACAGCUUACGCAACUGAUUUGCGCCCGUUGCGGAUCCGUGUCGCCCUGCUCCCUGCCUUGCCCUGCCGGCCGCACGCCACCGCAGCAGCCAGGAGCAGCGCACGGCACCAGGAGCAGUGCCUGCGAGGAGGAAGAAGGGGAGGGCGCCCCACCUUGGUGUCCUCGCCCGGCCUGCGAGGAGGAAGAAGGGGAGGGCGCCCCACCUUGGCGUCCGUGCCCCGCCUUCGAGGAGGAAGAAGGGGAUCGAAGGGCGCCUCACCUUGGCGUCCGCGCCUGGCCUGUGAGGAGGAAGAAGGGGAGGGCGCCUCACCUUGGCGUCCGUGCCCCGCCUGCAAGGAGGAAGAAGGGGCGGGCGCCCCACCUUGGCGUUCGUGCCCCGCCUGUGAGGAGGAAGAAGGCACUACAAGAAAUGUGUUGAUACAUGACGGUUUUCUAGUGACGGUUUGUGAAACCGUCAUCGCAUACUGAAUCUAUGACGACCUUGUCAUAGUUUGAGAAUUAAGUAGUAACUUUGUGAUAGUUGCAACUAAGGGUCACUAUCACAGCUAUUUGUGAUUGAAAGGAUCUAAUUGGCCUAGAGGGGGGGUGAAUAGGCGUACUAAAAACCUGAAACUCAAAAACUCAAGUUGCGGAAGUCAAAUGCCUGUCGGUACCACCGACACUACGGGCCGGUACUACUGGUGUAAAACAGCCAGUACUACCGACGCAAACUGCUGGUACUAUCGACUCCCUAAAACAACUACGAAAUUAGAGUGUAAUGAGCUUAGAUUUUAGAUCUGAGUGUUACCCCAGUUUCCUAGAUGUAGGAGAGGAUGUUGUUGAAGAUUCCUUAGCUUGGUUCUUCUCCACAACGUAGACCGACCCUUGUUUACCUAACAAAGAGUGGGAAGAGAAAGAACACAAAGAACACAAGACAAAGGGUAGUCAAAGCUACCGCCACAGUAGGACAAGUUAUUUUUCCCGAGGUUCGGCAAUCUCCACUGAGGAGUUCCUACGUCCCCGUUGUUGAGGUGACCACGAAGGUCUGACCACUUAGGUCUCCUCCUCAAGCAACCACAAAGGUUAGCUUGAUGUUUCCACUAAGAAUCAAGGGGUAAUACAAACACUUCGGGGUGCCCUCACAAGUGAAUCAACACGGGCAACCACGAAGAACGCCUAGCCGACUAGGGUUCCAAGAACCCAAGAGUAACAAAUGCAAACCAAACCGGCAAGAUGAGGAACCGAGUGCUCAAGUCACAGAUCGAAGCUCCCAACUCUCUAAUCUCACUUCUCUAGCUCGAAUCUCUCAAGAAGUGAAGUCUAGGAGCAAGAGGGAGAGAGAGUGGGUGAGACAAAGCUUGGGGACUGUUUUCUCAGAUGUGGAAUAGCUAGAAUGAGCGAUCCAACGGUUAGAAAAGAGGAGAGAGCUAUUUAAACUAGAGUGCAGAACACUUGCCGGUACUACCGGUGCAACCACCGGUACCACCGGUGUCCUCAGAUCUAAACGAGAGAGGGCUGUGGAAGAUGCGAGAAAAAGGCCUACUGGUACUACCGGCCUUGAGCCGGUACCACCGGCCAGCGCCGGUACCACCGGUGGAAGGCCGGUACCACCAGCAGUUCAAAUUCCCGCAUUCAACAGUUCUGCGAGAAUUUGGCCUGCCGGUACUUCCGGCGUUUCAUCGGUACCACCGGCGGUAGCCGGUACUACCGGUAGUUCAUUUUCUCGCAAAACUCAGGAGAAGGACUGGCACUGCUGGUACCACCGGCUCUGAGGGCCGGUACUACCGGCUCACCCUGGCAGAGAAGAAACUUCCUAGUUGUUCGUGUGUGCAAGUGUGUCUCUCAAGCGCAAAAGCUAAGUUGACCUGAGCACCCUUAUCCUCAUCUUACCAACUCAAUUUGCAUCCCUCUUGAUAGUGCGGCGUUUCCUAUAACUCAAACAAGAAAUAAAACUAGGUAGCUUCUUGAGUUGAAACGUCGCUCAAAUGAUGAAAUUUUGGGGGUGCUGUGAUUCACCAAAUGUGUUUGUUUGAUUCCAUUAAUGAGCUAACACCUGUAGAAUAUACUUGAUAAACAUGUUAGUUCCUAAUUUGAUUGUCAUCAAUUAUCAAAACCCACAUCGGGGGCAAAUGCACUUACAAACUCCCCCUUUUUGGUAAUUGAUGACAACCAAUUUAGGCUUAUAAAAGAUUGAAAGAAUUAGAGCUUUUGAAUUCCAAAAAUCAGGUUGGGCUCCCCCUUAAUGUAUGCAUUGGAUUUGGAAUUUCAAAUCUUAAUUUAUAUCAAGAUGACAUACAUUAAGGUCAAGCUCCCCCUAAAUUUUGCAAUUUGUGGGGUGCCUAAAAGAGUGUGUGGGUAACAAGAAAUAAACCGUGAUGCGUAUGACAGGAUAUAUCACAAAGAGUAAAAGAAGAAUUUGAAUAAUUAUGCAAGAACUAAAGGGCUCACAAUAACCAUUCAAAAACAACAUUGCAUCAACAAAGGUCCAAAUAAGCUAACACAAGCAAGAUAUAAUAAAGAAAUAAAAGUGUUUAGCUUACAAUCAACCAUCACACAAAAGUAGUUCUUGUUCACCACACAUAGUUCACCUCUUAGAAAGGUUUGAAAAGGACCAACAACUAACUUAUUACAGCAAAGAUAAGCCUAACACUCCCCCUUUGGCAGCAAGUGCCAAAAAGGGUAGGUUGCGAGAAGAGCUAGAUAGACUACUCGUCAUCAUCAUCAAGAUCAUCGUCGUCGUCGUAGUCGAUCAAGGUAUGCAGCGGCCCCUUACCAUGAGGAUCAGCGGAGGUAGACUGCUCGUGAGGGGGUGCAGCAGAGGCAGAGGCCCUAGUGACAUCAUCCGCGGGACCAAAAAUGUCCAGAUAAGCAAAGCCGGCCUCGGUGUCCUCCAUGGAGAAACCAGCAGGGAUCCCACCACCAUAGGAUGGAUCAAAAGCAGAGGGUGGUGGAGGAUCCUGCUGCUCCUCAUCUUCAUCAACAAAAGUGCUGUGCAUGUUGUCAUAUUCAUCAUAGGGGUCCUGGAACUCACGAAGAGGAGAGGACGGAGGAAGAGCUGCCUUCUCUUCAAGACGACGGAGACGCUGAUCUGUCUUCUUCUGACAAUAGCAAAAAUAAGAGAAGAACCGCUGCAGCGCAUGACGGGUAGUGCUGUGGCGUCCACGACCGUUGUCCGAAGGAGGGACAGCUUCCUCUUGAGCAUCAUCAGCACUAGCAGUAGGAACAUCUGUAGGAUCUCCUGGAAGUAAAGGAGGUCUAGAGAGGGGGUGAAUAGGCCUGUUAAAAAUUAACUCAAAACUCUGUUAGAACAGAGAGCGGCACUGCUGGCCUUCUAGGGCGGCACUGCUGGCCUACAAAUAAAAUACCCACGGUGGUGGAACUUUGCAAGAAGUUAACUUAGGUAAAGAAGAGUCCAAUCCUGCAAAACAAAGAACAGAUCCAAUAGAAAGACUGGAUACCACAGAAAAGUCUCACAAGACUAGAUCGGGUUACCAAACCCUAGAAGAGUAUAACUUUGAGAAAUAAUCUGCAAGAAGCACGCAAGACUCAGAGAUUUAUCCCAUGGUUCAGCUCACCACAAAGGCUUUCCUAGGUCCACGUUGUUGAGGAAGCCACAAAGGCUUAGGCUUGCCACAAAGGCUUGCCCUACCCUCGUUCCCAAGUCAAGAGAGUAAACUCUUGAAGUGAGGGGUAAUUUCUUAGCUGCAAAGACAAGUUUACAAACCUCCCAAGGCUGCCACACAGGAGGGCAAGCUCAUGGGCGACGCCUAGCCGGCUGGGAGCAAGCUCCAAGAGUAACAAACCCUAGAACCGCCGACCAAACGUGAACCAAAUGCUCUUAGACUUUGGGAAACGAUGGAUCUACUCUCCAAUCGAGUUUUGCUGCCUUUUCUCUCAAGGAUUGAUGGAUGGAAACAAAGAUUGCUUGAGGGAUGAAGAGCAACAAUGGAGGGGGGAGAGAGAGAGAGCUCUAGUCUGUCUGAGCAAGAGAUAAGUCGUCUGAGGUCAGUGAUGACCGUUGUGAGGAGCGUCCAGAGGUAUAUACCUCCCCUGGGUCCCAACGGUCAGAAGAGGGCGGCACUGCCGCCCAUGAUGGGCGGCACUGCCGCCCUGGCCAGAGCAGGUUAAAAAGGAAACUGUUUUGCGUGCUGAUUUGGCUGAGAAAGAGGAAGUUGUUUUGAGAAGAUGAGCAUCUGGUUGCAUAGUUGAUCAACAAUUCUAGAAUUCCCCUUUAUAGUACGGCUUUUCCUAAACUCAAAUAAAGAAUGUAAAACGAAGUAACACGUCCUUGAGUUUAGAUCAGCUCCAACAUGUUUUCAGAAUACCAGCAACCUGUACAUCACUUCUAUAGUUUGAUCCCCUGCUCAUUAACUCGAUAAAACUUGUUAGUCCUCUAAUUUUGUUGUCAUUAACACCAAAACCCACAAUAGGGCUUGAUUGCACUUACAAUCUCCCCCUUUUUGGUGAUUGAUGACAACCUAAUUAGAGCUUUCAACAAUAUAAACAAGAAUUAAGAUUUUCGAGCUAGGUAUAUAGGGGCCUCCCCCUGAAGAUGUAAAUGAGGAUUGAAUCCUAAGAACUUGCUUUAUGAUGCAAGGUCUUACAUCUUCAGGUAGGAGGGCCUCCCCCUACAUCCAUGCCUGCUGUGGGGUGAUGUGAAAGUGUCACAAGAGAAGACAUGAAGCACAGAAAGUUAAACAACAAAGCUGCUUGGCUGUUGAGGCACAGGGUGGCACUGCCGGCCUAUCACCCAUCAGUCAGACAACAAACAGAAAAACACAGCGGAAACUAGAGAGGAGAAACAACACAUUGAACUAAAACAACAUAAUGAAACUGCUGGUCUUAAACACAUGUCCAUAUCCAAAGCAAAUAGUGAGAUAAGGUAGCGAUAAUACAUAAAGUAGAGUUUUUCAACUGUUCUCUCUCACAAGCUAAAAGACUACUCUCAAAAGAUAAAACAAGAAGCGCAGCUAGAUCUCGAAAAAAAUUUGACCCCUCUAAUUUUCUCCCCCUUUGGCGUCAAGCACCAAAAAGAGAUGAGAAAAAAAGAGAAAUCACUCAUCGUCGCUGCUGGAGUCAACUCUAGCCCGUCCCUGAACGUGAGUGGUCGAGGUGAAGCGUCCUAAACGGCGGGGUGGAGCUAAUGAAGAAGGCCCAGCUGCCUCUGAAGGGUCACAAGGGCGACGAGACUAGACACGCAGCAAGGUCUCCUGAACCUGUGGAUCUUCCUCUGCUGCCCGGAUCCCCUCAUCAUCACUAUCAUCACCAUCAGGCUGCUUAAAGUGCUGCUCCUGUGUAUCUCCAUAGGGCUGCUCAUCCUCAGAAGAUGUGUCUGACAGACUAGGUAGGUUAGGGAAUUGAGGAGGAGGCCUAACUGGUGUAAGAGGGGGAAGACCAGCCAACUCCCUAGCUUCUCUAACUGCCUCUCUGUUCUCCAAACGAUCCUCAUAAGCAGUGUUUGCAGCAUAGGUGCAUGUAGCAAAAAUAGCCUUAAUCCAUUCACUCAUCUUCCCCAGCUUCUUGCUCUUCUUUUUCCUGCCACUCCUAGAGGACUCAGGAACAUCUCUGUGAGCAAAGGAAGUCUCUCUAUUGGGUGAACCAGCUGCUGCCCCACUGCUAUCCUUACCCCCAUGUGUCUUCUUUAUGUUGUAGACACCAUGAAAGCAGUCAUUGGGGAAUCUCUGUCCGAAAACCCUCUCAAUCAUGAACAUCAGGUAAGGUGCAUAUGGCAGCGACCUUCUUCCAUCAUCCAUGGCAUAGGCCAACUCAACCCAAAUAAAUCUUCCCACAUUGAAUCUCUCACCAUCUGUGAAUCUAGACAACACAUUAGUGAUAUACUCAUUUAGAUCAUGUUGACACCGUUUUGGGCACGUGUCCAGGUUGGCAGGAUAACACGGCAGUGUUUGUUUACAGGAUGAGUUGCCGAUGAGGGUGGUUGCCGGUGAAGGAGAAGUUGAACGUGACUAAGUCUACAGGCGGUGAUGUGUCCGUGCCGAUUGCUAUGAUGAGAAAGUCUGCCGAUGACUAUGGCAAGGGAGUCUGCCAAUGAUACGAAGGAGGAGUUCGGCAGCCGCCGAUGGUUUGUGACAGAGUUUCAGUUUGUCACGGGGGAUAGUUUUGUUAUUUCCUUAAUUAUUUGAAUCGUUUUGUAUGCGGAUUCCGUGUAAUUUGGAAUUCGAAUUCUAAUCGUGUCUGGCUGUAGCUCUUUGAGCAGGGUAUAAAUAUAGACUCUAGGACCUUGUAAUGGGACAUCUAUCUAUCAAUCAAUCAAACAUACGUUUUUACUCAUAUUCCAGCAUCUACUUUUUCGACGACUUCGUCAUACUUUUUUCCUUUUAUUACGAGUUCUUAGGAAUUCGUCGACUUAAGCUCGGUGUGUUCUCGAGUUCCGCGUGAGUACCUCUUAGCCGUGACAUCCGGGCGCAUCGCUGUUGUCAGGACUAAAGUAUUCGAGUUAUCACCUUUGCCGAUAGUAAGGUUAAAUCGGCUGGCACGCCUUAACGUUUGAAUCGGGUAUUAGCCCUUUGUGUUUGCAGAUCAGUUUUGCACCAACACAUCUUUUGGCACGCCCAGUGGGACAGAUUCAAGAUCAAGUUCAACAUGUCGAUCUCUGACUUUGAUCAAGAGAACGUCAUCCCCGUGACGGAAGCCAAUCUCAAGGAUGAGCAGAAGCAAGCUAUUGCUCAAGCUAUGGAGGAAUACAAGUUGCAAUGCCUAAAGUCCUUCAGCAUGAACAGGAGCGGUGAAGUAAUCCAGAAAGAUGCACUGCCGGCACCACGGCAGGUUACUUUCGAAGCCAAUCCUGGUAAGCUUCAAGAUAUGGUUGACAGUGCUAUCAACCGAGCUUUGAUCAACCAAGCUGGCGUACUGUAUAAUACGGUUUUCAAUGCCGUGGCAAGAACUUUCAAGGAAGGACAAAUCCCACCAGAUUAUGUGGGUCCCUCUCAUCAUCAACCAACGUCACCUGAGGUCACGGCUCCAUCGGCUACUACGGCCGCUGCAAGUGCACAGUCUGCCGUCCCUCCAAGUACGUCGGGAACUACUAAUGCACAAUCUGUGCCGAUGACAACUAACCCGCAGACUUCAGGUGGGCAGAAUAAACUGACUACAGAUAUGUUGGCAUCGGCAAUGUCAGGGCUGACUCUCCCUCCCAACUGGUGGGGUUAUGGAAUGCCUCCAGAGUUGACGCCGGGUACAUCACAGAUAACCGACAUGAGGGGCAAGACUCCUAUGACAUCGGCGCUUCCCAAUGCGCCGUUGAACCAGAGUCCUCGGUAUACUACAACUACUACUGUGAGGCCUCACACUAGGAAUCCUCAAGAUUCAAUGUUCCAGAUGCCUAAUGCAUCGGCAGAUUCAAUGCUGAUGCAACAGAGGUCUAUGACCCAGUCGGGGUAUGUCAAUUCAAUGAUGAUGCCCAAUUACCAAUCAUCGGCAGCGCCUAUACCGAUGAACGCAAUAAUGGAUGGCUUGGACAGCAAGUCUUUCCCCAAACACCCCAACAGAGUUACCAGGCUACAGGGUUCCAGCAAGGACAGAUCUAUCCCGGAUUCCAGAGCCAGGGGGUUCCCAACCAGUCAAUGAAUCUCGGACAGCAGCUCGGGGGGUAGCAAAUCGGUGGACAGCAGUUUGGUGGUCCGCAGAUUGGAGGCCAGAUGAUCAACCCUAUGUUCCGUGCAGAUCAUGCCCCAAACAGACACGUGGAGGCUCGCCACCAGGUGCCGGACCCACAACCGCCUCAUCGGUAGGAUGCCGAUGCAUAUUGGGCCGAUAAGAUCGCUGAAGUAAUGAGGGAUCAAUUUGGGAUAAAACCCAAAGUCAACACUUACUCUUAUCGGACACCGUAUCCUCCCGCAUAUGAUUUGAUCCCGCUUCCGCAUCGGUACAAGGUACCAGACUUUACUAAGUUUUCUGGACAGGAUGACACGUCAACCAUGGAGCAUGUCAAUAGGUUCAUUAUUCAAUGCGGGGAAGCUGGUAACAGGGACGAAUUAAGGGUUCGUUUAUUUUCAUCAUCAUUGUCUGGAUCGGCCUUUACCUGGUUCAUAUCACUACCACCCAACUCAGUGAUUACUUGGGCCGAUCUGGAGAAACAAUUCCACAAAUACUUCUUUUCCGGGGUUCAUGAGAAGAAGAUCACCGACUUGGUCAAGUUGAGGCAACGUAAUGAUGAGUCGGUUGAGGGUUUUGUGCAGAGGAUUCGGGAGGUCAAGAAUAAAUGCUAUAGCCUGGUUCUGGAUGAUCGGCAGCUAGCCAAUUUGGCCUUUCAGGGUUUGUUGCCACAUAUCAGGGAUAAGUAUGCCUCUUAGGAGUUUGAAAGCUUAAGUCAUUUGGUGCAGAGGAUUUCUGAUCAAGACAUCAAGCCUUUCGAGCCCAAAAGAGCAUGGAACAAGAAGGUAUCAUUUGUCGAUGAGGCAACAAGCUCAGAUUCUGAUGAGGAACCAGUCAUCGGCUUGGCAGAGUGGGUAAAGAACAAAAAGCUGAUGUCUUGCCCUUUUGGGCAGAAGGAACCAGAAAAGUUCGCUUUUGACACCGCUAAGGCCGAUAGGAUAUUUGAUUUUCUACUUCAGGAACGUCAGAUCAAACUAUCUCCUAAUCACGUGAUCCCAUCGGCUGAGGAGUUAAAGAGGAUGAAAUAUUGCAAGUGGCAUAAUGCAACUUCUCAUGACACCAAUGAGUGCAAGGUUUUCAGGCAGCAGCUGCAAUCGGCUAUAGAGUCUGGGAGAAUCAAGUUUGACAGUUCCAAGACCCAGAAGCCGAUGAAGAUAGACCAACAUCCUUUUCCGACAAACAUGUUGGAUGCCAAGGGGAAGGCCAAAGUCUUAACAUCGGAAGCAGCCGAGAAAAGUGCAUCGGUAGAUCCUCAGCAUCAAGUUACUACUGCCGAUGCAAGAGGUAAGGGCUUGGUCCAGGAAGGAACCAACUCAGGGAGGCCUCCUCGGUCUGGCAUCGUUAUAACUCAUAGAAGGCCUCGAGAGAACUGGCAGCAACGGGAAGAUCGGUACCGGCGCCAGCAAGAAGAUUAUUGUCGGGAGGAAGAGAGACGCCGACAGGAGUGGAAUCGGCAUAGAGAUCAUUGGAACUGUCCGUUCUUCAUCCAUUGUUGGGAGGAGAAUAUUAAGCUUCCCACUGUCAGAGACUGCCCUGAGUGCAAUGGUUAUGAUCGGUAUGAUAGGACCGAUCGGCGUCAUCAUGAUGACAAUCGGUGAUUUAAUGGGCCGAUCAGAGGAAGAGCGUCAGUUCAUGAUCGGCUGGGGGGCAGGCUCAGCGUACACGAUAGGCUUGGUGAUCGUGUCCAAUAUUUUCCCAGGAACCAGGAAGAGCUCAAGGAAAUGGCUAAUGCACGAGUUCCCGAUGAGUUCAUAUUCUGCAGGGAUGCUAACACGUAUCGGAUGGAGUCAAGAGAGAAUCGACGCCCAGCAGCAAGGCAGAAGCCACUUCCUCCAUGGUGUCCUGAAGGGUUAACCAAGACACAGAAAAGGAGAUUGCAACGCGAGAGGCAAGAGGAACUAAGCAAGGGCGAGAACUCUGGUCAGUCUGGAGGUCAGCAGCCAUCAGACACUAAGAGGGAAGGUCCAUCGGCAGGAGUUAACAUGGUCUUUUUGUUGCCGAUGGAGUUUCUUGCACCAUCCAGUGAUGGUGAGUUGGAAUUUUCCGAUCAGAUAGCUCAGCUGGCUCUGGAUCCGAUGACAGCUAUCUUUGAGAAACCUGCCGAUGACGAAAGACAACAUCUUAAGGCUCUGUUCGUCAAAGGAAGGGUUGAUGGGCAGCCAAUGACUAAAAUCCUAGUUGAUGGUGGAGCUGCUAUCAAUAUUAUGCCGUAUGCCGUAUAUCGGAAGCUUGGGAAAGGGGAUCAGGGUUUGACCAAGACCGAUAUGAUGCUUAAAGACUUUGAAGGGAACGUGUCUCCAGUCAAAGGGGCAAUAUGUGUAGAAUUGACCAUUGGUAGCAAAACCUUGCCGACAACUUUCUUCGUGAUCAGUGGAAAGGGUGCUUACAACUUAUUGUUGGGAAGAGAUUGGAUUCAUGCCAAUUGUUGCAUCCCAUCUACAAUGCACCAGUGCUUGGUUCAGUGGGUAGGUGACAAAAUUGAGAUUGUCCCAGGAGAUUCUUCUUAUGUCAUUGCGUCGGCAGAGGCGGAUACCUAUGAAAAGACCAGGUGCAUUUCAGGAGAAGUUUGGGAGAAAGAUUUUCUCAAGGUUGCCGAUUAUGAGAUUACACUGAUCCAAGCAGUCGGUUCUGACGAAGGUUUUUAAUGGAUAGGUUCGCCGAUGAUGGAAAGUUAGGCCAGAAAGUCACAUCGGCCAAUAUGAUUGAUUUUGUGAAGGAGCAUAUCAUUUACCGAUUUGGAAUUCCUCAAACAAUUACUACCGAUCAGGGCACUAUGUUUACAUCAGGGGAGUUUGAUGAAUUUGCAAUCGGUAUGGGGAUCAAAGUGUUGAAUUCUUCUCCUUAUUAUGCUCAAGCCAAUGGGCAGGCCGAAGCGUCUAACAAAGGAAUUAUCAAACUUAUCAAACGAAAGAUUGAAGAAAAUCCUAGGCGGUGGCAUACAUUAUUGAAUGAAGCAUUGUGGUCCUAUCGGAUGGCUUGUCAUGGAUCAACCAAGGUGUCGCCCUAUCAAUUGGUAUAUGCACAUGAUGCAGUGUUACCUUGGGAAAUUAAGGCUGGAUCUAGGCGAUUAUCUUUUCAAGAUCAAUUAGCUGCCGAUGAUUAUGCCACUUUGAUGACCGAUGAGUUAGAUGAUCUAGCGGGACAUCGGUUAAAAGCCUUAAUGAGUAUAGAAGAAAAUAAGAAGAGAGUUGCUAGAUGGUAUGACAAGAAAGUAAAGGCUAAGGAGUUUGCCGAUGGGGACUUGGUAUGGAAAUUAAUUUUACCAAUCGGGACUAAAAGUUUGAAGUUUGGAAAGUGGUCUCCUAAUUGGGAAGGUCCUUAUCGGAUAAGUCGAUCGGCUCCUAGAAAUGCCUAUAUUCUAGAAACUCUCGAAGGAGUUGAAUUUCCCAGAGCAUUAAAUGGCAAAUAUUUAAAGAAGUACUACCCCAGCAUAUGGGUCGAUGCAUAAAAGUUUAAAUGCCGAUAACAGUCCUAUCGGCUAGACUAAAAGCUAAAAAAGCAGGAAAACACAGAUGUGUUGCCGAUGAAAGCUUCAUGUGUUCAGCAGCGCCUGGAUCGCCGAUACGGCGCGUAGCCGGAUUUGGUUGGCUGCUUCUAUCUCCUUGAUAUCAUCAUCGGCAGAACCUUCUAUCGGCUUCAGCUUCUUCUUCAACUGCAGCGCCUUGCGACCGUGGACGUUCCGCUCAUGCUCAAGGAGCUUGAUGGUCUCUGGCAGUUGACUUUCUUCCUGUUGGGCUUCAGACAAGGCGUCCUCCACUUGUUUGAGUUCUGCCAACAGGGAUUCCCUUUUUGCCGAUAAGUCAGAUAUCUUCUGCUUCAGCGUGUUUCCUGAAGAUCUCAAGAUGCCGAUGUUCUUAUGCUUCUCAUCGGUCAGGAGUUUCUCUUUCCUCAUCUCUUCAGAGAGUUGAGUCUGAGCAGCUCUAUCGGCAAGACGCCGAGAAGCCCUCUGGUACUGCAGCUGACGACUCUCCAAAUGUGCGGCUUGGAAGAGGAUUUCUUCAACAUCGGUUGGGAUCUGGCCUCUGAGAGUCCUGAACAGAACCUUGGCUGGGUCGGAGUCAUCAACCAGUUGUGCCGUGUCCUGAUGAACGAGGGCCGAUAGUUCUUCCAGCUUGGCUCUGAUCUCUGCCGAUGUGAGGCCAACUGUCUGGGAAGAGCUUGCUUCUUCACCUUCUUCUUCAGAGAUGUCGAUGGCGAAGGAGAAAAGGCUAUCGGGAGAAUCUUGUUCCUGGGAAAGGAAAACAGAGUAAGUUAGUUCAUGCUCGGAGAAUCGGCAAAUAAUACUGAUGAAGGCUGAGCGACUUACUUGCUUCAAGGCUAUUUCUUGUCGUUGACUGGAAGAUGCCGGUGGGGCCACAGGUUGAUCGGCCAGGGUUACCGAUGGGACAACAUCGACUGAAAGGAAGACAGAAAGAGUUAUGAGGCUGAAUGAGAAUAAGGUCAUCGGUGGCAAUAUAAUAAAAUAUGUUACCCUGAGGAAGAACAAUGCUUGUCUGAAUUGGGGGAACUACCGAUGAUGCAAUUGGACCUGCCGGGCCAGUUGUUUGUCCGCCCAUGUCAGCUAACGUACCUUCUACUUGGGGUUCUUCCUGCUGGGGUUUGUCUGCUUCUGGUGCUUCCUGCGGAUGAGGGGGAGAUGGUGCUUGCUGGAUCUCCACGUCUGGAGGGGAGGGAGAAGAUUCCACCGGAAAAGGAGACACCGGGGGAGGAGGAGGAGGAGUAGCCACUUUCUGGCGCUUUGUUCCAGCCCUGGUACUCUUGGCGCCCUUCCUCUUUGACUGGCUGGACUGGGGGCAUCGACACCUUGACGUUUGGCUUUUGCCGAUGCACCGGUUUGCUGCGGCAAUAAAAAGGAGUUUAUAAAUACAAAUAUAGCCGAUGUAAAGGUAAUCGGUAUAAAUGAAAAAGGGUUGGCAAAUUGCCUUGAAAGCUUGUGCCAAAGUGGAAGCGGCUACUGGUGGUGGUGUCUGAGUUCUCUUGGUGGUGACCUUCUUAAGGCGCACACCUCGUUGCACAAUGGUAGCCAGAGUGGGAGCAUUGUGGCCGAUUGAAGAAAUUGGGCCUGGUGGAAACAGGUCGAUCGGCUUACCACUUCUGCUAACUGAUGGAGGGAUCUUGUCAACCUGCAAAAGGGAUACAAAGGUGAGUUACCGAUGAAAAUAAGAUUGAAAAAUCGGGACACCAGUUUGAAAUACUUACAGCAUCAUCGGGUACUUUGUACUCGGGGUCGAUCGUACCGCGAUAUGAAAGGGCUGACUUGCAGAAUAGAUGCUCUUUCCAUUCUGCCCACCAUAGCUUGUAUGCCUAAGUAAUGAAAGCGGCUGGAACCCACUCUGACAAAUCUGCAUCUGUAUCGGCAUUCGGUGGUAGUUGGGCUACCCGAAUCCACUCAAGAAAGUUGCUAAUGGGCUCUCUGGGUUUUAUCACGUCGGCAUAACAGAGCGCAAUCGGCAACUGGCCGAAAGCUAAUUGGCGAGCUAAUGCCGAUGGGUUGUAAAAUUCAUAAGUCUGGGGAGAGGUUUUUGUGCUACCAAAGAAAUUCAUUGGUAUGGCUCUAGGAGUCACAAUUGCCAUCAUCACCUCAUUAUCCCUGUCAAGAGCGUCAUCAAAUGGAUUGAAGACCAGGGGCAGCAUACUGUUUGGGUCGUCAUAGGCCAACCAUGGUCGUUCAUUUCUGGCCAAGCCCUCAUACAGAGUCUGGAAGAAUCGGCCGAUCUGAUCUGGAUUACCCCCUGAACCAGGUAGAACUAUGACAACUUCGCCAAAGUUCAAGGGAGCGCGUGUUGCCGAUUCCUCUUCACCCAGCACAUGAUUUUCAGUUAUAUCUCUUGGGAAACGCUGUGUGAACAGGAUGAAGUUGAGGCGCUUAUGCAGAUGCAGAUUAAGCCACAUGUUAAUAAACCACCAAGGGCCACCUAAGUUGCCGGUAGACUGGCCGAGCAGGAGUUUCUUGGCCACCUGAUGGAGAAGAUGGUAAACGGCGCCAAGCAAGUAUCGGCCGAGAGGGAAUCGGCCACCGUUAGCUAGUCUCUCUGCUGCCGAUAGAUAGACGGAAGUCGGUCCUGCCGAUCGACCAUAGAACACAAACUUGUCUAGCCACAUGUUCAGAAAGGUGGUUUGUUCUUUUAUGCUGACAGGUCCCUUCCCAUGAUACUUCUGAAUGUACCCUGACCAGCCGCCGAUAGCGCGAGUCUCUACUUUGGCACUAGGAGCUGUGUCAAAAAAGUGGGUGCUAUCGGCAGAAGAUAUAUCUAGACCGGUGAGCAUGGCUACAUCGGCAAGAGUAGGAGAAGCAGGGCCAUGGCCAAAGACAAAAGCAUUGAGGGUGUCUGACCAAAAGUAAGAUGCAGCUAUCAACAGUGACUCAUUCCUGUGCAUAUCGGCAAUGGACAGCCUAAUGCAUUGAUCUAGUUUUCUCUCACCCCAUUGGACUUCAUUGGAGUUGCUGACUCUCAAGAACCAGUCUUUCCACCCUACGGUAGGGCUGGGCCAAGAGCGGAAGGUGUCUUUCCACAGAUCUAAAGAAAAAUUUUCGGCUCUGAAAGGGAUCCUAUUGGUUUCUGCGUUAAUGAGAUCGGUUGGAUCUGGAUCCCCUAGAGGGCCGAGGCAUGGGAGGUGUGGUUGAUCGGUGGGAAUGACGAUUUUGUUAGACGAUUCCUGGUGGUUUUGGAAUAAAGAAAAAUAACACAAAGAAAAGAAAAGAAAAUGUUCAGUAAAAUGGAUUGCGGAUGAACAGGGAUGCGAAGAAAAAGAACAGGGGAUGGAAUGAAGGACUGACCUCAGGGACGAUGAAGCUAAUAGCCAUCUUGCGACGAGGAGGAUGCCUGGGGCUUCGGGUUGGUGAGGAGGAGUUUUUGCCGGAGGUCUUGGAGACGUUGAAUGGCGCCGCCGCUAGGAAAGUAAAGUUGGGAUGAUGGAAUGAUGUGAUGGAGAAGGAGUACCCGAGAAGGAACUAUUUAUAAGACAAAAUGGGCAAGGGCAAAUCUGACUUAUCUCCUUGCUGCAUCUGAGAAAUCCGAGGGUGUUCAGGUAGAUAUGGUAACUGUUCGCACGAUAAUCGAGGGAUUGUGCAGGUGAUUUGACGGGAAGCGGUCAUUAUCUGGAGAUAUUUUACUGUGCGGGAUCUCCUGGUCGGUCCAUCGGCAGCGUCCUGUAACGGUCAUAUUGUCGAUAGGCAAGUGAGGUGAAGAUAGCCGUUUGUACGAACGUCCUGAUCAGUUCAUCGGCAGAUCUUUGUAAUGGUAAUAUUGCCGAUGUACGGUUGAGAAGGAAAUGCCCGUUUAGGAAAUUGAGGAUUUCGAGGAAUAUGCGGAAGAAUAGGAUCAGAGUUGUUCAGAUUGAGGUUGUCGGUUACCAGAUUAGGAGCAUUAAUUACGGGGAAAGGCAUCAUUACUGCAGAGAAUUUCGGAGCAUUGAUGAUUUCAUACUCCGAAAUUGGGGGGCAUGUGUUGACACCGUUUUGGGCACGUGUCCAGGUUGGCAGGAUAACACGGCAGUGUUUGUUUACAGGAUGAGUUGCCGAUGAGGGUGGUUGCCGAUGAAGGAGAAGUUGAACGUGACUAAGUCUACAGGCGGUGAUGUGUCCGUGCUGAUUGCUAUGAUGAGAAAGUCUGCCGAUGACUAUGGCAAGGGAGUCUGCCGAUGAUACGAAGGAGGAGUUCGGCAGCCGCCGAUGGUUUGUGACAGAGUUUCAGUUUGUCACGGGGGAUAGUUUUGUUAUUUCCUUAAUUAUUUGAAUCGUUUUGUAUGCGGAUUCCGUUUAAUUUGGAAUUCGAAUUCUAAUCGUGUCUGGCUGCAGCUCUUUGAGCAGGGUAUAAAUAUAGACUCUAGGACCUUGUAAUGGGACAUCUAUCUAUCAAUCAAUCAAACAUACGUUUUUACUUAUAUUCCAGCAUCUACUUUUUCGACGACUUCGUCAUACUUUUUUCCUUUUAUUACGAGUUCUUAGGAAUUCGUCGACUUAAGCUCGGUGUGUUCUCGAGUUCCGCGUGAGUACCUCUUAGCCGUGACAUCCGGGCGCAUCGCUGUUGUCAGGACUAAAGUAUUCGAGUUAUCACCUUUGCCGAUAGUAAGGUUAAAUCGGCUGGCACGCCUUAACGUUUGAAUCGGGUAUUAGCCCUUUGUGUUUGCAGAUCAGUUUUGCACCAACAGAUCAGUUGCAUUGUCCUUAGGAUUGAGAGUGAUUCUAAACAGGUUGUUCAUGGUGUAAUAAAUGGCCUUUAACCCUAUCCUUCUCCCAUCAGCCUUGCUAGGAUCUUCCCACAUAAAGCUCACCUCAAGUGGCUCAAGGUGACGCACAUCAUGGAUCCUACUAAAAGAUCUGUGAAUCUGUCCAAAACCAAGAAUGCGACAAAAAGUGACAAAAUCAAUGCGAUAAUGCCUACCAUCUGUCAUCCAGUGAAUCUCAUCCUCAUCUUUGUUCCAAAAAUAUGUGGCAUGAAACUGUGCAAGGAUUUCUCUAUUCCAAUCAUACCUGAAGUUCAUGAUAUCAGUCAACUGGAAUCUGUCACAGGUCUUUAUGGCAGCAGCAAACUCACUUCUAUCUUGCAACUCAUUGAAGUCAACAUAUUGCAUUUUGUAGAUUUUGCCCCUAGGCUUUGUCAUGAUGGCUGUGGCAUAGAAGUUGGAGUGGAAGACAUUCCAAAAUCUGUAAUCAACCCCCAAAAGCUUAUCUGCAGCAUAGGGAUCAAUCUCUCUGGCAUCACCAGUAGCCUUCCAACUCCUCCCAUAGUCAACCACUACAUGUCUCACAUUGUUGUGAGGCUCUGUGAGAACAAACUCAUCCUCAUUGUCCCUCAUAUAGCUGUCAUCAAACUCCGUGAGGUGAUUUGGUGUGCCAUGCAUAAUUGGGAUGGUGUAUCCAAUCCUUUGAUUCAUUUCCUCCUCAGCCACAUAUUGAUCAUGUGCUGCUCUAUCAGUGGCUCGAGGUGCUGCACCACUGCCUCCAGCUGUCCUCCCCCUACCUCUGCGAGCUAGUUGCUUCGUCAACAUUUUCCUCUUUCCUCUAGCAUCAUCUCCUCCUCGAUCCAUCUAGGCAAGAAGUAAUAGGACUGGAUAAGAAACUGUUUAAGUAUGUUGUAAAGAUGGCUGCAACAGGUUUUAAUUAGAAGAAGAAGAUUGGAUAUGAAGUGAGAAGCCAACUAUUUUGAAUCAGCUUGGAAGGGGCGGCACUGCUACCCUCUGAGGCCGGCACUGCCGCCCUCAGUGGCUUCACUACUUCAUGUCCAAUCUUUCUCAUUCUAAUUAAAUCCUUGUUUCAACAACCUCUACUACUACACAUCACAAUUUCAGAAACACAGUUCUAUCCAACAAUAAGUGAAACCCUAACUAGAGAUUUGGUAAGGUAAGUAUGAGAGAUUUUGUGAAAUACUUUGUAAGAAUAAAUCCAAUUCAUUUGAGAGUCCUUUGCCAGAGAGAACUCAAGUCAGUAGGUUCAAUCUGCUGGGGGCGGUACUGCCGCCCUCCGAGGGCAGCACUGCCGCCCUACCCGAGAUCCCCCUAACAGUGAACUUCCAAAUCAACUCGAUUUAUUCACACAAACCAUUUCCAAAACCUCCAUACUCACCCUAGAAACUCAAAUCCCUAGUCAGAGCAUCACAUUCCAUGGAUUGAAGGAGUUAGGGUUAGGCUUUUACCUUAUGCGUUGAGUGAAGAGGAAAGAAGAGCAAUGCCCAAAGCUUGAGCGGGGGAGGGGGGCAGUCACCAGCAACGAGAGGAGAGGCUGGGAACUCGCCAAGGGCCGUGGAGAUCACGACUAAGAGCACUUGCACCUUGCCCUAACCCUAGAGGAGAGGAGAGGGAGAGGGGAGGUGCUGUGCGCGACUGAGAGAGAAAGGAAAGAAGAGAGGCAGAGCCAGAGAGAAAAGAGGUAGAGGGAGAUGGGCCCCACACCUCUGCCAAAUUGGACCCGAAUCUGCUGUGGAUUCAAAGGGCGGCACUGCCGGCCUUAAUGGGCGGCACUGCCGCCCUGCCCAACUUGCAGGGUUACAGCUAAAACCUUUUCCUGUUCUUUACUUUAGAUAAGGACAUGAUAAUCUCUAAAUAUUAUGAUCAGAAAACAAUCAACAAUACAUACUAUGAUCAUAAUACUAAGAGACAUUUUUAUAAACAUUUUUGAAAGACUUGUGAAUCCGUUUUUCAAGAUUUUGCCUAUGUUGCUAGGUUGACAAACACAUGUGUGCUGGAUUUCAAGUCACGUUACGAGAAUCAAGGAUAUUUAAUUCACUCGCAGCUCACAAAACCUUGACUCAUCGAGGGGUUUAGUGAAGAUAUCGGCUAGUUGCUUUUCGGUGCUCACAUGGCGAAUUUUGAUAUCUCCUUUAGCUUCGUGAUCUCUCAAGAAAUGAUGUCGGAUGUCUAUGUGUUUAGUUCUUGAGUGGCUUACAGGAUUGUUUGCAAGCUUUAUGGCGCUUUCAUUGUCACACAAUAACGGGAUUUUGGUGAAGUGACAUCCGAAAUCUUUAAGGGUUUGCUUCAUCCAAAGUAGUUGAGCACAGCAUGCACCGGCUGCAACAUACUCGGCCUCCGCAGUGGAAAGGGCUACACAAUUUUGCUUCUUAGAGCUCCAAGACACUAAGGACCAUCCAAGGAAUUGACAUGUCCCCGAAGUGCUUUUUCUAUCUACUUUGCAACCGGCGUAAUCGGAGUCCGAAUAGCCAAGUAGAUUGAACUUGGAACCCUUAGGAUAGCACAAGCCAAGGUUCGGUGUGUGAACUAGAUAUCGUAAAAUUCUCUUAACAGCCACUAAGUGACACUCUUUCGGGUUGGCUUGAAAUCUAGCACACAUGCACACACUAAGCAUUAUGUCCGGCCUAGAUGCACAUAAGUAGAGAAGAGAGCCAAUCAUGGAAUGAUAUACCUUGAUAUCCAUGGCUGUCCCUUCUUCAUUUAGAUCAAGAUGUCCAUUAGUUGGCAUGGGAGUUUUGAUGGGCUUUGCAUUCACCAUGUCAAACUUCUUGAGCAUAUCAUGAGUGUACUUAGUUUGACUUAUAAAAGUUCCAUCCUUCACUUGUUUGAUUUGAAACCCAAGAAAGAACUUCAAUCCACCCAUCAUGGACAUCUCAAACCUCUUUGUCAUGGUCCUACUAAAUUCUUCAACAUACAAAUGAUUAGUACUACCAAAUAUUAUGUCAUCGACAUAUAUUUGGCACACAAAUAUACCAUUACGAACUUUAUGAGUGAAGAGUGUAGGAUCGGCUUUUCCUUUGUCAAAGCCUUGUUUAAGCAAGAAUUCCUUAAGGCAUUCAUACCAUGCUAUUGGUGCUUGUUCAGCCCAUAGAUCGCCUUUUGGAGUUUGAACACAUGGUUUGGAAACUUGGGGUCUUCAAAUCCCGGUGGCUGCUCAGCGUAGACCAAUUCUUGUAUUGGACCAUUGAGGAAUGCACUCUUGACAUCCAUUUGAAAUAACUUGAAGUCAUGAUGGGCAGCAAAGGCUAAGAGCAUUCGAAUUGCCUCAAGCCUUGCCACCGAUGCAUAUGUUUCUUCAAAAUCCAAUCCCUCUACUUGAGUAAAUCCUUAAGCUACCAAUCUUGCCUUGUUUCUUGUCACCACACCAUGUUCAUCUUGCUUGUUGCGAAAGACCCAUUUUGUUCCAAUAACAUUGGUAUUUGGCCUUUCAACCAAGGUCCAUACUUGAUUUCUCUCAAAGUUGUUAAGCUCUUCUUGCAUUGCCAUGACCCAAUCCGGAUCUUUAAGUGCUUGUUCUACCUUGAGUGGUUCCAAAGAGGAGACAAACGAGUAAAAUUGACAAAAGUUAACCAAAUGAGAUCUGGUUGUUACCCCUUUUCGAAUGAUUCCAAGAAUGCUGUCGAUGGGAUGAUCUUGUUGUAUAGUUUGUCGAAGUCUUGGAUACUUAUCAAGCUUUGUCUGCUCCUCUGAAUCUACAGCUUCUUCUUGUUCAAAAAUGGGCUCUAGGUUGAUUCCUUCAACUUGUGAUGUAGGAGCAGGAGGGUCUGCUGCUGAGGUGGAGGGGGCGGCACUGCCGCCCUUAGGUGCGGCAUUGCCGCCCUGCUGAUUUCCAGCAAGUGUGUGUUGCACAUCCUUGUCGAGUACGUCAGCAGAAAUUUGUGCAGCAACAGCUGGUGGAUCCUCCUCUUCUGAGACUUGUCCCUCCAGUGGCCUAAUGUCACUGAUGGACAUUUGCUUGAUUACCUUACAAGGUGGAUCUUCCUUUCCUACAACACUUAGAUCAACUUGCUCCACUUGAGAGCCAUUAGAUUCAUCAAAUGUCACAUCUAUCGACACUUCAGAGUUUUGUUGAAGACUCGAUAGGCGUGCUCAUUUGAUCCAUAGCCAAGAAGAAAUCCUUCAUCUACUUUAGGUGCAAACUUAGAGGUUUUAGGUCUUUUGUUUAGUAUGAAGCACUUACACCCAAACACUCUAAAGUAAGACACCUUGGGUUUGUUACCGGUGAGAAGCUCAUAGGAAGUCUUCUUGAGUUUCUUGUGUAGAUAGAGGCGAUUGAUGGCAUGACAAGCGGUGUUGAUGGCCUCACACCAAAAUAUAUCCGACGUCUUGUAUUCAUUAAGCAUAGUUCUUGCCAUGUCGAUAAGUGUUCUAUUCUUCCUCUCUACCACACCAUUUUGUUGUGGGUGUACGCGGUUGAAAAUUCAUGCUUGAUGCCUUCAUCAUCAAGAAACUCUUCAACUUGAGUGUUUUUGAAUUUGGUCCCAUUGUCACUUCUUACUUUCUUGAUAGGAAGACUAAAUUCCUUUUGUGCUCGUCUGACGAAGGUUUUCACCUUGUCUUGAACCUGACACUUAUCAUAGACAAAGAACACCCAAGUGAAACGUGAAUAAUCAUCAACAAUUACUAAUCCAUAUUUGUUACCCCCAAAGCUUAGGUAGGCGACCGGUCCAAAGAGAUCCAUGUGUAUCAACUCCAAGGGUUGAGUGGUAGUCAUUAUGCUCUUUGGUGGGUGAGGUACACCUACUUGUUUUCCAGCCUGGCAAGCGCUACAAAUCCUGUCUUUUUCAAAACUAACAUUUGUUAGUCUAAGGAUGUGGUUGUCUUUCAAGAGUUUGGCCAAAUUCCUCAUCCCAACAUGAGCUAGCCGUCGAUGCCAUAGCCAACCCAUGCUGGAUUUUGCCACUAAACAGGUUUCAAUCUUGGUUUCACUCUUGCUGAAGUCAACAAGGUAAAGUUUAUUUUUCAACCGACCCAUAAAGACAAUAGAGGCAUCCUCCCUCUUGAAGACUUUCACACCCUUAUCCGUAAAGAGACAAUUGUAUCCCAUUUCACAUAGUUGAGAAACGGACAACAAAUUGUAACUCAACGAAUCAACAUGUAAAACAUUUGAAAUAGAAUGAUCAAGUGAUAUAGCUACUUUACCAAGACCUAUCACUUCCCCUUUUGAGUUAUCACCAAAAACAAUGUUGUCUUGGAGUUUGUUGUUGGGGAAUAUGAUGAGAACAUACUCCUUUCUCCGGUCAUAUGAUUUGUACAGCCACUAUCAAGCACCCAACUUGAUCCACCGGAGGAGUAUGCCUGCAAAACAAAUUUAAUUGCUAGGUUUAGGUCCCCAAUCAUUCUUGGGGCCUCUCAUGUUAGUCACAAGAAUCUUAGGAACCCAAAUAGAGGUGUGAAGAUAAAUAUUUCUGUCCUUGCCAAUAUAUUUGGCAAUCACUUCCCCUUUGCUGUUGUUUUUCAACACAAAACUAGAGUUCAAGCUUUGUUGAAAUAUCUGUGCCUUGGGUUGGUACUCAAGCUUGCUUGGUGUGCCCCAGACUGAAUCUCUUGGCUUCAGAAUCCUUUUCUCUUGCUGGGGCAUAUGCUUCUUGGACUUGUUACUAGCAUAGGAAGUAUGGGUAGCCUUCCCUUUUCUGUGGGGGCGGCACUGCCGCCAUUCACAGCGGCACUGCCGCCCUUGGUUGGCAGUGCUGCUCGAGGCAGCCAUGGUGUCACCUUCUGUGCAGGCUGUUCUGUACCCAUUUUUCCUUUGCAAGUAAAUUUCACACACUCAUAUCCAUUUAUUACCUUUCUUCCAUUUGUCUUGGCCCCUUUCUUUAGACCAAGUCCAUCCUUUAUAUGGGGGUGUCUUCCAUCCUUGUAUUGGGCUUUCUUUGAUGGACUCUCCUUGCCACUACUAACCUUGUUGCACUUCUCACUUAUCACAACAUUUAAUCUUGAGAUCUCUUUUCUCAUUUCACAUAUGUUCAUAAGGUUAGUAGCAUAAGUAUUUUUGUCAACGUUAUGGCAAGUUUCACAUUUUAAGCUAGUGGAGGAAUUAGAGGUGCCUUUUGUAUUAGAGGGUUGUGAGUUGCUCUCCAAAAGAAGAUAAUAUUGCUUCUCGAGUUUGUUGUGCUUUUCCUUUAAGGCACAAUACUUAUCGUUGAGUGCAAUAUUUGCCUUCUUUGUGAGAGCAUGUUCUCUUUGUUCCUCGGUCAAGACCUUGGUCAAAGAGUCCACCUCACUUCUCUCCAACACAAGAGCUUCCUUACAAGCAAUGUACAUAUUUUCUUGCUCAAGUAAGUCAUCAUCUCUUGUUGCUAGCUCAGCUCGCACACUCUCUAAAUCCUCCAAUAGUUUUAGUGAUGAAUAUUUUGGUCUUAGGAUCUAAAUUUCUUGUUAUUUGAACGAACUCAUCAUUGUCACUAAGGUCAUUAUCACUAGAGCUUUCAGUAAGUUCACUACUUGAUAUAUCACUGGGGAUUGGAGAGGAUUUGGAUUUUGUUUUUACCUUCUCACCCUUUGCCAUGAGACAAAUGUGAGGGGAGAUAUGAUCAUCGUCAUCGGACAUGUUGGAGAAGAGCUUCGGUGUUGAGGAUGAUCCUUGAAUCGCCAAGGUUGGAACUUUCAUAUCCUCAUCACUUGACUCUUUAGUUGAAUCCCACUCAUGUCCAAUGUGUGCUUCUCCCAAUUGCUUAUUUUUCUUCUUCUAUUCAUGCUUGCCUUCUCUAGUGUUGUCCCUCUUGUAGUUAUUCUCCUUCUUCUCAUAAGGACACUUGGCAACAAAGUGAUCGGUGCUGCCACAAUUAUAGCAAGUUCUCUUUUUCUUGUUUGGAAACUUUCUUUGGACAACUUUAUACCCAUUUUGCUUCAGCCCCUUGUGAUACUUCCUUAUAAACAAAGCCAUGUCAUCAAUUUUCUUGAAAUCAGCCCCUUGUGUUUCUUCUUCUUCACUUGAAGAUGAGCUUGUGUCCUCUCUUGUUUGCACUUGUUUUGGUUCUUUGGAUUGACUAGUUGAUGCUUGCUUGCUGUCCUUGAUCUUGUUUGAGCUUCCUUUCUUGCUUGAUUUGUUGGCUUUGAGAGCAACUUCCUUAAUCUUCAUGCCAUCUAGUUUUGCUUGCAGCUCACCGAGCUUCCUUAUUUCAUUUGCUUCUUCUCUUUGCAUGUCAAAAGUCAAUAAUCUUCCAAGCACAUCAUUUGGUGUGAAGUGCUCAAACUUUUUCUUAUCCCUAAUCAAGGUGACUACGGUCUCAUUUCUUGGUGAGUAUGCUUCCAACAUGAUUUUUACCACCUUGUGAUCAUCAAUCUCUUCACAACCAUACCCUCUAAUUUUGCCCACCAAGGUCAUCAGUCUAUCAAACAUCUCUUGAGGACCUUCUCCAUCAAUUAUCACAAACCUAUUUAGCUUAGCCAUCAAUAGGUCAAUUUUGGCUCUUCUCACUUUGUCUACACCUUCAUGUGCAAGAUCCAAUGUGUCCCAAAUCUGUUUUGCUACAUCAACAUUCAUCACUCUAUUGUACUCAUUUCCAUCUAGAGCACUAAGGAGAAUGCUUGUGGCUUGACCAUUGAGGUGGACAGCAGCUAGCUCUUCAUUUGUUGGCUCUUCGGGGUUCUCCGGUGCUUGAAAUCCACUACACACAAUAUCCCAAAGACCGGGGUGAAGACCGAUAAGAUAAGCCUUCAUCAAGUGCUUUCACUUGGCAAAGUUUGUCCCAUCGAAAUGAGGCAAAUUCCCAGCGGGCACGUUAAUGAAUGACUUGCGGUCACGAUUAGUCAAGUAAGAAUAAUUAAAGGAUACGGCUGAAUAUUUCUUCUUGUUGCUGCUCUCCUUGUCUUUGUUUGCCUUUUUCUUGUUCUUCUCUUGUUCCUUCGAAAUGUGAUACGAUGCAUCAUCAAUGUAACACCCUAGUGUUGUGGUUGCAUUAAUCAUGUGCGUAGCAUGAGCAUCAUCAUCUACUCAAAGCAUAUCAUGGUCAUCAUCUAUCUUGAGCCAUGUCAUUCUAUGCAAAUAUGUGAUCUAAAUUGCUUAAAUAGGCUUCCUAUGCUUAUGUUUGAGUGAACCAUGCUUGUGUUCGUGCUCUAUGCCUUGGUAAUUAGUUUAUCUAUGCUUAACCUUGGGAACAAUGUUCAUGUUGAUCACUUCUCCAAAAUAAUCACCUAAGUCAUACUUGUACAAAUAGGCCCUAGAAACCUCUUUUGCUUAGGAUUUUAAAAAGUGUUUCAUAAAUUGUUUGAAUGUCAAAACUUUCUACAGAAACGUUGUAGCAAAUUUUAUAAGGAACAAAAGUUGUUUUAUGGCCAUCUCAUGAAAAUGAUCACAAAUAGCUCAAAAUAGACCCACAAGGCAGAUAUGGGGCUGUUUCCAACACUUGGAAAUUUUCUAAGUCCUGGAACGAAACCAGUUUGCUCGAUCGGUUUUGAAAACUCUAUAUCUCUCAAUCCAGGCCGAUCUAGCUUUUGCUCUAGUUGACAAUGUUGUAGAACUCGAUUGGAACUCCAACUUUGUCAGCUGCAUCAUCUUCUAACUCGGGCUGGUUUGGAAGUUAUCCGUUGCUGAAGUCGCUCUGUCAGUCGGUCAUCGUGCUCUCUGAAUCGGAGCCGAGCUCGCCGUCGUGGAUGUCCCGAGCGACAUCUGUCUGCCAGAUGGCGCCCGUACGCCAGCGAUGGCCCCGCUCGUCAGCUCCCAGCACGCGCAUGACCUCCACGGCGACGCCCCGAGCAGCGUGGACGCGUCCAUUUCCUCUCUGCCUCGCCUCUCUCGCCAGAAGAGCGCCCGCAGCGAGCUCACCGUCGCGAGCUCACUCCGGCGAGCUCGUGUGCGCUCCUCGCUGCGUCGCAGUCCACCAAAUUCCACUCACAGCUCUGCCGUGGACCGCUCUUCAUUCUCCACCCAUCAUCUCGCCGUGAGAUCCACCGGUGAGCCGCCAUUUCCUUCUUCCCCCAAAUCGGGUCGCCGUGACCAUCUUUUCCGGUGAGCCCAAUGCUGAGCUCAUCAGGGCCUCUCGUCUUCUCUGGUUAGGUCCUAGAGGUUGCUUAGGUUCCUAGCAUGCGUUUGCGCCACUUGGUGGAUGCUCAACCAAACCCACCGUCGCCGGACACGACGCGCAGCGCCGCCGUGUUUCCGCCGGAGUUGGGGUCUCUCGUGGCCAGCGCGUUUCACAACGUUUCUAGUCAAGCCGUUUACCUAGGAAGCUUCACCUUAGUCCGCUGGUGCUAUAGAAGGCCUUAGGUCACGCUCUACCGGCCCGAGGGCUCCGGCGUAACGCCGAGCACCUCCGCCGAGCCGCCAUGAUCGACGGCGAGCCUCUUCCGGUGGCUCCGCCGUGGGGAAAAGGGGAUCAAUCGAGUCGCUAGAGUCUGGGGAUCACAAUGGUGCCCUUGGUUUGGCCGGAGACCUCGCCGUUGCGGAGAAAUCGCCGGCGAGAGUCGCCUCGACCGUGGGGGAGAAGAACCUGACAGGCGGGGUCCACUGUCAGUGUCACCUCCCUUCCCUCCUUUUCUUUUAUUCAAAAUCCUGAUUUUGGCUUUCUUGCAAAAAUCAUAUCUCCUGUUUCUGAGAUCCGAAAAUUAUGAAACCAAUUUUGUGGUGUUCCUUGAGAUGGCUAGUUUUUAAUAAAAAUAUAAAAUGAACCAUGUUUUCUAGGAAAAUAUUUAUUAAGGAUUUAAUCUUGUUAUUCAUGGAUAAAUUCAUAUCUCUGGUUAUACUGUUUAUUUUGCCAUGAAACAUUUAUGGUAGUCUCUGUGUGAUACUAGAAUGGUAUGAUAAAUAUUUCAUGAUUUUUGGAGUACUUCAGCUUUGAUAUGUAAUUUAUGUUUGAGAUUUGGCUUGUUUCUUUGAUUAAAUCAUAUAAAAUAAUUGGUGCUUAUUCUGGUGUUCUACUUUGGUGGUAAACUUGUUUAUGACAUUCAUAAUAUGUAAAUAAUCUAAAAUCUAUUGUUUGACACCAUAUAAGUCAUGUUUCUGAAUUUAUGAAAUAAACACCUUGUCACAUGUUAAAUGCAUAUCUUUAAUUUGGUAUGUGCAAUUGCUCUGAAAUUUUUAUGGUGAUGCUUUGAUGCUAUGCUUGUGCUGCUGUAAUUUUUGUAGAUUUUUCUGAGCAAUUUGACUAGUAUCUUGUAAUUAUGCUCCUUUCUAGAAUUAAUUAAUAAAUGCCUUGUUAAGUAAAUGUUUGAGGGUUAUCAUCUGAUGUUUUGGUUGUCUUAUGAUAUGCUUGUGCUCAUGAGCCAUGUGGUUGGCAUGGUUUAUGUUUUAGUUAUGUCAUCAAAUAAUUAAUUAAAGGGUUAAAGGCUGUUCUGGACAGCAAGGGAGUAAUAUAGUUUUUACUAGUUGACAACUUAGUUUUCUGGGAAACUUGUCUAAAUCAAAGUUGUUUUAAACUUAUUGAACUAGCUGUGGUUUAAAUUUGAGAUCAUUUGGUCCAGUAGUUUUGAAGUUAUGAUCUUUCCUAGUUAGGUUCCAGAAAUAGGUGUUCUCUGUUUUUCUGGGACAGAACCUGGAACUUUGUUUAAAUAACUUGUUUAAUAUAUGAAUCUUGCUGUGAUGUUCAAAGAUGAUUUGUAGACAAUUUCAUAAGCUUUCCAAAAUGUCCUUACUCAUGUUUGUUGGAUCUGCCUAGCAUUAGUUAUGACCUGUUUACUGAGCGAAUCCUGUUAUAUGUUGCUUGCUGUUAUAGGUUAUCAUGAUAGGUUUUGGGCUAAGUUAACUUGUUAACUUGUGUGAACUUGUUAUAACUAUUGCUCCGUAAAUGAGUGUCCAGUGGGUCACUUAUGUUAUCAAGCAUUCAUUCUUUUGUAUGCACACCUUCUCAUUCACCGAGCAUGCAAUAGGUGCAUCGGACGUGGCAACCUCCUUCGAUCUGCAAGUGAGCCCCGAAGGCCAGGAGGGCAACCCGGAGGUGGAGGUCCAGCAAGUCGGACUCGAGGAGCCCGAAGAAGAAGUUGAGUGCCCAAACCACGAGCCAGCCUCGUUCGUGAAAGGCAAGCCCCGGAGCAUUUUAAGCCUCCCUUUACUUUUGAAAGUUUAUUUAAUAUGUUAUAUCUAUUGCUGCAUUAAGUAUAGGAGUUGUGAUGAAACCUUUGCUGCAUUUUACUCCAUCCUUGUCCAGAUAACUCACCACACCCUGAUGGUAGAGUUAGGAUCGAGUAGCAGCUUAGCUAUGCUUAAUCGGUAGAAGUCGGGUGAUUUCCGGUCACCUGCGCGAUAUAGGGUUGUGUCGGAUCACGAUGGUCUAUAUGUGCUAUCGUGGAUGGAACCUGAUUAAUUUGACUUAAGCCGGGCGGAGUUUUGCAAGGUCGUAGUAACUCCGUCUGUGGCAGCUAAGGACCGAUCGUUGUACGUCCUCUUGUCAUGUUGAACGCAUGCCUAACACUUAGUUGGCCGGAUAACUCGUUCCGACCGCGAAGCCGAGUAGUAUGACUCAGGCCGGAAGACCGGCAAGUAUAAAGUGCGCACUACCGGAGGAAGUGCGGUGUGCGGGGGACCAUUGGCGUAAGCCCAAAGGCAGGUGAGUUAAAAUUCCUGACCUCCCUGGCAGAGUGGUAGCCCUGGGAGUGCGGCGCUGAUCGGAGCCGUGAUUCCUGAGUUGUACCAAAGGUGACCCGUUGGCUCUCCGACGGGGGAUGCUUGGGUGAGUGCUAGGAAUAACCCUCCAGCUGGAUAGGAAUUCGAUUCGAAUUGCCGUCUCUCCCGGUUAGUGAGAACUUGACAGAGCAGCGGCAAACGUAGCAUUCACUAAUGAACUUGGUUCAUGAUAAUGAUGAUAGCAAAGAAGAACAUAUGAUGAACUUGAUAUGGUUAUUAUUGUUUGUAAUAAUCAAGUGAUGUGUUGUAGUACAGGUUAGUUGUAAUAAAGGCUUUUGGCAAAUAUUGAGUCAACCAGCUCUACCUUUAUAUAUUAGCCUUGCAUGAUCCUUGGUGUCUUUUAUGUUUUACUAGACGGGUAAGUCUAGCUGAGUACAUUCUCGUACUCAGGGUUUAUUCCCACCUGUUGCAAAUGACAUCUUUUAUGACGGCUUCUGCAAGACCUGUCUCCAUCCCGCUGGGGAUGAGGACUAACCGUUGGGCACGGUUCUCUAACAAACUCGUACCUGUUGCUUUUGGAAGGAUGGUGUAGACUCUGGCAAUAACAAAAACUUGUGAACAGAACUUUGAACAAGUGUGUGUAAUUAUUUUGCUUCCGCUACUUCGAACAAGUGUUGUAAUAACUUAAUACUCCGAUGUGGUGCCGCUUCGACGGCAAUGAAUAACUAUGUAACAUUUGUUGUGUUGUGCUGAAUUAUUAUGAUCUUGGUUUGUUGCAAGUUGGUUUGAAGUCCUUCGUGAUUUCAAUUGACUAUCGGGAUUAUAUGGGCUCAAGUUUGGAAACUUGAUUGCUUGUCGAUUGUUUCUACACUUGAACUCUUAUAAUUUGGUCGGUUCUGUGACAGCUGGUAUCGGAGCAAGUUCAGCAUUAUAAAUGCAGCGUUUGUGUAUUUAAAAACAAAAGAGUUUUUAAGUAAAAUGGUGUAAAUCAAUAUUUAAGUUAUGCCAGUGGUCGAAUCCUCCUUGCCCACAUAAGGACUGUAGGUGGCUAUUUAAGUACUGACUUGGGGGGGUUUUAUUUAUGCAUCUCCGGCAGUACUCAGGUAUGGAUGUGUGAUGACCGCACUAUGCUACCCUGUGGUCUAAUGGUGGAGGUAGCCUUCAUAUGUGAAUUAGCCACAUAUGUCGCUAGAUUUAAAUUAUGCAACGUCGCACCUACGCCCUGGUAAGGGUGAGCUGUGAGAGCAUGAUCGUCCAAACAGGAGUCUAGGGGAGUGUUCGUGGUGGUUUUCUAGAGUGGUUACAUGUCAAAACCAUGGAACCACGAAAGAAACUUAAUUGGGAAGCAUUUAAUUUCUCGGGUAGCUGUGGUGUCAUUGUUUGUGCAUGUUGGGCAUGUUUAAGCAAUGUGCACUUAGUUUACUGCUUUCUUGAGUGAUAUAUUGGGAACUGUGGGGCUGAAAUGAAGUUUUCUGCAGGUACUCUAACAGCGCACGUGUAAAUCGAUAGUUAUCGUAUCGAGAGACGAAUGUAUGCCACCGUAUAUCCGUUAGAAUAUUAAUUUUAUAAGUUUGUGAGGACGUACGGUUCGUGCAUGCAUCAUGUCGCAUUUUCAUACAUAUAUUCUGUCUACUCCUUCCCUUACAAUUUCGUCCCUUUUAAUUAAAUAAAUGUUGCUUAAACUAAUCCUCUUCUACCCUUGGUAUUCCUAUUCCUUUCCACAGAUGGACGCACCCGCUUCACCCCAUCCCAGUGACACUUUCUUGAGCGAGUUUGGCACUCCUACCCUGCUCUGGAGAGUGUUACAGACUGUCGGGUAUACUGAGCCACCUCAGUACUCUUGUUGGGAGUUGGAGAGCAUAGGAAGGAUACAGUGGUUUGCUGUGCAGGUAGUUGUCCCUCCACAUGGGGACAAGCCUGCAUGGACAGGCUGGACUUGUAGCUCAGAUGGGCAGACUCCUUGGGAGGCAGCUCAGGUUGCAGCCCAGACUAUCCUGCUCGAUAUCUGUCAGAGGUGUGGCGAUGAGCUGACGGGAGGACCAGCGGCCUCCAUUCCCCGUGCUGACCCAGCAGCAGCAGAGUGGAAACAGGCUGAUGGUUGUGCUUUGGUUCGAGGCAGGGGAGAGCGAGCUGAGAGUUCUAGUCUUGCUAUGAGUGCUAUGAUGGCUGUGCUCAAGCUGAUCAGUCAGCGAGAGGGCACCUAUGCACAGGUGAUGGUGGCUGUUCGCCAGGCUCAGGAGAUGCAACGGAAGGCUGAAAAACGUGCUCGCAAGUUUCGCAAGUAAGCUAGACUCCUAGAGCAAGCUCAGAAGGACCGCAAUGACUGGGAAGACAUUGCGGAGUACCGUAGGCAGCAGUGGGUGAAGGCCAUUAGAGAGAGAGAUCAUAAGCAGGAUCAGAUGAGUCAGUUAGCUAGAGAGAGGGAGACCUUACAGGAGCGCUUGGUGCAGAUCACUCAUGAGAGGGACACUGCACUCCGCGUGUCGGAGAACAGGCGCCGGGCAUGGGAAAUGCACCGGGUUCAGUCUCUUGAGCGGGAGAACUAUCUGCAGGAUCAGAUUGAGGCUGGUCUUGUGGAGAUUCACCGUCUCAACAACUUGCUACACCCUAUUCCUCGCCCUAUACCCAUGUAUCCAGAGGUGGGACCUCAGGUGAUUGUGGCCGAUGAUGAUGGUAUGGAGGUCGAUGGACCAGCAGCGGCUGCACCACCUUUGCACGAGGACGUGGAAGACGAGGAGCUUGAGCCGGUUAGCGACGAGGAUGGAGAGGCGAUGUUCGAUGCUGACUCGGACGACGAGCCUGGAGUGUAGGGAGUAGUGUUAUGUGAGGAUCUUUUGUAGUAUGCCAGUCAGCCGUGGUGCUGUUGUACCCAUGUUGUAAUCUAGGACUUUGACCUUGACUCAUGGCAUGUACUGGGAUGGUGUAAUAACUUUGUGGACCCAAUGUGUAAUCUUAACAUGUUCGUUAUGUAUGACGAUGUUUUCCGUUGUGGUACAUAUUGCGGAUAUCUCUGUCAUGUGUUGGAUUGGUGAUGUUGUUUUGUGGAAUUGAAUUAUUGUGCCUUUCUGUAAAGCUAUUCUCUCGAAUACUUUCAGGCAUAAAUAUAAGUUCUUCUGCGGCAAAUCUUGUCAUCAUCAAUGCUCACUGACUGUGUCUUUACAGAUGUCUCGUGGCACCCGAGGUGCGGAACAGCGUGCAAACAUGAACCCACCCCCUCCUCCUCCACCACCAAAUCCUGCUGAGUUAAUGCAAAUGAUGGUGGAAAAUCAGAGGAUGCUCACUGAGACCAUCAAUCGGAUGGCCCAUCAGGGUGGUGGUAAUGAACAUGAAGGACCAGCUCCUAACCAGUACAGUAGCUUCAAGGACUUCAUGGAUACAAAGCCCCCACCUUUCAGAGAAGCUGAAGAACCCCUUCAAGCCGAAGAAUGGCUGAACACGGUGGAACAAAAGUUCCGCUUGCUUCGGUUGACUGAAGGUUUGAAGGCUGAGUAUGCAGCUCAUCAACUGCAAGGUCCAGCAGGCAUCUGGUGGAAUCAGUAUCGAGAAGCUCUUCCAGCCGACACUGUGCUUGACUGGAAUCUUUUCCGUGAUGCUUUUAAAGGGCAUUUCAUUCCUCCUGGUGUCAUGGAGAUGAAGCAUACUGAGUUUAUGCAGUUGACUCAGGGCAACAAAACUUUGAAGGAGUAUUUGCAUGCUUUCAAUCAUUUGUCUAGAUAUGCUCCUGAGUUUGUGAACACUGAGGCGAAAAAGAUUGCUAGUUUCAAGCGAGGUUUGGUUCCCAAGUUGCUGAAGACUAUGGGACGCACUAAGUGUGCAACUUUCAAUGAGUUUGUCAGUGAUGCUCUCACUCAAGAGAACUAUAACACUGUGUACACUGCGACCAAGACUCGCAAGAGGGCUUUUGAGGCCGGGACAGGGUCAUCUCAGUCCAAGGCUCCAGUGGCAGCUAAGCCACCGUUCUGUGCUCCAACGCCUAACCAGCGGUAUCGCCCUCCGGUGAAGAAGAAUCAGGCGAAGACGGGUUUCCGCAAGGGGUACUCUAUUGCUCUUCCUAGGGGCAACACGGGUCCCAAUUAUGCCAAGACUCCACCUGCCAACCGUCCGUGCUGGAACUGCAAUCAGACCGGGCAUUGGCAGAGCAACUGUCCUUACCCGCCAAAGAAGGGCAACCAAGGGAACGUCCGUUAGGGGCGUGUUCACUACACAUCCGUGGAGGCAAUCCCUGCUGGUGAGGUAGUCACGGUAGGUAAGUUUCUGGUCAAUCAAUGUGACGCACUUGUGCUUUUCGAUUCAGGAGCAUCGCAUUCUUUUGUGAGUUCUGAAUUUGUGUCUAAGCAUAAUAUCAAGGCAAUUACACUUGAUAAGGGAAGUUAUUGUAUUAGUGCUGCGGGAAAUGAUAUUUCCACCAAUCAAGUGGUUUUGGGGGCAACUCUGGAAAUAGGAGGUCGUCAGUUUCUUGCUGAUUUGGUUGUUCUACCCGGUGUGGGCAUAGAUGUAAUUUUGGGGAUGAAGUGGAUGAGUGGCAAUGGAGUUCUUAUCAACACCACCACUCGUGUAGUGAUGUUGAAAGACCCAAAUACCAAGGAGGCAUUUCUAGUGCAACUCCCUCGUGAUAUUCAAAUCCGUAGCACUGUGAAUGCAGUUACAUCUAAAGCUAUUUAGGACAUUCCGGUGGUGUGUGAGUUUCCGGAUGUAUUUCCUGAUGAUUUACCCGGGCUUCCUCCGGAUCGGGAUGUGGAGUUCAAAAUUGAGUUGAUUCCAGGUACCGCUCCUAUAUCUAGAAGACCUUAUAGAAUGCCGCCAAAUGAGCUAGCUGAGCUUAAGACCCAACUAAAUGAGUUGUUGAAGAAGGCUCUUAUCCGUCCUAGUUCUUCUCCAUGGGGUUGUCCGGCUAUCUUUGUGAAGAAGAAGGAUCAAUCUUUGCGCAUGUGUGUGGACUAUCGUCCCCAAAAUGCGGUGACCAUCAAGAAUAAAUACCCUCUUCCUCGCAUUGAUAUCUUGUUUGAUCAGUUGUCUAAAGCUAAGGUAUUCUCCAAGAUUGAUUUGCGAUCUGGGUAUCAUCAGAUCAAGAUCCGUCCUGAAGAUGUACCUAAGACAACUUUCUCGACGAGGUAUGGGUUGUAUGAGUAUCUCGUCAUGUCCUUCGGUCUUACAAAUGCACCUGCUCACUUCAUGUGUCUCAUGAAUUCGGUGUUCAUGCCCGAAUUGGACAAGUUUGUGGUGGUCUUCAUUGAUGAUAUCUUGGUAUAUUCCUGCAAUGAAGAGGAGCAUGCAGAGCAUCUGCGUAUAGUGUUGUCGCGUUUGCGUGAACAUCAGCUUUAUGCCAAGUUUAGCAAAUGCGAGUUUUGGCUGAAGAAAGUACCUUUCUUGGGCCAUGUCUUAUCUGAAGAAGGCAUAUCGGUGGACCUAGCCAAGGUGCAAGAAGUGCUGGAUUGGAAAGUUCCAACUUCGGUGCACGAGGUUCGGAGUUUUCUUGGUCUGGCUGGAUAUUAUCGUCGAUUCAUUCCCGAAUUCUCAAAAAUAUCCAAGCCUAUGACUCGGCUACUUCAGAAAGAUGAGAAGUUUGUAUGGACGCCUGAAUGUGAAGAGGCAUUCCACAAGUUGAGGACAUUGCUGACAUCAGCUCCUGUCCUAGCUCAACCUGAUAUCGAAAAGCCCUUCGAUGUCUUCUGCGACGCGUCGGGUAUUGGUUUAGGCUGUGUGUUAAUGCAGGAAGGUCGUGUUAUCGCGUGUGCCUCAUGCCAACUUCGAAAGCAUGAGGUCAAUUACCCUACUCAUGACUUAGAAUUGGCUGCAGUUGUUCAUGCUUUGAAAAUCUGGAGGCAUUAUUUGCUGGGUAAUCUGUGUAAUAUCUACACCGAUCAUAAGAGCCUCAAGUAUAUCUUCACUCAACCUAAACUGAACAUGCGGCAGCGAAGGUGGCUUGAGUUGAUUAAAGAUUAUAAUCUACAAGUGCACUAUCAUCCGGGCAAGGCAAACGUGGUGGCGGAUGCCUUGAGUCGGAAAGCGCACUGUCACUCAAUCCAAGUGGAAGAUCCGUUGUUGUCACAUCUUAUGCAUCCACUUGUGCUCAACCAGAUUUCUCUAGAGAGUACUCUUUGCAAUCGAGUCAUCGAAUUGUAGCAAACAGAUGUAGGCAUCCACCAUAUAAAGAGGAAAAUGAAGGAAGAAGAAACCAAGCAUUUCCGGGUCGAUGAGAACGGAAUUCUUUGGUUUAAAGAUCGACUAGUGGUCCCAAAAGACCAUGAGCUGCGAAAUCAGAUCUUGUCUGAAGCUCAUUCAUCCAAAUUGUCUAUCCGUCCUGGUAGUAGCAAGAUGUAUCAGGAUCUGAAACCUUUGUUUUGGUGGACAAAGAUGAAAAGGAGAUUGCUGCUUUUGUCGCUCGUUGUGACAAUUGUUGUCGUGUGAAGGCUGUUCACCUGAAAGCUGGUUUACUUCAACCCUUGUCAAUUCCUGGUUGGAAAUGGGAAGAAGUCAGCAUGGAUUUCAUUGUUGGACUCCCAACUUCUGUUAAGGGUUACGACUCCAUCUGGGUGAUUGUAGAUCGUUUGACCAAGGUUGCUCGAUUUAUUCCUGUUCGAACUGACUAUCGUCCACAUCAAUAUGCAGAAUUGUAUUUUGAGCACAUUGUUCAUCAGUAUGGUGUGCCACAAACUAUUGUAUCAUAUCAUGGACCACAGUUCACUGCUCGUUUUUGGGAAUGUCUACAUGAGCAGAUUGGCACUCAUUUAGUCCGUAGCUCUGCUUAUCAUCCCCAAACGGCUGGUCAAACUGAACUGGUUAACCAAAUCCUAGAAGACAUGUUGAGGGCAUGUGCUCUCUCUUCAAAAGGUUCUUGGGUUAAGUGGUUGCCAUUAGCUGAGUUCUCCUACAAUAAUAGUUAUCAGAAGAGUAUCAAGAUGGCUCCAUUCGAAGCCCUGUACGGUCGAAAGUGUCGAACCCCGUUGAAUUUGGUAGAAGCCGGGGAGCGAAGGUAUUGUGGUAUCGAUUUCAUGAAUGAAGCAGAGCAGCAAGUCCGUACCAUCCAGCAACAUCUAGAAGCUGCUCAAGCUCAUCAGAAAAGUUAUGCCGACAAAAGAAGGAAGCCGAUUGAGUUUUCAGUUGGUGACCAUGUGUAUAUCAAGGUGUCUCCGAUGAAGGGUGUACAAAGGUUCGGAGUUAAGCGAAAGCUUGCACCUCGUUAUGUGGGACCUUAUCGGAUUCUCGAAAAGAAAGGGAAUGUGGCGUACAAAGUUCAACUCCCUGUUGCGCUUCGAGCUAUUUUCCCUGUCUUCCACGUAUCACAAUUAAAGAAGUGCCUUCGUGUACCGGAGGAACGAGUGGAAGUUCGAGAUAUCAAGUUGAAGUCAGACUUGGUGUAUGAAGAAAAACCCAUAGCGGUUCUUGAUCGCAAGGAACGGGAGACUCGUAAUUGUGUGGUUAAGCUCUACAAGGUGUUGUGGGAGUAACCACGGGGAGGAAGAUGCCACUUGGGAGACGGAGGAUUAUUUAAAAGAAGUUUACAAAACAUUCUUCGAAAAUCAGUAAGCUUUCAAAUCUCGGGACGAGAUUUUUGUAAGGGGGGAGGGCUGUAACACCCUAGUGUUAUGGUUGCAUUAAUCAUGUGCAUAGCAUGAGCAUCAUCAUCUACUCAAAGCAUAUCAUGGUCAUCAUCUAUCUUGAGCCAUGUCAUUCUAUGCAAAUAUGUGAUCUAAAUUGCUUAAAUAGGCUUCCUAUGCUUAUGUUUGAGUGAACCAUGCUUGUGUUUGUGAUCUAUGCCUUGGUAACUAGUUUAUCUAUGCUUAACUUAACCUUGGGAACAAUGUUCAUGUUGAUCACUUCUCCAAAAUAAUCACCUAAGUCAUACUUGUACAAAUAGGCCCUAGAAACCUCUUUUGCUUAGGCUUUUAAAAAGUGUUUCAUAAAUUGUUUGCAUGUCAAAACUUUCUACAUCAAAGUUGUAGAAAAUUUUAUAAGGAACAAAAGUUGUUUUAUGGCCAUCUCAUGAAAAUGAUCACAAAUAGCUCAAAAUUGACCCACAAGGCAGAUUUGGGGCUAUUUCCAACACUUAGGAAAUUUUCUAAGUCCCGGAACGAAACCAGUUUGCUCGAUCGGUUUUGAAAACUCUAUAUCUCUCAAUCUAGGCCGAUUUGGCUUUUGCUCUAGUUGACAAUGUUGUAGAACUCGAUUGGAACUCCAACUUUGUCAACUGCAUCAUCUUCUAACUCGGGCUGGUUUGGGAGUUAUCUGUUGCUGAAGUCGCUCUGUCAGUCGGUCAUCGUGCUCUCUGAAUCGGAGCCGAGCUCGCCGUCGUGGAUGUCCCGAGCUACAUCUGUCCGCCAGAUGGCGCCCGUACGCCGGCGAUGGCCUUGCUCGUCAGCUCCCAGCGCGCGCAUGACCUCCACGGCGACGCCCCGAGCAGCGUGGACGCGUCCAUUUCCUCUCUGCCUCGCCUCUCUCGCCAGAAGAGCGCCCGCAGCGAGCUCACCGUCGCGAGCUCACUCCGGCGAGCUCGUGUGUGCUCCUCGCUGCGUCACAGUCCACCAAACUCCACUCACAGCUCCGCCGUGAACCGCUCUUCAUUCUCCACCCAUCAUCUCGCCGUGAGAUCCACUGGUGAGCCGCCAUUUUCUUCUUCCCCCAAAUCGGGUCACCGUGACCAUCUUUUCCGGCGAGCCCAAUGCUGAGCUCAUCAGGGCCUCUCGUCUUCUCUGGUUAGGUCCUAGAGGUUGCUUAGGUUCCUAGCAUGCGUUUGCGCCACUUGGUGGACGCUCUACCGAACCCACCGUCGCCGGACACGACGCGCAGCGCUGCCGUGUUUCCGCCAGAGUUGGGGUCUCUCGUGGCCAGCGCGUUUUACAACGUUUCUAGCCAAGCCGUUUACCUAGGAAGCUUCGCCUUAGUCCGCUGGUGCUGUAGAAGGCCUUAGGUCACGCUCUACCGGCCCGAGGGCUCCGGUGUAACGCCGAGCACCUCCGCCGAGCCGCUAUGAUCGACGGCGAGCCUCUUCCGGUGGCUCCGCCGUGGGGAAAAGGGGAUCAAUCGAGUCGCUAGAGUAUGGGGAUCACAAUGGUGCCCUUGGUUUGGCCGGAGACCUCGCCGUCGCGGAGAAAUCGCCGGCGAGAGUCGCCUCGGCCGUGGGGGAGAAGAACCUGACAGGCGGGGUCCACUGUCAGUGUCACCUCCCUUCCCUCCUUUUCUUUUAUUCAAAAUCCUGAUUUUGGCUUUCUUGUAAAAAUUAUAUCUCCUGUUUCUGAGAUCCAAAAAUUGUGAAACCAAUUUUUUGGUGUUCUCUGAGAUGGCUAGUUUUUAAUAAAAAUAUAAAAUGAACCAUGUUUUCUAGGAAAAUAUUUAUUAAGGAUUUAAUCUUGUUAUUCAUGGAUAAAUUCAUAUCUCUGGUUAUACUGUUUAGUUUGCCAUGAAAAAUUUAUGGUAGUCUCUGUAUGAUACUAGAAUGCUAUGAUAAAUAUUUCAUGAUUUUUGGAGUACUGCAGCUUUGAUAUGUAAUUUAUGUUUGAGAUUUGGCUUGUUUCCUUGAUUAAAUCAUAUAAAAUAAUUGGUGCUUAUGCUGGUGUUCUACUUUAGUGGUAAACUUGCUUAUGACAUUCAUAAUAUGUAAAUAAUCUGAAAUCUGUUGUUUGACACUAUAUAAGUCAUGUUUCUGAAUUUAUGAAAUAAACACCUUGUCACAUGUUAAAUGCAUAUCUUUAAUUUGGUAUGUGAAAUUGCUCUGAAAUUUUUAUGGUGAUGCUUUGAUGCCAUACUUGUGCUGCUGUAAGUUUUGUAGAUUUUUCUGAGCACUUUGACUAGUAUCUUGUAAUUAUGCUCCUUUCUAGAAUUAAUUAAUAAAUGCCUUGUUAAGUAAAUGUUUGAGGGUUAUCAUCUGAUGUUUUGGUUGUCUUAUGAUAUGCUUGUGCUCAUGAGCCAUGUAGUUGGCAUGGUUUAUGUUUUAGUUAUGUCAUCAAAUAAUUAAUUAAAGGGUUAAAGGCUGUUCUGGACAGCAAGGGAGUAAUAUAGUUUUUACUAGUUGACAACUUAGUUUUCUGGGAAACUUGUCUAAAUCAAAGUUGUUGUAAACUUAUUGAACUAGCUGUGGUUUAAAUUUGAGAUCAUUUGGUCCAGUAGUUUUGAAGUCAUGAUCUUUCCAAGUUAGGUUCCAGAAAUAGGUGUUCUCUGUUUUUCUGGGACAGAACCUGGAACUUUGUUUAAAUGACUUGUUUAAUGUAUGAAUCUUGCUGUGAUGUUCAAAGAUGAUUUGUAGACAAUUUCAUAAGCUUUCCAAAAUGUCCUUACUCAUGUUUGUUGGAUCUUCCUAGCAUUAGUUAUGACCUGUUUACUGAGUGUAUCCUGUUAUAUGGUGCUUGCUGUUAUAGGUUAUCAUGAUAGGUUUUGGGCUAAGUUAACUUGUUAACUUGUGUGAACUUGUUAUAACUAUUGCUCCGUAAAUGAGUGUCCAGUGGGUCACUUAUGUUAUCAAGCAUUCAUUCUUUUGUAUGCACACCUUCUCAUUCACCGAGCAUGCAAUAGGUGCAUCGGACGUGGCAACCUCCUUCGAUCUGCAAGUGAGCCCCGAAGGCCAGGAGGGCAACCCGGAGGUGGAGGUCCAGCAAGUCAGACUCGAGGAGCCCGAAGAAGAAGUUGAGUGCCCAAACCACGAGCCAGCCUUGUUCGUGAAAGGCAAGCCCCGGAGCAUUUUAAGCCUCCCUUUACUUUUGAAAGUUUAUUUAAUAUGUUAUAUCUAUUGCUGCAUUAAGUAUAGGAGUUGUGAUGAAACCUUUGCUGCAUUUUACUCCAUCCUUGUCCAGAUAACUCACCACACCCUGAUGGUAGAGUUAGGAUCGAGUAGCAGCUUAGCCAUGCUUAAUCGGUAGAAGUCGGGUGAUUUCCGAUCACCUGCGCGAUAUAGGGUUGUGUCGGAUCACGAUGGUCUAUAUGUGCUAUCGUGGAUGGAACCUGAUUAAUUUGACUUAAGCCGGGCGGAGUUUUGCAAGGUCGUAGUAACUCCGUCUGUGGCAGCUAAGGACCGAUCGUUGUACGUCCUCUUGUCAUGUUGAACGCAUGCCUAACACUUAGUUGGCCGGAUAACUCGUUCCGACCGCGAAGCCGAGUAGUAUGACUCAGGCCGGAAGACCGGCAAGUAUAAAGUGCGCACUACCGGAGGAAGUGCGGUGUGCGGGGGACCAUUGGCGUAAGCCCAAAGGCAGGUGAGUUAAAAUUCCUGACCUCCCUGGCAGAGUGGUAGCCCUGGGAGUGCGGCACUGAGCGGAGCCGCGAUUCCUGAGUUGUACCAAAGGUGACCCGUUGGCUCUCCGACGGGGGAUGCUUGGGUGAGUGCUAGGAAUAACCCUCCAGCUGGAUAGGAAUUCGAUUCGAAUCGCCGUCUCUCCCGGUUAGUGAGAACUUGAUAGAGCAGCGGCAAACGUAGCAUUCACUAAUGAACUUGGUUCAUGAUAAUGAUGAUAGCAAAGAAGAACAUAUGAUGAACUUGAUAUGGUUAUUAUUGUUUGUAAUAAUCAAGUGAUGUGUUGUAGUACAGGUGCUAAUCUAGUGGUAGGCUGAUGAUAAAUAAAUAUGAAGCUCUUACAAUAGGUUAGUUGUAAUAAAGGCUUUUGGCAAAUAUUGAGUCAACCAGCUCUACCUUUAUAUAUUAGCUUUGCAUGAUCCUUGGUGUCUUUUAUGUUUUAUUAGACGGGUAAGUCUAGCUGAGUACAUUCUCGUACUCAGGGUUUAUUCCCACCUGUUGCAGAUGACAUCUUUUAUGACAGCUUCUGCAAGACCUGUCUCCAUCCCACUGGGGAUGAGGACUAACCGUUGGGCACGGUUCUCUAACAAACUCGUACCUGUUGCUUUUGGAAGGAUGGUGUAGACUCUGGCAAUAACAAAAACUUGUGAACAGAACUUUGAACAAGUGUGUGUAAUUAUUUUGCUUCCGCUACUUCGAACAAGUGUUGUAAUAACUUAAUACUCCAAUGUGGUGCCGCUUCGACUGCAAUGAAUGACUAUGUAACAUUCGCUGUGUUGUGCUGAAUUAUUACGAUCUUGGUUUGUUGCAAGUUGGUUUGAAGUCCUUCGUGAUUUUAAUUGACUACCGGGAUUAUAUGGGCUCAAGUUUGGAAACUGGAUUGCUUGUCGAUCGUUUCUACACUUGAACUCUUAUAAUUUGGUCGGUUCUGUGACAAUCAUCACCAUCUUCCGAGCUACUAGAUAGCUCACUAGAAGAAGCAUCAUACGUCUUCCUUUCUUCUUGCUUUGUUCUUGCAGCCCUUCUUUUUGCUCUUUCUUCGUGUAUGCGCUUUCUUUCUUCUUUUCUCUUCAGCUUCUCAUCAUGCUUUUGUUGUUCUUCUUUUGCUUUUCUCCUUGCUUCUCUUCUUGCUCUUCUUUCUUUCUUUCUUUCCGCAUCGGUGGUCUUGUCAUCUUUGAGGGUGGCAUUGCUUGCUGUGGACAGUGACAUCUCACUGCCGCUGCUUGCAUCCUUGACAAGCACAUCAUCAUCCUUUGGCUCUCGGGCGGAUCUCGAACCUCUUCCAACUUCCAUACUUUACGCGGUGAAGCGUAUCUGAAGUAACGAUGCUCUAAUAUCACUUGUAGGAUCUCCUGGAAGUAAAAGAGGCCUAGAGGGGGGCGGUGAAUAGGCCUGUUAAAAAUUAACUCAAAACUCUAUUAGAACAGAGAGCGGCACUGCCGGCCUUCUACGGCGGCACUGCCGGCCUACAAAUAAAAUACCCACGGUGGUGAAACUUUGCAAGAAGUUAACUUAGGUAAAGAAGAGUCCAAUCCUGCAAAACAAAGAACAGAUCCAAUACAAAGACUAGAUACCACAGAAAAGUCUCACAAGACUAGAUCGGGUUACCAAACCCUAGAAGAGUAUAACUUUGAGAAAUAAUCUGCAAGAAGCACACAAGACUCAGAGAUUUAUCCCAUGGUUCAGCUCACCACAAAGGCUUGCCUAGGUCCACGUUGUUGAGGAAGCCACAAAGGCUUAGGCUUGCCACAAAGGCUUGCCCUACCCUCGUUCUCAAGUCAAGAGAGUAAACUCUUGAAGUGAGGGGUAAUUUCUUAGCUGCAAAGACAAGUUUACAAACCUCCUAAGGCUGCCACACAGGAGGGCAAGCUCAUGGGCGACGCCUAGCCGGCUAGGAGCAAGCUCCAAGAGUAACAAACCCUAGAACCGCCGACCAAACGUGAACCAAAUGCUCUUAGACUUUGGGAAACGAUGGAUCUACUCUCCAAUCCAGUUUUGCUACCUUUUCUCUCAAGGAUUGCUGGAUGGAAACAAAGAUUGCUUGAGGGAUGAAGAGCAACAAUGGAGGGGAGAGAGAGAGCUCUGGUUUGUCUGAGCAAGAGAUAAGUCGUCUGAGGUCAGUGAUGGCCGUUGUGACGAGCGUCCAGAGGUAUAUACCUCCCCUGGGUCCCAACGGUCAGAAGAGGGCGGCACUGCCGCCCAUGAUGGGCGGCACUGCCGCCCUGGCCAGAGCAGGUUAAAAAGGAAACUGUUUUGCGUGCUGCUUUGGCUGAGAAAGAGGAAGUUGUUUUGAGAAGAUGAGCAUCUAGUUGCACAGUUGAUCAACAAUUCUAGAAUUCCCCUUUAUAGUACGGCUUUUCCUAAACUCAAAUAAAGAAUGUAAAACAAAGUAACACGUCCUUGAGUUUAGAUCAGCUCCAACAUGUUUUCAGAAUACCAGCAACCUGUACAUCACUUCUAUAGUUUGAUCCCCUACUCAUUAACUCGAUAAAACUUGUUAGUCCUCUAAUUUUGUUGUCAUUAACACCAAAACCCACAAUAGGGCUUGAUUGCACUUACAACAUCACCAGCGGGAAGAGCAUCACCAGCAGGACUGAGAGGUGGAGCAUGAGGAGCACCCAAGUGCUUGGCACGAACCGGAGCGUGAACACACGAGUGCGAGAACUGCACUCCAGUAACUUGCUCCAUGAUUUGCAUCAGAUAGGGAGCAUAGGGCAAAUACUUGUGAGGAUCAACGGACCCAUCCACAAUCUUGUUCCACAUCAAGUCCGAGACACCAAAGCGGCCACCAUUAGCACCAAAGCGAGCCAAGAUCUUGGGAGCAUCAAGACAGAGGUGAAUAGAAUCUCCAAACUUGGGGUCAAUGGUGUAACAAAUCAAGUUGUUCGGCACAUAGAAGAACGGCUUCAACUGAGUGUUCUUGAAAUCCAGAUGAGCUCCAGGCUUGUACAUUUCAGCAGCAUCAAGAUCAGCCUUAGAAAUCCCCUCAGCAAAGAUGUUAGACAGCCAGGGUGCUUCACGAUCCGCAUGAUCAAAACCAAGCAAGCGAGAGAAGGUGAUGAAGUCAAGGCGAUAAUGAACACCUUGAGUCAUCCAAUGCAUCAGAUAGGGAGCAUAGGGCACAAGGCGAUAAUGAACACCUUGAGUCAUCCAAUGCAUCCCUAGAAGCUUGAUCCACCCACAAGGUUGCCCAAAACUGAAAGAUGAUUUCUUCAUUCUAAUUCUUCUCAAAGGUCAUAAGGGGAAGGAUGCGCCAUUCUUCAAGCUUGUGAAUUAAAGCAGUGACCUCAGGAUGAUUGAAUUCUUGUAGGGACUUGAGGACCACAUACUUGUGCUGAAAAAGUGGACCAUUCUUGGUGACUUUGCUGGCCUUAUAGAGGACGGACUCAUAGAAGUCAUUGUGAAACUGUGACCAAAACCGCUCCUCAACUCCCUCAAACUUGAUAUGACUUUGCUGGCCUUAUAGAGGACGGACUCAUAGAAGUCAUUGUGAAACUGUGACCAAAACCGCUCCUCAACUCCCUCAAACUUGAUAAACUUGUAUGGGUUCUCGCUGCGCUGAUUUCUUAAGUCCACAAGGCGCUUCUUGUAAUCAAUACCAAGCCGGGGUUGGGUGCCAGAGGGAAUAGAGGGCCUCCGGACAUGGUCAUUAAACUGAGGAUGCCAUGAGAGAGUCCGACGAGAACCAACCUCACUGAGAUGCAGGGGCGAUCGAUGAAGGACAUUGGGGUCCAUGGCCCGUCAUUCCUAUUGUACAGGAUCAGGGACAGCUUGACUGCAAACUCGGUCACGGUGAGAGGGAGGCGGACAUGGAACAGUGUGGGUGUGAAGAGGAGCAGGAAUGCCCUCAUCACCGAGGGAAGCACCAGUAGCACCCAGACCACGGGAAGGAGUCCCACGGCCACGCACUGCCCGUUCCGCGGACCGACUUCCGGCAUCACUGGAUCUAGGGCGAGCACCACGGUGAGGGUUCUUGCGCUUCCCGGAAUCCAUGCUGCAACACCACAAAGAGGGGCAGCAAAAGAGAUUACAAGAACGCACUAGAAUGCAGCAACGAAUCGAUCAAGGCAAUGGGAGGAAGUGCCUUGCUCACAGGGGCCGGUACCACCGGCGGCACCGAUGAGCAAGGGAAUCACCUCCAAUCGACCGAAUCGACCACAGGAAAGGCGCAUAAGGCAUUCUAGAAGAAAGAAUACACUAAGGGAAGGAAAGGAGUGCGAGGAAACAACCUAAAAUAAGGUACAUUAGUAGAUCGGGCGAUUUCAACGAGUACCUUGCGUCACGGAGAAGACGGGCCGAAUCCAAGCAACCCCAAAGGUCUUGGAGUCAACCAAGACUCUCCACGCGUCCCAUACGGCUAGGGCUAGGACCUUCGUGAAGAAUAUGAAGGAGCCGAGAGAUCGGGGCAAGAAAGUCGCCGCCGCCGCCGGGAGAAGAGAAGAGAAGAAGGGUUGGGCGGGUGGGAAGAGAUAAGGCAGAGAAAAUAACCGUGGGCGGCCUAAAUACCGCAGUAAAAAUUAACUACCGGUACUACCGGCCCAAGAGCCGGUACCACCGGCGAGCCAGAGAGGGCAGGCAGAGGUUUGCGGAUUUUUGGCCUAUCGGUGCUACCGGGCUUCGGCCGGUACCUGCGGCUAGAGCCGGUACCACCGGGGCAAGGCGCCGGUACCACCGGCCGACAGGGAACAGCGCAGAAGUGAACUUAGUGUGGCAAACUUAGAACCAAAUCAAACAUGGCCAGUUUUCAUCAAAUCAUUACAAAACAAUGGUCAUGCUUGAGAUGUGAAAAAUAGAUUUUGAAAUAACACUCAAUUUUUCAUAAAGUUUUGACCUUUCUAAGCAAUCAAGUAUGUGCAAGAUAUAAAGCCAUGUUACGAGAAUCAAUGAUAUUUAGUUCACGCCUCAAAGCACAAAAUUUUGAUUCAUCUAGAGGUUUAUGAAGAUAUCGGCCAACUAAAAUUCGGUUCUCACAUGUUGUACAGCGAUAUCUCCUUUGGAUUGGUGGUCUCUCAGGAAGUGAUGGCGAAUGUCUAUGUGCUUUGUUCUAGAGUGGUUUACAGAGUUAUCAGCUAGCUUGAUUGCUCCCUCAUUGUCACACAAGAGGGGAAUCUUGCUUUGCUCACAACCAAAGUCUCUCAAGGUUUGCUUCAUCCAAAGCAGUUGGGCACAGCAGGCGCCGGCCGCCACAUACUCGGCUUCAGUGGUGGAAAGGGCAAUGGAAUUUUGUUUCUUAGAACUCCACGACACCAAAGACCUACCAAGAAAUUGGCAAGUCCCUGAUGUACUCUUUCGCUCUACCCUGCAACCGGCAUAGUCCGAAUCGGAACAUCCUAGUAGAGUGAAAGUGGAGCCCUUUGGGUACCAUAAGCCAAGAUUAGGAGUGAACACAAGAUACCGAAAAAUUCUCUUAACAGCCAUGAGAUGGCAUUCUUUCGGAUUAGCUUGAAAUCUUGCACACAUGCACACACUAAGCAUAAUAUCAGGCCUAGAUGCACAAAGGUAAAGCAAAGAUCGAAUCAUGGAGCGAUAUACCUUUUGAUCAAUGGCCUUGCCGUCUCCAUCAAGGUCAAGGUGUCCGGUUGUUGGCAUUGGUGUCUUUAUGGGUUUGGCCUUGUCCAUGUCAAACUUCUUUAGCAUGUCGGUGGUGUACUUGGUUUGACUUAUGAAUGUGCUGUCCUUGAGUUGCUUGAUUUGAAAUCCAAGGAAGUAAGUCAACUCCCCCAUCAUGGGCAUCUCGAACCUUUUGGUCAUUGUAACAUCCCUGAUGUUACGGUUACUAAAAACGGAUCAUGUCAUCAUGAGCAUUGCAAACCAUAAUUGUUAAAGCACAUUAGUAUGCAUCAAUUUAAAAUAAGUUUACUUUGAGUGCUUGUGCUUAGGGAAUUAAAGUGUACUUACAUUGUGUUUGGAUGCUUGUGUUGGAUGCUAAAACCCUAGGGUGGAAGUUUUCCGAAGAGCUAAGGGGGGAAAACCCUGAUUUUUGAACCCUAGAACUGCCCCCUUUUGUGCAAUUCAAAAACUAAGCAAAAUUUGAGGUUGAGUUCAAAAGCAAAGUUGUAGAUCCUGGAAAGAUGUACAACUUUGGUGUUUUGAGUUUUUGAAGUUUCAAUACAAAAUUCAAAGUAAUUUUGAAAAUACAGAUUUCCGAAAAGUGUCCCCUUUUCCAAAUUAAAUCCCCAAUUCAAAAUCCAUUUGGAAUUUGGAAAAGUGGUCAACAUGAAAGUUGUAGAGCACAAAAAUUUGAGCAACUUUCAUGUUGGGAGUUUUUCAAGUUGUUAUGCAAAAUCAAAAGUAAUUUUGGAAAUUCUGUUUUGCCCCAAUUCAAAAAUUUGGAAUUCUUUUGAUUUGAGUUUGAUUUUCAAACUGUUUGGCCAAAUUCACCCUGUUACACUCAAAAUCAGCUCUGGUCACCAAAACAUGUUUUGUAGCUUAUAAAAUUUGGCACAAUUUUUGUUUUGGUGGAAUUUGGAGUUUAGUUCAAAUUUUGGCUGAUUUUCGCAAGGGGACAAAAGAGAGGAGAUAAGGGGGAGCUACAGUGAUCGGCAGGGGGGGGUGUUCUGCCGCCGGGGCAGAGCCGCCUCCGCGCGCGCCGCCACGCAGCUGGCCACGCAGCUGCUUGCUGCAGUGCUCCGCGCGGACGGCCUCAUCCUCACCCACUGCUCCACCGCGUGGAUAAAGCCUCGGACGGCCGGAACUUUCUUCUCCUUUCUUCGAACCUCACCGCCGACCACCACCACCCGCCGCCAAAAUUCACCUCACCCGUUGCCCUUCCAAGCCCUUUGAGCACGCCAGCAGCUCCGCCUUGAGCUCCGCCACCGAUUGCACUCCUUAGCACGAGCUCUAGUUCCCCAUAAGCCACAACCGAGCCUUUCUCCUUCGACGCCGGCCGAACCUCCACCGCCAAGCGCUUCACCGCAGCCAGCUCAUCUCGGGGCUCCUCAGCCGUUGCUUGCUACCUUGUCGAAGUCGCGGUGAGCUCCUGGUACUCCUGCGCCCUUUCCCUCGCUCUCUACCGACUCUGGAUGCUCGGGGAUUGGCGCCGAGAUGCUUCCGGUCGCCGGAGCCGUGGCCGGGUGGCUUAGGAGCUCCCUGUGACCAUGUUGAGCACGUUAGGCCACCCAGGGGGUCACGGCGAAUCUAGUGGAGUAGUUGGUUAACGCCGGGGAAGGCUCAUCGGCGCUGGACGAUCGCCGGAGCAGCAGCGCGAGGAGGAAGACGAAGCUGACGGGCGGGACCCGCCCGUCAGUGUCGGCGUGAGGGGAGAGGGCAGCGCGCGACGCCCGCGUGGGCCGCGUCCAAGCGGAGCGCGCGUGGGCCGAGCAGCCAGGCCGUCCGCGCAGUGCGGAUGUGGGCCGAGCACGCGCAUGGGUCGGCCUGCGGGCCAAGAUCCAGGCCGCCUACUGCGCAAAGCUCUUUUUCUUUUUCCUUUUUAUGCAAUUUUUGAUUGAUGUUUGAAAUUAUGUGAUAAAUUGUGUAGUGAUCCAAAAAUAGUGAAACUUUUUGUACAGGUUCCAGAUAAUAUAAAGAGCAUAAGAAAAAUGUUAGAGUCUAUUUCCUUGAUAGUUUGCCUGUCCAUAAAAAUUGGCUUUUUAAUUAAUAAAUAAAACUUCUAGGAAUUUUAAUAAUUUAUUUAUGUGUGCAAAAAUCACCAAAAUUGGUGGAGAGCCUCUGAAUAUUGUUCCCUGGCUCUACACAAAAUUUGGUGGCAUCUGGAUAAUGUUUAAUUGAAAUAUUAAUAAACCCCUAUUUAGUACUUAAGUAAUAAUUCCAAAAUAAUUCAACAAUAAUUAAGUAAACCCUCAUGAUUAGGGUUGAGUGACUUUGGAUUGUGUGAUGACCUGAGGUCAUUAACCCUAAUGACCUUUGGCAUUUAAUUGUUGUUUAGCCCUAAUGCUUAAUUACUGUCAUUAGUAAUUAAUUAAAAAUUAAUUACGGUAAAUAGGUUUAAUAAUUAAUUAAUUCAAGAUAAUUAGGAAUUAAAAGGAGUUUUAAUUUACUGAUGCAACCUCUUGGGUAAAAACAAUAGGUUGUUAAACAACUUUAAUUAUUAUUUACUCUGUGUUGCACCGAGAAGGCAAGUUAUACUCGACUUGGUCCUUCUUGCAUAAUUGCCAUACGCAUAUCAUGAGCAUUCAUCAUUUUGCGUAUAGUGCACGUGACCGAAGGAGCGACCGUUGAACCGAACCCCGAGGUCGGUGCUCCGUUCGAGGAAGUCGGAUCCGAGACUUGGGAAGUCUCCGAGGGUCCCUCUCUGCCCUGCAACCAAGGCAAGCCCCGGAUGCAUUAACCCCUCCUUGGAUGUUUUAAAUCUUUUAUCACUUAUGAAUUGAAAAUGCUGCAUUAGGUAGUUGGGAAUUGGGUUAACCUACUUGCUGCAUUUACUACCUUGAUAUCUGUUAUCCUGUCCUUGACACCUGUUUUAUUUUAAAACUGCGUAGCGAUGCUUAGCCCUGCUACUAGAUAGGUUUUUAAACAAGAAAGUUUGAAGGGUUGUUGUGGGAUACACUUGUGAUCAAUGAUAUUUCAAUUUGAGACCGGUCGGUGGACUUGCUUUAAGAAUGGAGUCUUAAAGUAGUGUCUCCAACUGUGUCGGUUAAGGACCGGUCCGUUGAUGGCCUGCUGGGUUGAGAAUUUAUAGUACUAGCCACUUGCCUACGGUAAGCCCAGUCUGGUGAUCCCUCGACGCGAACAGCUACUCGCGCACUGGGAGUGGAAAGAUGGCGAGAGUAGUGUGUACCCACCUUACGGAUCUGAGAUGACCGGAAAACAUCUAGAUCGGCUGUAGGAUGGUGGAGUACUGUGCUCUCGGGUGCCGCGAACCUGGUCAAAUUUGGGGAGAGCUUGAUUUGGGUUGAUAUAUGCAAGAUUUGGAUCUACAUAUGUCGGGUGGUUAGGAACUCCAGCUGGAUUGCUAAGCGAUUCGAAUCGUCGUUGCUCCCCGAUUGGGAGACUCAAUUCCUUCGACCCUCAUCGUAGUUAAAUAUGCAACUAAGUGAUAAAAUGAGAAAGGGGAAAAUGUCUCAUGAGGUUCGGAUCCCAAUUCCCGGACUCAUAGCGACAUGAAGCUAUGACCAUCAAUAAAUAAUACUUUAUGAUAGGACUAGGAACUCACGGAUUCGUCUGUGGGGAACAACCAGUUAGACUAUCCUCGAAUUCCUCUGCCUCUGCGAGGGAGGAAUUCGGAGUAAAACUUGAAAAUAAGGAUGCACUACUAGUAAGCCUUUACGCAAAACACUUUGGCUCCUUGCUCAGCCACCCCUUGUCUACCCUAAGCCUGCAUCCCUAAAUUCUCCUCUUUUCCCGUCGGAUAAGUCUUGUUGAGUACUCCCGUACUCAGGGUUUCAAUACCCCUGUUGCAGGUGAAGCUCGGGAGCCGACUUGUUUCGGACCCUGUUGUGUGACCGUCGUCGAGGUUGACGACGAAGAAGAGUGAGCGUGACCCAUGGGCAGGGUCUGUAAAUUUGUUUUGUCUCUACUCAAGUUUAAGUUGCUCCGCUGGACCAGGCUUGUAAUAACACUCUACUAUUUGGAAGAACUCCUUUUGUAAAUUAUGUUAUGUAAUACUUCCGCUGUUUCACUCUGAAAUACUAUUUUGGUCUUGUGUCGUUGAGUUACUGCUUUAUCUUCGCAACGAAUGAUCCUGGUGUUAAGGUGGCCACUUGCUAUCCUGUAAGGGCGAGAAGAAACAGUUCUCGUUGUUUGACCAUUGUGAGUGGUCAGGACGAGUCAGAUUGAUACGCCACAGGUAGCAGUGGAAUGAGCACACAGUAAGGCUCAUCGGACUUCUAAAGUGGGAGGACUCCCGGCAUCACUGUCAGAGGUCCUUAGGACAAUGGCAGGUGCCGGUGGGCCCAAACACUUAGGGGGUUCUGCCACAGCUGGUAUCAGAGCAUUCGUUGCUAAGAUGACUGCUGAACCUUUUGAAAAACUUCAAAAAUUCGUUUGAAACUAAUACUAUGAACCUGCCUAUUUUGAGUCCAAGUGCUUAGUCCUAACCUACCCCUGUCUAUAGGCUUUCUUAGAAUUUUUUUUAAGUGGUCUGGAGGAGCAACCUAAAGUAUUGCCCUAUGUUGUAAAAGUUUAAAGCAAUAUCGUUACGAAUUGUUAGUAGCAAUCGUAAGUUCGUGCAUGCAUCAUAAUGUAUUAACUGGUUAAGUUCCUUCCUCCUUGUUGGGUUGGGCGAAUAGAAUCAAUCCUAUUCUUGCUAACCUUUAAGGUCUCUCUUACCAAUCUAAACUUACCCUCUACAGGAUGGCUCGACAGAAGCAGACCCCGCGUAAGCGGACAGGUCCAAAAGGAGUUCCCCGACAUCAGCUAGCUCCACGUAGUGAUCAAGCCAGUAGUAGCCGCACACCGCCUCAGCAGGAGGUGGACAGGCUGUCCGCCGAGUUGACUGAGGUGAUGAGAGAGAGAAUGUACAAUGUUAUGGAGAUUGGCAAACUCAAAGCUCAACUGGCUAAAGAAAAACAAGCUACGGAAAACUGUGAAGCUAUGUUGUCCCGGAUGGUGGAGGAACGAAAUGCAGCCAUUGCCCGAGAGGAAGAAGCUAGGAGCACCCAUAGGCAUGAGCUAACUAGGAUGAACGCAAAGUUGGGCAAGGCAAAGUAUCUCAAGGAUUUGUAUGUGAAGAUGGCGGCCACGGUCACCGCACAACGGGAUGUUGCGUGGCAACGAGAGGACCAGCUCCAGCUGGAGAAACUGGAGCUGGCACAUCACUUAGAUACAGUCAAUGACCUGGCUAUGCAAUAUCGUGAUAUUGCAUUUGAUUUGUAUCAUCAACUCCACCCACCUCCCGGUGAAGGAGAAAUGGAUACGGAUGGCGAGUUGGCAGACGAUGGAGAACCCGAUGCAGGCCUCAGUGGUGAAGAGGAGUCCGACCCCGAUGAUCACAACCCAGGGGGUAAUCAAGAUGAUGGCAACGACGACCCGGGUUACAGUUCUGGCCACACCGAUUAGUUCGGUGAAACCGAGGGCAACGUCGUUGUAGGGGUCUUAGUUUACCGUAGUGAGGUUUGGGUUUGUAAUAUAAGUGUUCUUGUAGUUUGAAAAGUUGAACUUGUUUACUCUUGGUGUGUAUCUAACUAAUGUUUAAUAAGUGAAUGUGAGAUAUGUUCUGUGUUAUGAAUUCUACGUGGUAACAGGUAUCUACGAUUCUUGUAACAGAUGCCGAUGCGUACUCGCGGAUCCGAUGGAGCUGGGACAUCCCAGGGAGGGGAUGAUAUCCCCAACCCUCCACCUGCUCCACCUUCUUUGGCUGACGCCAUUGCUGUCCUACUAAGUGCCACAACUGACAAUGCUCGCUUGCUGCGCGAGCUAGCACAGCGUCAAACACACCCUGCUUCAAACUUCAGGGCACCGCGCAACGGGGAUGGAGAGGCUCGGUAUGUGGAUUUUACCGAGACCAAGCCCCCAGUGUUCACUAAGGCCGAUGAGCCUUUAGAAGCGGAUGACUGGCUCCGAACUAUGGAGCAUAAGUUCAGUUUAAUUCAGUGUUCAGAAACUCAGAAACCCUUAUUUGCAGCCCAGCAGCUUCGGGGAGCUGCAGGUGCUUGGUGGGAGAACUUCUUAGCUAUUCAAGCUCCCGGACACCAAGUUACCUGGACUGAGUUUAGGGACGCGUUCCGCGCCCACUACAUCCCCGAAGGGCUCAUGGCCAUGAAGGCCGAAGAGUUUCUCGCCUUGCAGCAAGGCGACAAAAGUGUUAUGGAAUACGUGGCAAGGUUCAAUCAUCUUUCUCAAUAUGCCACGGAUUAUGUGAACACAGACAGAAAGAAGAAAGCCUGUUUCAUGCGUGGUCUAAAUACUAAACUUCAGACCAUGAUGACCACUUGCCAAAAUGCUACUUUCUAUGAGGCGGUAAAUAUUGCCAUCGCCUCUGAGGAAAAGAAUAGGAAACACAAGGAAGCCAAGAAGAAGGCUGCUUCCUCUUCCUUCUCUGGUCGCGGUCAAAAGCGCCAGAGGAUCCUUUAUCAUCCACAGGGCCACGGACGUUUCCAAGCGCCGUCGCCUUAUCGUGGUCCUUUCUCCCCUCCACAGUACAGACCUGGGCAGCAGGUAUAUUCUCGACCUACUGCCAUCGCUUUUGCACCACGCCAGCCGAACGCCCCGGGUGUUCGCCCUACUGCUCCGCCCAGCCACAAUUUCCCUUGCUUCAAUUGUGGUAAACCUGGGCAUUUCUCUAAAGAGUGCCCUUUUUCUCGUCAAACCAACCCUACCUUUCCAAGGCCACCUAUGGGCCAACCCCAGCCGGGCCAGUUCAGGACUGGGGCUCAAAAAGGGCAACAGAUACAGAAAGGUAGACCGGUAAAGAAGACAGGGCAAGUCUUCCAUACUGAAGUGGAGACAAUUCCAGAGGGUGAACCAGUGAUGAUGGGUACGUUUCCUGUUGCGAAGCAUCCUGCUUUAAUGCUCUUCGAUUCUGGUGCAUCCCAUACAUUUAUUAAUCGCACCUUUGUGUUAAAGCAUGGCAUACCCAUUGGGGAAACACAAGAUCAUUUUUAUAUACAGUCGCCAGGAGGACGGCUGGUGUCUAAAGAAAUGGUUCACCAAGUACCCAUCGAAUUCGGUGGGCACAAUUUUCCUACUAGCAUGAUUGUUCUUAAGGACCAAGAAAUUGAUGUUAUCUUAGGCAUGAACUGGAUGGCGCAACGAGGGGUUGUGCUAGACACUUUGCACCGAACUAUUAAAAUCCCAUUGCCCAAUGAGAGUUCUUACUUGCUAAUCCAAUUAGUUACUCCCAAACGGACAAUUGGGCAAGUUCAUGCCGCUAAUGUGUCUGAAGUUAAAGAUAUCCCGGUAGUUCGAGAUUUCCCGGAUGUAUUUCCUGAAGACUUACCAGGUUUGCCUCCGGACCGGGAUGUACAAUUCAGUAUAGAAUUGAAACCGGGAACGGCCCCAAUAUCUCGAAGGGCCUAUAGAAUGGCACCGAAAGAGCUGGCCGAAUUGAAAACCCGAUUACAAGAAUUGUUGCAGAAGGGUUUUAUUCAGCCCAGUUCUUCUCCAUGGGGUUGCCCAGCCUUGUUUGUGAAGAAGAAAGAUCAGACAUUAAGGCUGUGCGUCGACUAUCGUCCUCUAAAUGAGGUGACGAUUAAGAAUAAGUACCCAUUGCCCCGCAUUGACUUACUGUUUGACCAGCUAGCUGGGGCCAAAGUGUUCUCAAAAAUUGAUUUGAGAUCAGGGUACCAUCAAAUUAAGAUUAGGCCGGAAGAUGUACCCAAGACUGCUUUCACAACCCGUUACGGGUUGUAUGAAUACUUGGUGAUGUCCUUUGGGUUGACCAACGCACCGGCCCAUUUUAUGUACCUGAUGAACUCUGUCUUUAUGCCAGAACUAGACAAAUUUGUGGUCGUCUUCAUCGAUGACAUCUUGAUUUACUCCAAAACUAAGAAGGAACAUGCUGAACACUUGAGAAUCGUGCUGACCCGUCUCAGGGAGCAUCAGCUAUAUGCCAAGUUCAGCAAAUGUGAAUUCUGGCUGGACAAAGUUCAUUUCCUGGGUCAUGUGUUAUCAGCGGAAGGAGUCGCUGUAGACCCAGGCAAGGUCGAAGAUGUGUUGAAUUGGAAACCCCCAACUACGGUACAUGAGGUCCGUAGUUUUCUGGGCAUGGCGGGAUAUUACCGUCGUUUUAUCCCGGACUUUUCCAGAGUCGCCAAACCAAUCACAACCUUGCUCAAAAGUCAAACAAAAUUUGUUUGGUCACCCCAAUGUGAGCAAGCUUUUCAGGCUCUGAAAAGGUUGUUGACAACUGCACCUGUCUUAGCCCAGCCAGAUAUUGAAAAACCCUUUGAUGUAUAUUGUGAUGCAUCAGGAAUCGGGUUGGGCUGUGUGCUGAUGCAGGAGGGUCGCGUAAUUGCAUAUGCUUCUAGACAACUCAAACCUCAUGAAGAGAAUUACCCGACCCAUGAUCUCGAACUAGCCGCCGUGGUACAUGCAUUGAAGAUCUGGCGUCAUUAUUUGUUGGGAAACACGUGUCAUCUAUAUACAGAUCACAAAAGCUUGAAGUAUAUCUUUACUCAAGCUGAGCUUAAUAUGCGCCAGCGAAGGUGGCUAGAACUAAUUAAAGAUUACGACCUUGAGGUGCAUUAUCACCCUGGCAAGGCAAAUGUAGUAGCGGAUGCCCUCAGUCGUAAGGCUCACUGUAAUUGCUUAACAGUGAAGCCUAGGGAUAUAACUUUGUGCCAAGAGCUAGAGAACUUGGGAAUAGAAAUGAUUUCCCAAGGAAGCCUUUCCAAUUUAAAGAUUGAUUUCAAUCUCGAGGCUCAAAUCAUAAAGGCACAAAAAGAAAACAAAGGCAUGAGACAUCUUAAAGAAAAGAUUUCUAAUAGAGCGCUCACAGACUUUAAGGUGGAUGAGGCGGGAGUAAUCUGGUUCAAGAACCGGUUAGUGGUUCCAAAGGUACCUGAGUUACGUCAGCAAAUCCUAGAUGAAGCUCAUACCACGAGGUAUUCUAUUCAUCCGGGAAGCAAUAAGAUGUAUCAGGACCUGAAGCAAAGGUUUUGGUGGACAAAAAUGAAGAUAGAAAUAGCUCGCUAUGUGGCCCAGUGUGACACCUGUCGAAAAGUCAAAGCCAUUCAUCUCAAAUCCGCUGGGGAGUUGCAACCUUUGCCUAUCCCCGCAUGGAAAUGGGAUGACAUAAGUAUGGAUUUCAUAGUAGGAUUGCCCAAGACGGCCAAGGGCUUUGACUCCAUUUGGGUCAUAGUAGAUCGUCUCACCAAAACAGCACAUUUUCUGCCAGUAAAGCUAUUGUAUCCUGCCUCCACCUAUGCUAAGAUUUAUUUCGACCGUAUCCUAAGUCUGCAUGGAGUGCCAAAGACAAUAGUGUCAGAUAGAGGCACACAAUUUGUCUCCCAAUUCUGGAAAUGUUUACAUGAGUCCUUGGGCACUAAGCUUUUAUACAGCACAGCCUACCACCCUCAAACUGGUGGGCAAACGGAAAGGGUAAAUCAAACCCUAGAAGAUCUAUUAAGAUCUUGUGCCCUGAAUUUUCCAGAUAAGUGGGAUGACUGCUUGCCUCUAGCAGAAUUUUCCUACAAUAAUAGCUAUCAAGAGAGUAUCAAAAUGGCUCCCUUUGAGGCACUGUAUGGUCGCCGAUGUCGAACUCCGUUACACUGGUCGGAACCUGGAGAAAGAUGGUUCUUCGGAGUUGACUUAGUGAAAGAGACUGAGAACAAAGUGAAACAAAUCCAAAAUAACUUGAAAGUUGCUCAGUCCCGACAGAAAAGUUACGCUGAUAAAAGACGUCGACCAUUAAAGUUCGCCAAAGGUGAUCAUGUGUAUUUGAAAGUAUCCCCAAUGAAAGGAGUAAAUCGUUUUGGUGUUAAAGGCAAGUUAGCGCCUCGUUACAUUGGUCCAUUUCCAAUUAUUGACCGAUGUGGGCAAGUCGCUUACCGCCUUAAACUGCCCGAACGAUUAUCCGGGAUACAUAAUGUGUUCCAUGUGUCUCAACUGAAAAAGUGUCUUCGGGUACCAGACCGAGUUCAAGAUAUUGAAGAUGUAAAGCUUGAACCAGAUUUAACUUAUUCGGAAUAUCCUAUCCGAGUACUGGAUCAAAAAGCUAGAGUUACUCGAAGGACAACCACCAAAUGGUAUAAAGUACAAUGGAGCCAGCACUCUGAAGAAGAAGCUACCUGGGAAUCUGAAGAUUACUUGUUAGAGAAUUUUCCUGAAUUCCAUGCUUCCCUUCAGGAUAGCAUACGAUAAUCAGAGAAUGUACUCCAGUGAAGAAAAAGAGUUACCAAAGCCAUGUACUUAAUGUACAUAUAUGCAUAUAAUGAAGUAUUUUUCCCAACUCCUUGCCUUAUGGGGAAGCUGAAGAUGAAAGAGUUUUGACAAAUUUCCUUUUCCAUUACUUACCCUAAGGUUUUAAAUCUCGGGGACGAGAUUUCUUUAAGGGGGAAGGGCUGUAACAUCCCUGAUGUUACGGUUACUAAAAACGGAUCAUGUCAUCAUGAGCAUUGCAAACCAUAAUUGUUAAAGCACAUUAGUAUGCAUCAAUUUAAAAUAAGUUUACUUUGAGUGCUUGUGCUUAGGGAAUUAAAGUGUACUUACAUUGUGUUUGGAUGCUUGUGUUGGAUGCUAAAACCCUAGGGUGGAAGUUUUCCGAAGAGCUAAGGGGGGAAAACCCUGAUUUUUGAACCCUAGAACUGCCCCCUUUUGUGCAAUUCAAAAACUAAGCAAAAUUUGAGGUUGAGUUCAAAAGCAAAGUUGUAGAUCCUGGAAAGAUGUACAACUUUGGUGUUUUGAGUUUUUGAAGUUUCAAUACAAAAUUCAAAGUAAUUUUGAAAAUACAGAUUUCCGAAAAGUGUCCCCUUUUCCAAAUUAAAUCCCCAAUUCAAAAUCCAUUUGGAAUUUGGAAAAGUGGUCAACAUGAAAGUUGUAGAGCACAAAAAUUUGAGCAACUUUCAUGUUGGGAGUUUUUCAAGUUGUUAUGCAAAAUCAAAAGUAAUUUUGGAAAUUCUGUUUUGCCCCAAUUCAAAAAUUUGGAAUUCUUUUGAUUUGAGUUUGAUUUUCAAACUGUUUGGCCAAAUUCACCCUGUUACACUCAAAAUCAGCUCUGGUCACCAAAACAUGUUUUGUAGCUUAUAAAAUUUGGCACAAUUUUUGUUUUGGUGGAAUUUGGAGUUUAGUUCAAAUUUUGGCUGAUUUUCGCAAGGGGACAAAAGAGAGGAGAUAAGGGGGAGCUACAGUGAUCGGCAGGGGGGGGUGUUCUGCCGCCGGGGCAGAGCCGCCUCCGCGCGCGCCGCCACGCAGCUGGCCACGCAGCUGCUUGCUGCAGUGCUCCGCGCGGACGGCCUCAUCCUCACCCACUGCUCCACCGCGUGGAUAAAGCCUCGGACGGCCGGAACUUUCUUCUCCUUUCUUCGAACCUCACCGCCGACCACCACCACCCGCCGCCAAAAUUCACCUCACCCGUUGCCCUUCCAAGCCCUUUGAGCACGCCAGCAGCUCCGCCUUGAGCUCCGCCACCGAUUGCACUCCUUAGCACGAGCUCUAGUUCCCCAUAAGCCACAACCGAGCCUUUCUCCUUCGACGCCGGCCGAACCUCCACCGCCAAGCGCUUCACCGCAGCCAGCUCAUCUCGGGGCUCCUCAGCCGUUGCUUGCUACCUUGUCGAAGUCGCGGUGAGCUCCUGGUACUCCUGCGCCCUUUCCCUCGCUCUCUACCGACUCUGGAUGCUCGGGGAUUGGCGCCGAGAUGCUUCCGGUCGCCGGAGCCGUGGCCGGGUGGCUUAGGAGCUCCCUGUGACCAUGUUGAGCACGUUAGGCCACCCAGGGGGUCACGGCGAAUCUAGUGGAGUAGUUGGUUAACGCCGGGGAAGGCUCAUCGGCGCUGGACGAUCGCCGGAGCAGCAGCGCGAGGAGGAAGACGAAGCUGACGGGCGGGACCCGCCCGUCAGUGUCGGCGUGAGGGGAGAGGGCAGCGCGCGACGCCCGCGUGGGCCGCGUCCAAGCGGAGCGCGCGUGGGCCGAGCAGCCAGGCCGUCCGCGCAGUGCGGAUGUGGGCCGAGCACGCGCAUGGGUCGGCCUGCGGGCCAAGAUCCAGGCCGCCUACUGCGCAAAGCUCUUUUUCUUUUUCCUUUUUAUGCAAUUUUUGAUUGAUGUUUGAAAUUAUGUGAUAAAUUGUGUAGUGAUCCAAAAAUAGUGAAACUUUUUGUACAGGUUCCAGAUAAUAUAAAGAGCAUAAGAAAAAUGUUAGAGUCUAUUUCCUUGAUAGUUUGCCUGUCCAUAAAAAUUGGCUUUUUAAUUAAUAAAUAAAACUUCUAGGAAUUUUAAUAAUUUAUUUAUGUGUGCAAAAAUCACCAAAAUUGGUGGAGAGCCUCUGAAUAUUGUUCCCUGGCUCUACACAAAAUUUGGUGGCAUCUGGAUAAUGUUUAAUUGAAAUAUUAAUAAACCCCUAUUUAGUACUUAAGUAAUAAUUCCAAAAUAAUUCAACAAUAAUUAAGUAAACCCUCAUGAUUAGGGUUGAGUGACUUUGGAUUGUGUGAUGACCUGAGGUCAUUAACCCUAAUGACCUUUGGCAUUUAAUUGUUGUUUAGCCCUAAUGCUUAAUUACUGUCAUUAGUAAUUAAUUAAAAAUUAAUUACGGUAAAUAGGUUUAAUAAUUAAUUAAUUCAAGAUAAUUAGGAAUUAAAAGGAGUUUUAAUUUACUGAUGCAACCUCUUGGGUAAAAACAAUAGGUUGUUAAACAACUUUAAUUAUUAUUUACUCUGUGUUGCACCGAGAAGGCAAGUUAUACUCGACUUGGUCCUUCUUGCAUAAUUGCCAUACGCAUAUCAUGAGCAUUCAUCAUUUUGCGUAUAGUGCACGUGACCGAAGGAGCGACCGUUGAACCGAACCCCGAGGUCGGUGCUCCGUUCGAGGAAGUCGGAUCCGAGACUUGGGAAGUCUCCGAGGGUCCCUCUCUGCCCUGCAACCAAGGCAAGCCCCGGAUGCAUUAACCCCUCCUUGGAUGUUUUAAAUCUUUUAUCACUUAUGAAUUGAAAAUGCUGCAUUAGGUAGUUGGGAAUUGGGUUAACCUACUUGCUGCAUUUACUACCUUGAUAUCUGUUAUCCUGUCCUUGACACCUGUUUUAUUUUAAAACUGCGUAGCGAUGCUUAGCCCUGCUACUAGAUAGGUUUUUAAACAAGAAAGUUUGAAGGGUUGUUGUGGGAUACACUUGUGAUCAAUGAUAUUUCAAUUUGAGACCGGUCGGUGGACUUGCUUUAAGAAUGGAGUCUUAAAGUAGUGUCUCCAACUGUGUCGGUUAAGGACCGGUCCGUUGAUGGCCUGCUGGGUUGAGAAUUUAUAGUACUAGCCACUUGCCUACGGUAAGCCCAGUCUGGUGAUCCCUCGACGCGAACAGCUACUCGCGCACUGGGAGUGGAAAGAUGGCGAGAGUAGUGUGUACCCACCUUACGGAUCUGAGAUGACCGGAAAACAUCUAGAUCGGCUGUAGGAUGGUGGAGUACUGUGCUCUCGGGUGCCGCGAACCUGGUCAAAUUUGGGGAGAGCUUGAUUUGGGUUGAUAUAUGCAAGAUUUGGAUCUACAUAUGUCGGGUGGUUAGGAACUCCAGCUGGAUUGCUAAGCGAUUCGAAUCGUCGUUGCUCCCCGAUUGGGAGACUCAAUUCCUUCGACCCUCAUCGUAGUUAAAUAUGCAACUAAGUGAUAAAAUGAGAAAGGGGAAAAUGUCUCAUGAGGUUCGGAUCCCAAUUCCCGGACUCAUAGCGACAUGAAGCUAUGACCAUCAAUAAAUAAUACUUUAUGAUAGGACUAGGAACUCACGGAUUCGUCUGUGGGGAACAACCAGUUAGACUAUCCUCGAAUUCCUCUGCCUCUGCGAGGGAGGAAUUCGGAGUAAAACUUGAAAAUAAGGAUGCACUACUAGUAAGCCUUUACGCAAAACACUUUGGCUCCUUGCUCAGCCACCCCUUGUCUACCCUAAGCCUGCAUCCCUAAAUUCUCCUCUUUUCCCGUCGGAUAAGUCUUGUUGAGUACUCCCGUACUCAGGGUUUCAAUACCCCUGUUGCAGGUGAAGCUCGGGAGCCGACUUGUUUCGGACCCUGUUGUGUGACCGUCGUCGAGGUUGACGACGAAGAAGAGUGAGCGUGACCCAUGGGCAGGGUCUGUAAAUUUGUUUUGUCUCUACUCAAGUUUAAGUUGCUCCGCUGGACCAGGCUUGUAAUAACACUCUACUAUUUGGAAGAACUCCUUUUGUAAAUUAUGUUAUGUAAUACUUCCGCUGUUUCACUCUGAAAUACUAUUUUGGUCUUGUGUCGUUGAGUUACUGCUUUAUCUUCGCAACGAAUGAUCCUGGUGUUAAGGUGGCCACUUGCUAUCCUGUAAGGGCGAGAAGAAACAGUUCUCGUUGUUUGACCAUUGUGAGUGGUCAGGACGAGUCAGAUUGAUACGCCACAGGUAGCAGUGGAAUGAGCACACAGUAAGGCUCAUCGGACUUCUAAAGUGGGAGGACUCCCGGCAUCACUGUCAGAGGUCCUUAGGACAAUGGCAGGUGCCGGUGGGCCCAAACACUUAGGGGGUUCUGCCACAGUCAUGAUCCUACUAAAUUCCUCACUGAAGUCUGCAUUAGUACUACCAAAUAUUAUGUCAUCGACAUAUAUUUGGCAUAUAAAAAUAUCAUUAUUGACUUUGCGAGUAAAUAAAGUGGGAUCGGCUUUUCCAAUCUCAAACCCUUGUUUGAGUAGGAAAUCCUUGAGACAAUCAUACCAAGCUCUAGGGGCUUGCUUAAGCCCAUAGAGUGCCUUGUCAAGCUUGUAGACAUGAUCGGGAUGAUGUGGAUCUUCAAAACCCGGCGGUUGCUCCACAUACACGGUUUCAGAGAGGGGGCCAUUGAGGAAUGCACUUUUCACGUCCAUUUGAAACAACUUGAAAUCAUAAUGAGCAGCAAAGGAAAGUAAUAUGCAAAUAGAUUAAAGCCUAGCUACAGGUGCAUAAGUCUCCCCAAAAUCUAAACCUUUGAUUUGAGUGAAACCUUUGGCAACCAACCGAGCCUUGUUUCUAGUGACCACGCCAUACUCAUCUUCUUUGUUGCGGAAGACCCAUUUGGUUCCUAUCACAUUUUGCUUGGGUCUUUCCACCAAGGACUAGACUUCAUUCCUAGUGAAGUUGUUCAACUCCUCUUGCAUAGCCAUCACCCAAUCCGGAUCCUUCAAGGCAUCUUCCACCCUAUUUGGCAACAUAGAGGAGACAAAAGAGUAAUGUUCACAAAAACCAACUAAACGAGAGCGUGUUGUUACCCCUCGUUGUAUGUCUCCCAAAAUGCUAUCAACGGGAUGAUCCCGUUGAAUAGAGUGAUGAACUCUUGGGUGAGGCACUAUUGUUCUUGUUUGAAUAGGGCCAUCAUCUUCAUCUUCAUGGUCUUGGUUGAUUAGAGAAUCUAGAUCUUGAACGUUUUGAUCUCCAUCUUGGUUUGGUUCUUGUGCUUGAGGUGGAUCUUGUCCAACUUGUUCUCUUGAGUCAUGACCUCUUCUUGAUGUGGAAGCAUCAUCAUGGGCAUUGGUUGACCCAUGAUGCAAGUUUGGGUCAUGAGAAAUUUGCAUGUGUGCAUCAUCUUCUUCUUCUUCAACGGGUUUCACUUCACCGGUAGCAAGCUUUUUGAUUACUUGGCGAGAUGGCUCUUCUUUACCUAGAAUUUCAGCAUUGACUUGCUCCUUUUGAGAGCCGUCGCUUUCAUCAAAAGUCACGUCUACCGCUAUUUCAAUUUGACUGGUGGUCUCAUUGAAAACACGAUAGCCAUGUUGAUUAGUAGCAUAACCAAGUAAGAACCCUUCAUCAACCUUUGGUGCGAACUUAGAGCUUUUGGAUCUUUUAUUAAGUAUGAAACACUUGCAUCCAAAAACUCUAAAGUAAUCCACCUUAGGCUUUUUACCGGUUAGGAGCUCGUAGGUAGUUUUCUUCCUCAACUUGUGGAGGUAUAAGCGGUUGAUGGCAUGACAUGCCGUGUUAACGGCUUCUGCCCAAUAGUCCUUUUUGGAAAUCUUGUAUUCAUCCAACAUUGCUCUUGCGGCUUCAAUGAGUGUUCGGUUCUUCCUUUCCACCACACCGUUUUGUUGUGGAGUAUAUGCAACCGAGAACUCAUGCUUGAUGCCUUCUUCAUCAAGGUAUGCUUCAAUGUUGGUGUUUCUAAAUUCGGUCCCGUUGUCGCUUCUCACUUUCUUGAUAUUCAAUUCAAACUCAUUUUGAGCCCUUCUUGCAAACUUCUUGAAGAUCCCUUGGGUCUCACUCUUGUCCUUCAAAAAGAAUACCCAAGUGAAGCGAGAAAAGUCAUCAACAAUUACAAAACUAUAUUUGUUACCUCCAAUGCUUAUGUAAGCAUUGGGUCCGAACAAGUCCAUGUGAAGUAGCUCAAGUGGUCUUGAUGUAGUCACAAUGUUCUUCGCGGGAUGCUUGGCUCCAACUUGCUUUCCCGCUUGACAUGCACUGCAAAUUCUAUCUUUCUCAAAAUAAACAUUCGUUAGUCCAAGGAUGUGUUCACCUCUUUGAAGAUCGGCCAAGUUCCUCAUCCCAACAUGGGCUAGACGGUGAUGCCACAGCCAGCCCAUGCUAGAUUUUGCCACUAAGCAAGUCUCGGACCCCACUCUACGAGCUGAGAAAUCAACUAGAUAGAGUUUGCCCUUUAGUUGACCCAUAAAAGCAAUAGAGGAAUCCGUCCUUCUAGAGACUUCCACAUCCUUAUCCGUAAAGAGACAAUUGUAACCCUUCUCACAAAGUUGUGAGACGGAUAACAAAUUGUAUCCCAACGAAUCCACAAGCAAAACAUUUGAAAUGGAAUUAUCAUUUGAAAUUGCAAUUUUACCUAAACCAAGGAUAUCACCUUUACUAUUAUCACCAAAGACAAUCCUUUCACUUGUGAUUUGACUUGGUUGAAAGGAGGUGAACAUGUUCUUCUCUCCGGUCAUGUGAUUGGUGCAUCCACUAUCCACCCAACUUGGCCCACCGGAGGAAUAAACCUACAAGACAAGAUUAAGCCUUUGUUUUAGGUCCCGAGUUGGAACCUAGGGGGUUAGACACAUAAGAUUUGGGCACCCAAACACUCCUCAAGAUUUGUCUCUUCUUGAAGGCGCCCACAUACUUCACAACAAUCUUGCCAUCCUUAUCCCAACAACACAUGUAAUCACAAAUAUGAUUGCGUGAGAUAGGCGCUUGUUGCUUGGGCACUUCCCCUUGCUUCUUCUUGAUGCUCUUGUUGUCUGCAAGUGGGAUUAUAGGAGUCGCAACAUUGUUCACCUUGUCAUUAAGGUCAACAAGAGGCACACUCUUGUUGAACUUCACACAAGCCACCCCAUUUAUCAUGUUUCUCCCAUUGGCCUUACCAUUGUACCGAUUAUAUCCGAGGCCAUCCUUGAUUAUGGGGUGCCCUGAUGCCUUGAACACAUUUACCGGUUGCUUGUCCUUGCACUUGAAACCAAUCUUGACAAUAGUGUUCAGUCUUUGAAUUUCUUUGUCCUUCUUGGCUAACUCAUCAAGGUUAGUGACACAUGCAUUUAUGUCAACAUUUAUGCAUCUUUCACAGCUUUUACUUGUAGAAGCAUUUGAAUCCUUGGAAGCGGUAGAGGUGCUAGACCAAAGCUUUUCAUAGUUUAGUUCAAGCUCAUGAUAUUUUGUUGUCAAGCUUGUGAGGCUUUCUUGAGCCAAACUAUGAUCAUUCAUUAGGCUAGCCAAAGAGCCAUUAGUCAAUCGCUCAUUUGAGUCUUUUACUAGAGACAAUUCUACACCCAAUUUCUCAACCCUCUCCUUUUCCUUGGAGAGACAUACUUCGAGCCCUCGUUUCUUCUCCCUUUCCUCUAGGAGCAAUUCGCUUUGCGACUCGAUGCAUGACUCAAGCUUGUCAUUAGCGUAUAUUAGCUUUAGAAAUUUAGUUGCAGCAGUUUUACCAUAUUUCUUAAUGAGAUUAUUAGCAUAGUUUUCAUCAUCUUCAUUAUCACUAUCAUAAUCAUUAGUGGUUUGAGGAGAGGAGUCAGUUUGUACCUUGUCUCCUUUUGCCAUAAGGCAUGUAGGAGAGUCAUCAUCGUCAUCGGAGAGAUUUGUGAAGAGCCUAGGCGAUGAGUGGGUGUCGGAGAUGAGUGCUGUGGAUAAGGCAUUGUUGGUGAAGAUCUUGGUUGAGGAAGAUCUUUCUUGUAUGGUGAUGGCAGCCGUACUCUUCUUCUCAUUAUCAUCAUUAUCAUCACUGUCACUGUUCGAUUGCCAUUCUUGCCCGAGGUGAGCUUUCCCUUUCUUCUUGUCCUUGUACAUCUUGUCACUUUGUUUGUUGUACCUUGACUUCUUUCCUUUGUUGGGACAAUCAGCUGCAAGAUGGCCGAUGUCACUGUUGAUAUUUGGUAACGCCAUCAGGAAAUGAUCCGCAAGCGCACAGAUAUCGAUGAGCACUUCACCCGGGAGGUUAUCCAGAGUAUCGUAUUUAAAUUUUUACCACUGGGAGAAAGCGUGCAUCUGACUAACCAAAUCUAUUGCUACUACCCUUUAGGCUACAAAGAAUGUUUCUUGAUGUGAGCGAUGUAUAGAGAAGACUGCAACCGUAGUCUCGUUCUAACCUUGGUAAGGAUGGUCUACUAUUCUAUUGGGGAAGCUUAUGGAAUCUAGACACCACAAAGGAUGUUCGACCCGCACCUAUAAACCCUAUCCUUCCUGCUAACGAGAUAUGGGCUUCAAAGGUAACUCGGAAAUGUCACGUUCCUCACUAUUACCACGGUCCAGCUAGUCAGGGGAUAUCUAUGAGUACCCUAGCCCAAACACCAAGUUUACGCUAGCAAUGAUUACUCUAAACUCAACCGGAAGAGAUUAAAGUAAACUCAUAAACCAAAGAACAAUAAAACAAGAACUUACUAGAAUUUAGAAGUCGAAUUACUGAAGAAUCCUAGGAGCAAGCCUCGAGUUAGAAGACUUGAUCCCGUAGGUACAACCUCGGAGUAGACACCGACAGGCUGGGCUUCCUCCGAUCUACACUCCACUCUAUCUCUCUCAAUCUAGUAGAAACUAGAAGAUCUAAUUCUACUCACAUUAGAUGCUAAGCCAAAAGAAAUUUUAUUUAGAGGAGAGGUAUUCCUUCGAGGGCUCCUCUCAACUCUAUGAUGAACUUGUUCUCCUCCAGGGGCCAGGGGGUCUGGUUAUAUAGUCCCUCCUAGUGAAUAUGGGCCGUCGGAUCGAACCGACAUUGAUUGAACAGUUAUCCUUGAUCCUUUAGGUCGGUGGAGCGUAAUCCUCGAAGAGAGUUCUGAUUGAACUCUGGGACAGGGCGGGCGCCCUAGGGAGGAGGGCGGGCACCCUGCCCCUGGGCCCAUUCGCCUUCCCGUUCGUUCUCGUGGCUUCUGGAGUCUUCUAGAUGAUAGAAGAUUGCGCAGCACGUUAAUAUCUCUAUGUAAACCCGACGUGUGGGCCUUUCUUCUGUAUUUCCUGAUAACCCCCUGCAGAAAUAGACAAACACCAAAACUCGUGGAAUUCUGUCAGAUAAAACCCUAAGUCUGGGUGUUGGUUGCAUUUGGAUCCUUUUCUUUAUUUAUUUGAUGAUUAUAUUUGGUACUUAAGGACCGUCAACAACUCCCCCAAGCUUACCUCUUGCUCGUCCCUGAGCAAGGAUGAACUCAAGAGUUUCUGCAGUGGUUUCAUGCCUUAAAAGUACACAUGCAUUCAAGCAAGAUCUCAUCUCUGAGUUAGAAUAAACUGUUAAGACUUAAAACUUACUCAUUUUACCAUUAACCAUGGGGCUUGUAACCGUCACUCAUGUCUUGAGCAGUUAAAAGAUAGAACAGUCAAGUCAAGCGCCAUGUCUCUUGUUCUUGAUCAGCUAUAGCUCUGGAGUUUUUGCAGAUUUUCAAAUAAAACUCAGAGAUUCCUUAUAUGAUUCUCUCAAAUCUCUCUUUUGUGGUAUUUCUGGAUCCUUUCCAAGGCAGUAAUGGUAUAUGCCUUCUCUCAAAGUAUGUGGUAUUUUUGGUAUGAGGCAUAGUGAUAUUGCCUUCUCUCUCACCCUACUCUAAUAAGGUUUUGAUAUCUGGAGCUCAUAGGUGGGAGACAGAUAAUACAUACUUACAAGACAUUUAUUGCAUAGUCAAACCAUGUGUAACAUCCCCGAUGUUACGGUUACAAAAAUCGGAUCAUGUCAUCAUAAGCAUUGCAUGGCAUGUUUGGUAAUCACACCCUGAUGCAUCAACCUAAAACAAGUUUAUUUUGAUUGGUUGUGCUUAGGGAAUUAAAGUGUGUUUAUGUUGUGCAUUAAUGCUUGACUUGGUUGCUAAAACCCUAGGGUGGAAGUUUUCCGAAAGACUAGGGGGGGAAAACCCUGAUUUUUGGAAAACUAGAUUUGCCCCCUUUCACACAAUUUGAAAACUAAGCAAAAUUUGAGGUUGAGUUCAAAAGCAAAGUUGUAGAUCUUGUCAAUAUGUACAACUUUGGUGUUUUGAGUUUUUGAAGUUUCAAUACAAAAUUCAAAUUAAUUUUGAAAAUACAGAUUUCCGGAAAGUGUCUCCAAUUCAAAAUCUGUUUGGAAUUUUGAAAAAUGGUCAACAUGAAAGUUGUAGAGCUCAAAAAGUUGAACAACUUUCAUGUUGGGAGUUUUUCAAGUUGUUAUGCAAAAUCAAAAGUAAUUUUGAAAACCCAGUUUUGACCCCAAUUCAAAAAUUUGAAUUUCUUUGAAUUAAGUUGUGAAUUCCAAACUGUUUGGCCAAAUUAACCUUUUUCCACUCAGUUUUAGACUUGGGCACCAAAAUGUGAUUUGUAGUUUAUAAAAUUCUGAGCAACUUUUGUUUUGGUGAAAUUUGGUUUUCAGUUCGAAAUUUGGGUGAAUUUUGCAAAACGACAAACUGAGUGGAUGUGGCCUGCUACAGUGAUCGGGCAGGGGGGGUGCUCUGCCGCCGGGGCAGAGCCACGGUGUCCAGCGUCGCCACGCAGCUGGCCACGCAGCUGCUUGCUGCUGUGCUUCGCCCGGACGUCCUCAUCCGCUGCCAGUUCAACGUUGCAAGGAUAAAGCCUGGAGCCGCUGUGGAAAAUUUGUUUUCCCCUCUGCACUCCAACUCCGACGAGCUCCCUACGCCUCUCAAAUUCGCCUCACCCGUUGCCUUUCCAAACCAUUUGAGCACGCCAGCAGCUCCGCCUUGAGCUCCGCCACCGAUUGCACCCCCUAGCGCGAGCUCUAAUCCCCCAUAAGCCACAACCGAGCCAUUCUCCUUCGACUCCGGCCGAAGCACCACCGCCAAGCACUUCACAGCGGCCAGCUCAUCUCCGGGCUCCUCGACCGUCGCUCGCUACCUUGCCGAAGUCGCGGUGAGCUCCUGGUACUCCUGCGCCCUUUCCCUCGCUCUCUACCGGCUCUGGAUGCUCAGGGUUCGGCGCCGAGAUGCUUCCGGCCGCCGGAGCCGUGGCUGGGUAGCUUAGGAGCUCCUCGUGACCACGUUGAGCACGCUAGGCCACUCAGGGGGUCAAGGCGAACCUUUUGGAGCGGUUGGUUAGCACCGGGGAAGACGCAUCGGCGACUGGGCGAUCGCCGGAGCGGCGGCGCGAGGAGGAAGACGAAGCUGACGGGCGGGACCCGCCCGUCAGUGUCUGCGUGAGGGGAGAGGGCAGCGCGCGCAGUCCGCGUGGGCCGAGCGCUCGGGCCGGCUUGGGCCGAAGCCAAGCGGGCCGGCCGCGUGACCAGGGUGUUUUUCUUUUUCCUUUUUUGUUUAAAAAUGCUGAAAGAUUGAAAUUGUGUAAUAAAUCUUGUGUUGAUUCAAAAAUCAUAGAAAUUUUUGUAUAGCUUCCCUAAAAGGAAUAGAACAAAGGAAAAAAUAUUAGUAUCUGUUUUCCAAUAGUUUGCAAGGGUAUAAAAAUUACCUACUUUAUAUAAUGAAUAAAACUUCUAGGAAUUUUAAUAAUUUAUUUACAUGUGCAGAAAUCACCAAAAUUGGUAGAGAGCCUGUGAAUAUUAUUCCUUGGCUCCACACAAAAUUUGGUGACAUUUGGAUAAUGUUUGAAUGAAGCAUGAUUAAACCCUUAAUUAAUGAUUAAAUAACAAGUCUAGGAUAAUUAGGUAAUAAUUAGUAAUUGCUCAAAAUUAGGAUUUGCGUGAUUUUGGGAUUAUGUGAUGACCUGAGGUCAUUAACUCUAAUGACCUUUGGCAUUUAAUUAUUGUUUGGCCUUAAUGCUUAGUUACUGUCAUUAGUAAUUAAUUAGGAUUUAGUUAAGAUAAAAGGAUUAAUAAUUAGUUAAUUUAAGAUAAUUAUGAAUUAAGGGAAGUCUUAAUUUACAAGUACAACCUCUUGGGUAAAGACAUUAAGAUGUUAAACAAUUUUAAUUAUUGUUUAUUCUGUGUUGCACCGAGGCGGCCAGUUGUAUUUAACUUGGCCCCUUUUUGCAUAUUUAUCGCAUGCAUAUCAUGAGCAUUCAUCCUUUUACGUAUAGUGCACGUGACCGAAGGAGCGCCCGUUGAACCGAACCCCGAGGUCGGUGCUCCGUUUGAGGAAGUCGGAUCCGAGACUUGGGAAGUCUCCGAGGGUCCCUCUCAGCCCUGCAACCAAGGCAAGCCCUGGAUGCAUUAACCCCUCCUUGAAUGUUUUAAAUCUUUUAUCACUUAUGAAUUGAAAAUGCUGCAUUAGGUAGUCGAGAAUUGGGUUAACCUACUUGCUGCAUUUACUACCUUGAUCUUUGUUAUCUUGUCCUUUGCACCUGUUUUAUUUUAAAAUUGUGUAGUAAUGCUUAGCCCUGCUACUAGAUAGGUUUUCAAACAAAGUUUGAAGGGUUGUUGUGGAAUACACUUAUGAUCAAUGAUGUUUCAACUUGAGACCGGUUGGUGGAUUUGCUUUAAGAAUGGAGUCUUAAAGUAGUGUCUCCAACUGUGUCGAUUAAGGACCGUUCCGUUGAUGGCCUGCUGGGUUGAGAAUUUAUAGUACUAGCCACUUGCCCUCGGUAAGCCCGGUCUUGUGAUCCCUCGACGCGAACAGCUACUCGCGCACUGGGAGUGGAAAGAUGGCGAGAGUAGUGUGUACCCACCUUACGGAUCUGAGAUGACCGGAAAACAUCUAGAUCGGCUGUAGGAUGGUGGAGUACUGUGCUCUCGGGUGCCGCGAACCUGGUCAAAUUUGGGGAGAGCUUGAUUUGGGUUGAUAUAUGCAAGAUUUGGUUCUACAUAUGUCAGGUGGUUAGGAACUCCAGCUGGAUUGCUAAGCGAUUCGAAUCGUCGUUGCUCCCCGAUUGGGAGACUCAAUUCCUUCGACCCUCAUCGUAGUUAAUUAUGCAACUAAGUGGUAAAAUGAGAAAGGGGGAAAUUGUUGACACCAUUUUUGGGCACGUGUCUAGGAUGGCAGGAUAGGAUGGCAGUACGAUGCGGGUUGCUGAUGAGGAUGGUUGCCGAUGAGGGAGAGGUUGAAUGUGACUAAGUCCACAGGCAGUAAUAUGGUGCCGAUGGCUGGAUAAAAAGGUCUGCCGAUGACUACGGCAAGGGGAUUGCCGAUGAUGCGAAGGAGGAGUCCGGAAGCUGCCAGUUGUCAUGUGGAGGAGUUUCGGUUUGUCACGAAGGAUAGUUUUAUUAUUUCCUUAGUUAUUUGCAUCGUUUUGUAUACGGAUUCCGUGUAAUUUGGAAUUCGAAUUCUAAUCGUGUCUGGUUGUAGCUCUUUGAGCAGGGUAUAAAUAUAAACCCUAGGACCUUGUAAUAAAAAUCAAGAAAUCAAUCAAACACACGUUUUUACUCAUAUUCCAGCAUCUACUUUUCGACGACUUCGUCAUACUUUUUUCUCUUUUUACGAGUUCUUAGGAAUUCGUCGACUUAAGCUCGGCGUGUUCUCGAGUUCCGCGUGAGUACCUCUUAGCCAUGACAUCCGGGCGCAUCGCUGUUGUCAGGACUAAAGUAUUCGAGUUAUCACCUUUGCCGAUAGCAAGGUCAAAUCGGCUGGCACGCCUUAACGUUUGAAUCGGGUAUUAGCCCUUUGUGUUUGCAGAUCAGUUUUGCAUCAACACAUCUUUUGGCACGCCCAGUGGGACAGAUUCAAGAUCAAGAUCAACAUGUCGAUCUCUGACCUCGAUCAAGAGAACGUCAUCCCCGUGACGGAGGCCAACCUCAAGGAUGAGCAAAAGAAAGCUAUUGCCCAAGCCAUGGAAGAGUUCAAGCAGCAAUGCCUGAGGUCUUUCAGCAUAAACAGGAGCGGCGAAGUGGUCCAGAAAGAUGCACUGCCGGCACCACGGCAGGUCACCUUUGACGCCAAUCCUGGCAAGCUUCAAGAUAUGGUUGACAAUGCCAUCAAUCGAGCGUUGAUUAACCAAGCUGGUGUACUGUCUAAUACGGUUUUCAACGCCGUGGCAAGAACUUUCAAGGAAGGACAAAUCCCGCCAGAUUAUGUGGGGCCCUCCCAUCAUCAGCCAACGGCACCAGAGGUCACGGCUCCAUCGGCUGCCUUGACGAAUGCAAGUGCACAGUCUGCCGUCCCUCCAAGUACAUUGGGGACUACUGGUGCACUAUCUAUGCCGAUGGCAACCAACCCACAAAUUUCAGUUGGGCAGCAUAAACUGACAACAGAUAUGUUGGCAUCGGCAAUGUCAGGGUUAACUCUUCCUCCCAAUUGGUGGGGUUAUGGUAUGCCUCCAGAGUUGACGCCGGGAACAUCACAAAUAACUGACAUGAGGGGCAAAACUCCUAUGACAUCGGCACCUCCCAAUGCGCCGGUGAACCAGAGUCCUCGGUAUACCACAACUACUACUGCAAGGCCUCACACUGGGAAUCCUCAAGAUUCAAUGUUUCAGAUGCCCAACGCAUCGGCAGAGUCAAUGCUGAUGCAACAGAGGCCUAUGGCCCAGUCGGGGUAUGUCAAUUCAACGACGGUACCCAAUUACCAAUCAUGGGCAGCACCUAUGCCGAUGAACGCUAAUAAUGGUUGGCUUGGACAGCAAGCCUUUCCACAAUCGCCCCAGCAGGGUUAUCAGACUACAGGGUUCCAGCAAGGGCAGGUCUAUCCCGGGUUCCAAGGUCAGGGGAUUCCCAACCAGCCAAUAAAUUUUGGACAGCAACUCGGAGGACAGCCAAUCGGUGGACAGCAGUUUGGUAGUCCGCAGAUUGGAGGACAGGUGACCAAUACAAUGUUCCAUGCAGGUUACGUCCCGAACAGACACGUGGAGGUUCGCCACCAAGUGCCAGAUCCGCAGCCGCCUCAUCGGCAAGAUGCUGAUGCGUAUUGGGCCGAUAAGAUUGCUGAAGUAAUGAGGGAACAAUUUGGGAUAAAACCCAAAGUCAACACUUAUUCUUAUCGGACACCGUAUCCUCCAGCGUAUGAUUUGAUCCCGCUUCCACAUCGGUACAAGGUACCGGAUUUUACAAAGUUUUCCGGACAGGACGACACGUCAACCAUGGAGCAUGUCAACAGGUUCAUUAUUCAAUGUGGAGAGGCUGGUAACAGGGACGAAUUGAGGGUUCGUCUAUUUUCAUCAUCAUUGUCUGGAUCGGCCUUUACUUGGUUCAUAUCAUUACCUCCCAACUCAGUAAUUACUUGGGCCGAUCUAGAGAAGCAAUUCCACAAAUACUUCUUCUCAGGGGUUCAUGAGAAGAAGAUCACCGACUUGGUCAAGUUGAGGCAACGUAAUGAUGAGUCGGUUGAGGGAUUUGUGCAGAGGAUACGAGAGGUCAAGAAUAAAUGCUAUAGCCUAGUUCUGGAUGAUCGGCAGCUAGCCGAUUUGGAGUUCCAGGGUUUGUUGCCACAUAUCAGGGAUAAGUAUGCCUCUCAGGAGUUCGAAAGUUUAAGUCAUUUGGUGCAGAGGAUAUCUGAUCAAGACAUCAAGCCUUUCGAGCCUAAGAGGGCAUGGAAUAAGAAAGUGUCAUUUGUUGAUGAAGCAACAAGCUCAGAUUCCGAUGAGGAACCAGUAAUCGGUUUGGCAGAGUGGGUAAAAAACAAGAAGCCGAUGUCUUGUCCUUUUGGGCAGAAGGAACCAGAGAAGUUUGCCUUUGACACCGCCAAGGCCGAUAGGAUAUUUGACUUUCUACUUCAGGAAGGUCAAAUCAAACUGUCACCUAACCAUGUGAUCCCAUCGGCAGAAGAGUUGAAGAGGAUGAGAUAUUGCAAGUGGCAUAAUGCAACUUCACAUGACACCAACGAGUGCAAAGUAUUCAGACAGCAGCUGCAAUCGGCUAUAGAGUCCGGGAGAAUCAAGUUUGACAGUUCCAAAGCCCAGAAGCCGAUGAAGAUAGACCAACAUCCUUUCCCGACAAACAUGUUGGAUGCUAAGGGGAAGGCUAAGGUCUUAACGUCGGAGACAGCUGAGAAGAGUGCAUCGGUAGAUCCUCAGCAUCAAGUUACUACUGCCGAUGCAAGAAGUAAGGGCUUGGUCCAGGAAGGAGCUAGCUCAGGUAGGCUUCCUCGAUCUGGCAUCGUCAUAACUCAUAGGAGGCCUCGAGAAAAAUGGCAACAACGGGAAGAUCGGUAUCGACGCCAGCAGGAAGAUUAUCAACGGGAAGAAGAAAGACGCCGACAGGAGUGGAAUCGGCACAGGGAUCAUUGGAAUUGCCCAUUCUUCAUCCAUUGUUGGGAGGAAAAUAUCAAGCUUCCUACUGUCAGAGACUGCCCUGAAUGCAACGGUUAUGAUCGGUACGAUAGGAACGAUCGGCGUUAUCAUGAUGAUGAACGGCGAGCUAAUGGGCCGAUCAGAGGAAGGGUGUCAGUUCAUGACCGGCUGGGGGGCAGAUUCAGUGGGCACAACAGACUUAGUGACCGUGUCUAGUAUUUUCCCAGGAACCAAGAGGAGCUCGAAGGAAUGGCUGAUGCGUGGGUUCCCGAUGAAUUCAUAUUUUGCAGGGAUGCUAACACGCAUCGCAUGGAGUCAAGGGAGAACCGACGCCCGACGGCAAGGCAAAGGCCACUUCCUCCAUGGUGCCCUCGAGGAUUAACCAAGACACAGAAAAGGAGAUUGCAACGAGGAAGGCAAGAGGAGCUAAACAAGGGAGAGAACUCUGGAAGUCGGCAGCCGUCAGAUACUAAGAGAGAAGGUCCAUCGGCAGGCGUCAACAUGGUCUUCAUGUUGCCGAUGGAGUUUCUUGCACCAGCCAGUGACGAUGAGUUGGAAUUUUCUGAUCAGAUAGCUCAGUUGGCUCUGGAUCCGAUGACGGCUAUCUUUGAGAAACCUGCCGAUAACGAGAGGCAGCAUCUUAAAGCUUUGUUCCUCAAAGGAAGGGUUGAUGGGCAGCUAAUGACCAAGAUCCUAGUUGAUGGUGGAGCUGCUAUUAAUAUUAUGCCGUAUGCAGUAUAUCGGAAGCUUGGGAAAGGGGAUCAAGAUUUGACCAAGACCGAUAUGAUGCUCAAAGACUUUGAAGGAAACGUGUCUCCAGUCAAGGGGGCGAUAUGUGCAGAGUUGACCAUCGGCAGCAAAACCUUGCCGACAACUUUUUUCGUGAUCAGCAGAAAAGGUGCCUACAAUUUAUUAUUGGGGAGAGAUUGGAUUCAUGCCAAUUGUUGUGUCCCAUCUACAAUGCAUCAGUGCUUGGUUCAGUGGGUAGGUGACAAGAUUGAGAUCGUCCCAGGAGAUUCUUCUUAUGUUAUCGCAUCGGCAGAAGCGGAUACUUAUGAAAGGACUAGGUGCAUUUCAGGAGAAGUUUGGGAGAAAGAUUUUCUCAAAGUUGCCGAUUAUGAGAUUCCACCGAUCCAAGCAGUCGGUUCUGACGACGGUUUUUAAUGGAUAGAUUCGCCGAUGAUGGAAAAUUAGGCCAGGGAUUCACAUCGGCCGAUGAUUUGGUAGAAGUAGAUAUAGGUAGUGGUGAUAAGCCUAGGCCUACUUUUAUUAGUGCUAAAUUAGAUCCUGAGUGUAAGCGACAAUUGACUAGUUUGUUAAAGGAAUAUAAAGAUUGCUUUGCUUGGGAUUAUACAGAGAUGCCUGGUUUAGACCGAUCAAUUGUCGAACAUCGGUUACCCAUCAAGUCUGGAUUUCGGCCACAUCAGCAACCAGCCCGCCGAUGUAAUCCUAACAUUCUACCUGAUAUUAAGGCCGAAAUCACUAAACUUAUUGAAGCUAAGUUUAUUCGGCAGUGUCGGUAUGCCGAAUGGAUUUCCAAUGUUGUUCCGGUUUACAAGAAGAACGGGAAGCUUCGGGUGUGCAUUGAUUUCAGGAGUCUCAAUAAAGCUACACCGAUGGAUGGAUACCCAAUGCCUGUCGCCGAUCUACUGGUUGAUGUUGCGGCUGGCCAUCGGGUCAUCAGCUUCAUGGAUGGUAAUGCAGGUUACAAUCAAAUAUUCAUGGCAGAGGAGGAUAUUCCAAAAACCGCAUUCAGGUGUCCUGGUCAUGUUGGACUAUUUGAAUGGAUAGUCAUGACUUUUGGGUUAAAGAAUGCUGGUGCUACUUAUCAAAGGGCUAUGAACUUUAUAUUUCAUGAGUUCAUCGGCAAGCUCGUAGAGAUUUAUAUUGAUGAUGUGGUGGUUAAGUCUGGAGAUUUCUCAAAGCAUCUUGCCGAUUUACGAAAAGUGUUGGAGUGCACAAGGAAGCAUGGAUUGAAGAUGAAUCCCAACAAGUGUGCAUUUGGCGUAUCGGCAGGGCAGUUUCUUGGUUUCAUGGUACAUCAGAGGGGUAUUGAAAUUAGUCGAAGAUCUAUUGAUGCCAUCAAUAAAAUAGUGGCCCCUACCAAUAAAACCGAGCUCCAAUCCUUGAUCGGCAAGGUGAAUUUUAUCAGAAGAUUUAUACCGAAUUUAUCUGGGAGGAUUCGUGCUUUCAGUCCUCUUCUUAAAUUGAAAGCCGAUCAAGAGUUUGUUUGGGGAGAAGAACAGCAGUUGGCUCUGGAUGAAAUCAAGAAGUAUCUAGUAAAUCCUCCAGUUUUAGUUCCACCUCAACAAGGGAAGCCCUUCAAAUUGUAUUUAUCUACUGAUGGAUCGGUUAUCGGUUCAGCUUUAGUUCAAGAAUUUGAAGGGAAAGAGAGAGUAAUUUAUUAUUUGAGUAGGAGGUUGAUUGAUGCUGAAACCAGGUAUUCGGCCAUUGAGAAACUGUGCUUAUGCUUAUAUUUUUCAUGUAUCAAGCUGAGACAUUACCUGUUAUCGGCCGAAUGUGCUGUUGUUUGCAAAGAUGACGUGGUCCGAUACAUGCUAUCUAUGCCGAUUAUGAGUGGUAGGAUCGGUAAAUGGAUUUUAGCGCUGUCGGAGUUCGAUUUGCGUUACGAAUCAGCUAAGGCAGUCAAAGGGCAGAUUAUGGCCGAUUUUGUGACUCAGCAUUGCGGUCUAGUGGAAACCUUGGAAAUUGCACCCUGGACGCUCUUCUUUGAUGGAUCUACCUGUGACCGGGGGGCAGGAAUCGGUAUUGUAUUAAUUUCUCCUAAGGGGAGGAAGUAUGAGUUUUCCUUGCCGAUUGUUGCUACAUCAACAAAUAAUCAGGCUGAGUAUCAAGCUCUGAUCAAGGGAUUGGAGUUGUUAAGAGAAGUUCGUGCUGAUGCUGUUGAAAUAUUCGGGGAUUCUAUGUUGGUUAUAAAUCAAUUGGCCGGAAGCUAUGAAUGCCGAAGUGAAGUUCUCAUAACCUAUUUUGAGAGAAGUAUGCAACUGUUAAAGGAAUUCAAGGACUUCCGAUUGGAGCAUGUUCCCCGAUUGUAUAAUGAAGACGCUAAUCGGUUAGCUCAGCAUGCCUCGGGAUAUCAGCCAAUGAUUAAUGCGACAUCGGCAGUCGGUGUCGGUGAUUGGAGGAAAGAAAUUGUUGAUUAUCUAAAAGAUCCAUCCAAAAAAGUUGAAAGACGGGUUCGAUUUCAGGCAACCAAGUAUGUGCUCCUUGAAAAUGAAUUGUAUUAUCGAACUGUCGACGGAAUUCUUCUCCGAUGCCUGGGUGAUGAUGAAGCCAGAAGUUUGAUGGGGGAAAUCCAUGAAGGAGUGUGUGGAGCGCAUCAGUCAGCUUUUAAGAUGAAGUGGAUGAUUCGAAGGAAUGGAUAUUUUUGGCCAACCAUACUUGAAGAUUGUUUUAGAUAUUUCAAGGGAUGUCAAGGUUGUCAAAAGUUCGGUAAUAUCCAGAGAGCACCCGCAUCGGCUAUGAAUCCUAUAAUAAAACCUUGGCCGUUCCGGGGAUGGGCCAUCGAUCUGAUCGGCCAGAUUUAUCCACCAUCUAGCAAAGGGCAUAAGUUCAUUCUAGUUGCCACUGACUAUUUCACUAAGUGGGUCGAAGCUAUUCCUUUGAAGAAAGUCACAUCGGCCAAUAUGAUUGAUUUUGUGAAGGAGCAUAUUAUUUACCGAUUUGGGAUUCCCCAAACGAUUACUACCGAUCACGGCACCAUGUUCACGUCGGGGGAGUUCGAUGAAUUCGCAAUCGGUAUGGGAAUUAAAGUGUUGAAUUCUUCUCCUUACUAUGCUCAAGCCAAUGGGCAGGCCGAAGCGUCUAACAAAGGAAUUAUCAAGCUUAUUAAGCGAAAGAUUGAAGAAAAUCCUAGGCGGUGGCAUACAUUGUUAAAUGAAGCACUAUGGUCUUAUCGGAUGGCUUGUCAUGGAUCAACCAAGGUGUCACCCUAUCAAUUGGUGUAUGGACAUGACGCAGUGUUGCCUUGGGAGAUUAAGGCUGGAUCUAGGCGAUUAUCUUUUCAAGAUCAAUUGGCUGCCGAUGAUUAUGCCACUUUGAUGACCGAUGAGUUAGAUGAUUUAGCAGGGUAUCGGUUAAAGGCUUUAAUGAGUAUAGAAGAAAAUAAGAAGAGAGUUGCUAGAUGGUAUGAUAAGAAAGUAAAGGCUAAGGAGUUUGCCGAUGGGGAUUUAGUAUGGAAGUUGAUUUUGCCAGUCGGGACUAAAAGUUCGAAGUUUGGGAAGUGGUCUCCUAAUUGGGAAGGUCCUUAUCGGAUAAGACACUCGGCUCCUGGUAAUGCCUAUAUUCUAGAAACUCUUGAAGGAGUUGAAUUUCCCAGAGCAUUAAAUGACAAAUAUUUAAAGAAGUACUACCCCAGCAUAUGGGUCGAUGCAUAAAAGUUUAAGUGCCGAUAACACUCCUAUCGGCUGGAUUUAAAUGUUUGGGGGCAGACUUAAUGUUUCAAAAGAUGCCGAUAACAGUCUUAUCGGCUAGACUAAAAGCUAAAAGCGGGAAAACAAAGGUGUGUUGCCGAUGAAAGCUUCAGAUGUUCAGCAGCGCUUGGAUUGCCGAUAUGGCGCACAGCCGGAUCUGAUUGGCUGUCUCUAUCUCUUUGAUAUCAUCAUCGGCAGAACCUUCUAUCGGCUUUAGCUUCCUCUUCAACUGCAGCGCUUUGCGACCGUGGACGUUUCGUUCUUGUUCAAGGUGCUUGAUGGUCUCUGGCAGUUGACUCUCUUCUUGCUGGGCUUGGGACAGAGCAUCCUCUACUUGCUUAAGUUCGGCCAGUAGAGCUUCUCUUUUUGCCGAUAGAUCAGAUACUUUCUGCUUCAGUGCAUCACCUGAGGACUUUAAGGUGCCGAUGUUCUUAUGUUUCUCAUCGGCUAAGAGUUUUUCUUUCAUCAUCUCCUCAGGAAGCUGGAUUUGAGCGGCUCUAUCGGCAAGGCGUCGAGUGGCUCUCUGGUACUGUAGCUGGCGGCUUUCUAGGUGUGCAGCAUGGAAGAGGGUUUCUUCAGCAUCGGCAGGAAUUUGGCCUCUAAGGGUUUUGAACAGGGCCUUGGCUGGGUCAGAAUCGUUGACCAGUUGAGCUGUGUCUUGAUGAAGUAUGGCCGAUAGCUCCUCCAGCUUAGCCCUGGUUUCUGCCGAUACAGUCCCAAUUGCCCGAGAGGAGCUUGCUUCCUCACCUUCUUCUUCGAAGAUAUCAAUGGCGAAGGAGAAUAAGCUAUCGGGAGAAUCUUGUUCCUGAAAAUGAGAAUGAAAUAAGUCAUUUUUAUGGUCAAAGCUUCGGCAGACGAUACUGGUGGAAAAAUUGGAUGACUUACUUGUUUCAAGGCAAUUUCUUGCCUUUGACUCAAAGAUACCGAUGGAGCUACAGGUUGAUCGGCAAAUGUUGCCGAUGGAACGAUAUCGACUGAAAGAAGACAGGAAGGGUUAUGAGACUAAAUGAGAAUAAGUUUAUCGGCGGAAGUAUUGUUGAAAUAUGUUACCCGGAGGAGGAACAACAGUUGUCUAAAUCGGGGAAACCGCCGAUGAUAUAACUGGACCUGCCGGGCCAGUUGUUUGUUCACCCACGUCAGCUGAUGUACCUUCUGUUUGAGGUUCUUCCUGCUAGGGUUCUUCCAUCUGUGGUGCUUCCUGCAUUGGUUGGGGAGAUGGUGCUUGCUGUGUCUGGACUUCUGGAGAAGAAGGGGAAGAUUCCACCGGGAUUGGAGACACCGGAGGAGGAGGGGGAGUUGCCACUUUCUGGCGCUUUGUUCCAGCCUUAGCACCUUGGGUGCCCUUCCUCUUUGGCUGGCUAGACUGGGGGGCAUCGGUACCUUGGCGUUUGGCUUUUGCCGAUGCACCAGUUUGCUGCAACAACAAAAAGGAGUUUAUGAGCACAGAUAGCCGAUACAAAGAUAGUCAGCAUAAAUGAAAAGGGUUUGACAAAUUGCCUUGAAAGCUUGCGCCAGAGUGGAAGCAGUUACCGUUGGCGAUGUCUGAGUUUUCCUGGUGGUAACUUUCUUGAGGCGCGCACCCCGAUGCACGAUGGAAGCCAGAGUGGGAGCAUUGUGGCCGAUUGAGGAGAUCGGGCCUGAGGGGAACAAGUCGAUCGGCUUGCCACUCCUGCUAACCGAUGGGGGGGUGUUGUCAACCUGCAAAAGGAAUACAGGGGUAAGUUACCGAUAGAAAUAGUAUUGGAAAAUGAGACAUCGGUUUAAAAUACUUACAGUGUCAUCAGGGACUUCGUAUUCGGGGUCGAUCAUGCCGCGGUAUGAGAGGGCCGAUCUGCAGAAUAGAUUCUCUUUCCAUUCUGCCCACCAUAGCUUGUAUGCCUGAGUGAUAAAGGCAGCUGGAACCCAUUCUGACAGAUCUACAUCUGUAUCGGCAUUUGGUGGUAGCUGGGCUACUCGAGUCCACUCGAGAAGGUUGGUGAUGGGUUCUCUGGGCUUUAUCACAUCGGCAUAAGGAAGUGCAAUCGGCAACUGGCCGAAAGCUAGCUGGCGAGCUAAUGCCGAUGGAUUGUAAAAUUCAUAGGUUUGGGGAGAGGUUUUUGUGCUACCGAAGAAAUUCACUGGUAUGGCUCUGGGAGUCACAAUUGCCAUCAUCACCUCAUUAUCCCUGUCAAGAGCUUCAUCAAAUGGAUUGAAGGUUAGAGGGAGCAUGCUGUCUGGGUCAUCAUAGGCCAACCAUGGUCGUUCAUCUCUGGCCAAUCCGUCAUACAGAGUCUCGAAGAAUCGGCCGAUCUGAUCCGGAUUGUUCCCUGAACCGGGUAAGACUAUAACGGCUUCGCCAAAGUUCAAGGGGGCACGCGUUGCCGAUUCCUCUUCACCCAACACAUGAUUUUCGGCUAUAUCUCUUGGGAAGUGCUGUGAGAACAAGUUGAAAUCAAGGCGCUUAUGCAGGUGCAGAUUGAGCCACAUAUUAAUAAACCACCAGGGGCCUCCCAAGUUGCCGAUGGAUUGGCCAAGCAGGAGUUUCUGGGCUACCUGAUGAAGAAGGUGGUAAACAGCGCUGAGCAAAUAUCGGCCGAGAGGAAAUUGGCCACCGCUAGCCAGUCUUUCUGCUGCCGAUAGAUAGACAGAAGUUGGUCCUGCCGAUCGACCACAGAAUACAAACUUGUCCAGCCACAUGUUCAGAAAGGUGGUUUGCUCCUUUAUGGUGACAGGCCCUCUCCCGCGGUACUUCUGGAUGUACCCUGACCAACCGCCGAUAGCGCGAGUCUCCACUUUGGCACUGGGGGCAGUAUCAAAAAAGUGGGUGCUAUCGGCAGAAGAUAUAUCUAGCCCAGUGAGCAUGGCUACAUCGGCAAGGGUAGGAGAAGCAGGGCCGUGGCCAAAAACAAAAGCAUUGAGAGUGUCUGACCAAAAGUAGGAUGCAGCUAUCAGCAGUGACUCGUUCCUGUGCAUAUUGGCAAUGGAUAGCCUAAUGCAUUGAGCUAGCUUCCUCUCACCCCACUGGACUUCAUAAGAAUUGCUGACCCUCAAGAACCAGUCUUUCCACCCUACAGUAGGGCUAGGCCAAGAACGAAAAGUGUCUUUCCAUAGAUCUACAGAAAAGUUUUCAGCCCUAAAGGGGAUUCUAUUGGUUUCUGCGUUGAUAAGAUUGGUCGGAUCUGAAUCCCCUAGAGGACCGAGACAUUGAAGGUGUGGUUGAUCGGUGGGGAUGACAAUUUUAUUGGACAACUCCUAGUGAUUUUGGGGGAAUAAAAAUACAAAGAAAAAGGAAAAGGGGAAUAUUCAGUAAGAUGAAUCGCAGAUGAAUAGGAAUAUACACAGAAGAUGAGAUGGAAAUCUGACCUCAGGGACGACGAAGCCAAUGGCCAUCUUGUCGUGAAGAGGACGUUGGAGGGCACCGGAGUUGAUGAAGAGGAGUGCUUGUCGGAGAUCUUGAAGGUUGUAAAUGGCGCCGCCGCUGGAAAAGUAAAGUUGGAUAGUAGAAUGGUGUAAUGGGGGAGGAGUACCCAAGAAGGAACUAUUUAUAGGACAGGAUGGGCAAGGGCAAAUCCGACUUAUCUCUUUGCCGCAUCCGAGAAGCCCGAGGGUACUCAGGUGGAUAUGGUAACUGUUCGCACGGUAAUCCAGGGAUUGUGCAGGUGAUUUGACGGGAAGCGGUCAUUAUCUAAAGAUAUUUUACUGUGCGAGAUCUCCUGGUCGGUUCAUCGGCGAUAUUCUAUAACGGUCAGCUUGCCGAUGGGCGGAUAGAGGGGAGGUAACCGUUUUUGCGAAUAUCCUGGUCAGAGCAUCGGCAGAUCUUUGUAACGGUAUUGUUGCCGAUGUACGACCAAGAAAGAUGCCCGUUUGGGAAGUUGGGGAUUUCGAGGAAUCUGCGGAGGAUUAGGAUCAGAGUUGUCCAGAUUGAGGUUGUCGGUUACCAGAUUAGGAGCAUUAAUUGCGGAGAAGGCAUCAUUACUGCAGAGAAUUUCGGAGCAUUAAUAGUUUUAUACUCCGAAACUGGGGGGCAUGUGUUGACACCAUUUUUGGGCACGUGUCUAGGAUGGCAGGAUAGGAUGGCAGUACGAUGCGGGUUGCUGAUGAGGAUGGUUGCCGAUGAGGGAGAGGUUGAAUGUGACUAAGUCCACAGGCAGUAAUAUGGUGCCGAUGGCUGGAUAAAAAGGUCUGCCGAUGACUAUGGCAAGGGGAUUGCCGAUGAUGCGAAGGAGGAGUCCGGAAGCUGCCAGUUGUCAUGUGGAGGAGUUUCGGUUUGUCACGAAGGAUAGUUUUAUUAUUUCCUUAGUUAUUUGCAUCGUUUUGUAUACAGAUUCCGUGUAAUUUGGAAUUCGAAUUCUAAUCGUGUCUGGUUGUAGCUCUUUGAGCAGGGUAUAAAUAUAAACCCUAGGACCUUGUAAUAAAAAUCAAGAAAUCAAUCAAACACACGUUUUUACUCAUAUUCCAGCAUCUACUUUUCGACGACUUCGUCAUACUUUUUUCUCUUUUUACGAGUUCUUAGGAAUUCGUCGACUUAAGCUCGGCGUGUUCUCGAGUUCCGCGUGAGUACCUCUUAGCCGUGACAUCCGGGCGCAUCGCUGUUGUCAGGACUAAAGUAUUCGAGUUAUCACCUUUGCCGAUAGCAAGGUCAAAUCGGCUGGCACGCCUUAACGUUUGAAUCGGGUAUUAGCCCUUUGUGUUUACAGAUCAGUUUUGCAUCAACAGAAAUGUCUCAUGAGGUUCGGAUCCCAAUUCCCGGACUCAGAGUGACAUGAAGCUAUGGUCGUUGGAUAGAUAAUACUUCGAUUAAGGACUAGGAACUUACAGACUUGUCUGUGAGAAGCAACUAGAUAGACUGUCCUCGAACUCCUCGGCCUCUGCGGGAGAGGAAUUCGCGGGUAAAACUCGAAAGUAAGGAUGCACUAUUAGUAAGCUUUUUGGCAAAACACUUUGGCUCCUUGCUCAGCCACUCCUUGUCUACCCUAAGCCUGCAUUCCUAAGUUCUCCUCUUUUCCGCCGGGUAAGUCUUGUUGAGUACUCCCGUACUCAGGGUUUCAAUACCCCUGUUGCAGGUGAAGCUAAGGAGCCGAUUUGUUUCGGACCCUGUUGUGUGACCGUCGUCGAGGUUGACGACGAAGAAGAGUGGGCGUGACCCAUGGGCAGGGUCUGUAAAUUUGUAAUCUCUGUACUAAAGUUUAAGUUGCUCCGCUAGACCUGGUUUGUAAUAACACUCUGCUAUUUGGAAGAACUCCUUUUGUAAAAUAAAUUAUGUAAUACUUCCACUGUUUUACUCUGAAUAUUAUUUUGGUCGUAUGUCGUUUGUGUUACUGCAAUGUCUUCGCAACGAAUGAUCCUGGUGUUAAGGUGGCCACUUGCUAUCCUGUAAGGGCGAGAAGAAGAAGUUCUCGUUAAUUGACCAUCACCAGUGGUUAGGACGAGCCGGCUUGGCACGCCACAGGUAGCAGUGGAAUGAGCGUCCAGCGAUGCUCAUCGGACUUCUAAAGUGGGAGGAUCCCCGGCAUCGCCGUCAGAGGUCCUUAGGACAAUGACAGGUGUCGGUGGGCCCAAACACUUAGGGGGUUCUGCCACACCAUGGAUCCAGAAGAAGAAGUCAAUAAGUCAAAUCAAGAUGUGCAUGUGUGGCGAGUGAAUGGUGUAUGGUGAUGAUGGUGACAACAAUGGUGAAGGUCUAAUUCUACUUUUGCUCUUUUAAGGGGAUACAUACCUUUCUUGCACUUUGAAGCUUUUUGAGGAGAAUGUGAUGCUCUAUAUUAUUUUUUUCUUUUCUCUCAGGUGGGUAUCUUGUACCCCUAAUUCUACUGUCGGACACUUGUCUAUUUUUACCUCUCGUCUCACUUUUUCUUUUCUUUCGAGGUUCCAGGCACUUGCCCCUUUUUAUUUGCUCAUAUUUUUUUCUUUUUCUCUUUUUUAGAGAGCACUCAUCUCCUGAAAUAAUAUAGCAAGUGGUAGUAACCAAGAUAACUCGAGCAUUUAUUUCAUAGGGAAAAAUAGAAAUGUUUUUGGCUAUUCUCUCCUGGAUUAGGAGUAGAAUACUUUUAGGUGAAUCUGGAGAUAGAAAUGAGUGGAUGUAUGUGGAUGCGUACCUCUGGAGUAGAAGCAGCAUGUAUGAGUGUUGAUGCAAAACUGAUCUGCAAACACAAAGGGCUAAUACCCGAUUCAAACGUUAAGGCGUGCCAGCCGAUUUGACCUUACUAUCGGCAAAGGUGAUAACUCGAAUACUUUAGUCCUGACAACAGCGAUGCGCCCGGAUGUCACGGCUAAGAGGUACUCACGCGGAACUCGAGAACACGCCGAGCUUAAGUCGAUGACUUCCUAAGAACUCGUAAUAAAAGGAAAAAGUGUGACGAAGUCGUCGAAAAGUAGAUGCUGGAAUAUGAGUAAAAACGUGUGUUUGAUUGAUUUCUUUUUUUUUAUUACAAGGCCCUAGGGUCUAUAUUUAUACCCUGCUCAAAGAGCUACAACCAGACACGAUUAGAAUUCGAAUUCCAAAUUACACGGAAUCCGUAUACAAAACGAUGCAAAUAAUUAAGGAAAUAACAAAACUAUCCCUCGUGACAAACCGAAACUCCUCCACAUAACGACCGGCAGCUUCCAGACUCCUCCUUUGCAUCAUCGGCAGAUCCUUUGCCAUAGUCAUCGGCAGACUUUCUUAUCUAGCCAUCGGCACCAUAUUACUGCCUGUGGACUUAGUCACAUUCAACUUCCCCCUCAUCGGCAACCAUCCUCAUCGGCAACCCGCUUUGUAAACAUCGUACUGCCACCUUAUCCUGCCAUCCUAGACACGUGCCCAAAAACGGUGUCAACACAUGCCCCCCAGUUUCGGAGUAUAAAACUAUUAAUAAUGCUCCGAAAUUCUCUGCAGUAACGAUGCCUUCUCCCACAAUUAAUGCUCCUAAUCUGGUAACCGACAACCUCAAUCUGGACAACUCUGAUCCUAAUCCUCCGCAGAUUCCUCGAAAUCCCCAACUUCCUAAACGGGCAUUUUUCUCAGUCGUACAUCGGCAACAAUACUGUUACAAAGAUCUGCCGAUGUUCUGACCAGGAUAUUCGCAAAAACGGUUACUUCCCCUCUAUCCGCCCAUCGGCAAUAUGACCGUUAUAGAAUAUCGCCAAUGGACCGACCAGGAGAUCUUGCACAGUAAAAUAUCUUCAGAUAAUGACCGCUUCCCAUCAAAUCACCUGCACAAUCCUUGGAUUACCGUGCGAACAGUUACCAUAUCCACCUGAGUACCCUCGGAUUUCUCGGAUGCGGCGAAGAGAUAAGUCGGAUUUGCCCUUGCCCAUCUUGUCCUAUAAAUAGUUUCUUCUUGGGUACUCCUUCCCCAUCACACCAUUCUACUACCCAACUUUACUUCUCCAGCGGCGGCGCCACCAAAAACUCCUAAGGUCUCCGACAAGUACCCCUCUUCAUCAACUCCGGCGCCUUCACACGCUUCCUUCGCAGCAAGAUGGCCGUCGGGUUCGUCGUCCCUGAGGUCAAAUCUCCACCCCGUCUUCUGUAUUUUUCUUCAUAUCCCUGUUCACUCGCAAUCCAUUUUACUGAACAUCUUCCUUUUCUUUCCUCUUUGUAUUUCUUUUUACGCCCAAAAUCACUAGGAAUUGUCCAACAAAAUUGUCAUCCCCACCGAUCAACCACACCUUCAAUGCCUCGGCCCUCUAGGGGACCCAGAUCCGACUGACCUUAUUAACGCAGAAACCAACAGGAUCCCCUUCAGAGCCGAAAAUUUUUCCUUAGAUCUGUGGAAGGACACCUUCCGCUCUUGGCCCAGCCCAACUGUAGGGUGGAAAGACUGGUUCUUGAGGGUCAGCAACUCUAAUGAAGUUCAGUGGGGUGAAAGGAAUCUAGCCCAAUGCAUCAGAUUGUCCAUUGCCGAUAUGCAUAGAAACGAGUCACUGCUGAUAGCUGCAUCCUACUUUUGGUCAGACACCCUCAAUGCUUUUGCCUUUGGCCACGGCCCUGCUUCUCCUACUCUUGCCGAUGUAGCCAUGCUUACUGGUCUAGAUAUAUCUUCUGCCGAUAGCACCCACUUUUUUGAUACUGCCCCUAGUGCUAAAGUGGAGACCCGCACUAUCGGCGGUUGGUCGGGGUACAUUCAGAAGUACCGUGGGAAAGGAUCUGUCACCAUAAAGGAACAAACCACCUUUCUGAACAUGUGGCUGGACAAGUUUGUAUUCUGUGGUCGAUCGGCAGGACCGACUUCUGUCUACCUAUCGGCAGCAGAAAGACUGGCUAACGGUGGCCGAUUCCCUCUCGGCCGAUACUUGCUUGGCGCUGCUUACCACCUUCUCCAUCAAGUAGCCCAGAAACUUCUGCUCGGCCAAUCCACUGGCAAUUUGGGAGGCCCCUAGUGGUUUGUCAACAUGUGGCUCAAUCUGCAUUUGCACAAGCGUCUCAACUUCAACCUGUUCACACAGCGUUUCCCAAGAGAUAUAGCUGAAAACCAUGUAUUGGGUGAAGAGGAAUCGGCAACACGCGCCCCCUUGAACUUUGGUGAAGCUGUCAUAGUUCUGCCUGGUUCAGGGGGUAAUCCAGAUCAGAUCGGCCGAUUCUUCCAGACUCUGUAUAAGGGUUUGACCAGAGACGAACGACCAUGGUUGGCUUAUGAUGACCCAGAUAGCAUGCUCCCUCUGACCUUCAAUCCAUUUGAUGAAGCUCUCGACAGGGACAAUGAGGUGAUGAUGGCAAUUGUGACUCCCAGAAUCAUUCCAGUGAAUUUCUUUGGUAGCACAAAAACCUCCCCUCAAACUUACGAAUUUUACAACCCAUCGGCAUUAGCUCGCCAGUUAGCUUUCGGCCAGUUGCCGAUUGCACUUCCUUAUGCCGAUGUGAUAAAACCCAGAGAAACUAUCAACAACCUUCUUGAGUGGACUCGUGCAGCCCAACUACCACCAAACGCCGAUAUAGAUGUAGAUCUGUCAGAAUGGGUCCCGGCUGCUUUUAUCACUCAGGCAUACAAGUUAUGGUGGGCAGAAUGGAAAGAGCAUCUGUUCUGUAAAUCGGCACUUUCAUUCCGCGGCAUGAUUGACUCCGAAUACGAAGUUCCUGAUGACACUGUAAGUAACUCAAACCAACGUUUCAUUUUCUCAAUAUUACCUCCAUCGGCAGCUUACCGUUGUAUUCCUUUUGCAGGUUGAUAAUAUUCCUCCGUUGGUUAGCAGGAGUGGCAGGUCGAUCGACUUGUUUCCAUCAGGCCCGACUUCCUCAAUCGGCCACAAUGCUCCUACUCUAGCUUCCAUCGUGCAUCGGGGUGUACGUCUCAGGAAAGUCACCACCAGAAGAACCCAGACAUCACCAACGGUAGCUGCUCCCACUCUCGCGCGGGCUUUCAAGGCAAUUUGUCAAAUCUUUUCCUUUAUGCUGACCAUCUUUAUAUCGGCUAUAUUUAUGCUUAUAAACUCUUGUUCAUUAUUGCAGCAAACCGGCGCAUCGGCGAAAACCAGGCGUGAGAGUACCGAUGCCCCCCAGUCUAGCCAACCCAAGAGAAAGGGCACCACGGGUGCUAAGACUGGAACAAAGCGCCAGAAGGUAGCAAUCCCCCCUCCUCCUCCGGUAUCUCCAAUUCCGGUGGAAUCUUCUCCUUCUUCUCCAGAAGCCCAGCCACAGCAAGCACCAUCUCCCCCACCUAUGCGGGAAGCACCACAGACAGAAGAACCCCAACAGGAAGGAUCUCAAACAGAAGAUACAUCAGUUGACAUGGGUGAACAAACAACUGGCCCGGUGGGUCCAGUUAUACCAUCGGCAGUUCUCCCGGUUCAGACAACCGUUGUCCCUCCUCCAGGUAACAUACUUUAACAAUAUCGCUACCGAUGAACUUAUUCUUAUUUAGUCUCAUAACUCCUUUUGUCUUCUUUCAGUUGAUAUUGUUCCAUCCGCAAUCUCAGCCGAUCAACCUGUAGCUCCAUCGGCAUCUUUGGCCGAUCAGCCUGCAGCUCCAUCAGCACUUCUCAGUCACAGACAAGAGAUCGCCUUGAAGCAAGUAAGUCACCGUUUACCGUUAGCACUAUUUGCCGAUUCUCUAAGUAUGAGCUAAUUUUGCUUUCCCUCCCAGGAACAAGAUUCUCCCGAUAGCCUGUUCUCCUUCGCCAUCGAUUUCUCUGAAGAAGAAGGUGAAGAAGCAAGCACUUCUCAGACGGUCGGCAUCACAUCGGCAGAGGUCAGGGUCAGGCUGGAAGAAUUGUCAGCUCUCCUUCACCAGGACACAGCGCAAUUGGUUGAUGAUUCCGACCCUACCAAGACCCUGUUCAGAACUCUCAGAGGCCAAAUCCCAGCCGAUGUUGAAGAAAUCCUGUUCCAAGCCGCUCAUCUGGAUAGUCGCCAGCUGCAGUACCAAAGAGCUUCUCGGCGGCUUGCCGAUAGAGCCGCUCAGACUCAACUCUCCGAUGAUAUGAGGAAAGAGAAGCUUUUGACCAAUGAGAAGCACAAGAACAUCGGUAUCCUGAGAUCUUCUGGAGACGCGCUGAAGCAGAAGAUAUCCGAUCUAUCGGCAAGAAAAGAGUCUCUGUUGGCGGAGCUCAAGGAAGUAGAGAACGCUCUGUCCCAAGCCCAACAGGAAGAGAGCCAAUUGCCAGAGACCAUCAGGCUUCUUGAGCGCGAGCGAAAUGCUCCUGGUCGCAAAGCACUCCAACUGAAGAAGCUGAAGCCGAUAGAAGGUUCUGCCGAUGAUGACAUCAAGGAGAUAGAAGCAGCCAACCAAAUUCGGCUACGCGCUAUAUCGGCAAUCUAGACGCUGCUUAACACAUAGAGUUUCCAUCGGCAUUGUAUCCUCAGCUUUUAGUCUAGCCGAUAGGACUGUUAUCGGCGCCUAAACUUUUGAAACACCAAGUCUUGUCCCCAAGCAUUUGGAUCCAGCCGAUAGGAGUGUUAACGGCACCUAAACUUCUAUGCAUCGACCCAUAUACUGGGGUAGUACUUCUUUAAAUAUUUGCCGUUUAAUGCUCUGGGAAAUUCAAUUCCUUCGAGGGUUUCUAGAAUGUAGGCAUUACCAGGAGCCGAUCGACUUAUCCGAUAAGGACCCUCCCAAUUAGGAGACCACUUUCCAAACUUCGAACUUUUGGUCCCAAUUGGUAAAAUUACUUUCCAUACCAAAUCCCCAUCGGCAAACUCUUUAGCCUUCACUUUCUUAUCAUACCAUCUAGCAACUCUCUUCUUAUUUUCUUCUAUACUCAUUAAAGCUUUUAACCGAUGCCCUGCUAGAUCAUCCAAUUCAUCGGUCAUCAAAGUGGCAUAAUUGUCGGAAGUUAAUUAAUCUUGAAAAGACAAUCGCCUAGAUCCAGCCUUAAUUUCCCAAGGCAACACUGCAUCAUGUCCAUACACCAAUUGAUUGGGUGAUACCUUGGCCGAUGUGACUUUCUUCAAAGGAAUAGCUUCAACCCACUUAGUGAAAUAGUCAGUGGCAACUAGAAUGAACUUAUGCCCUUUGCUAGAUGGUGGAUAAAUCUGGCCGAUCAGAUCGAUGGCCCAUCCCCGGAACGGCCAAGGCUUUAUUAUAGGAUUCAUAGCCGAUGCGGGUGCUCUCUGGAUAUUACCAAACUUUUGACAACCUUGACACCCCUUGAAAUAUUUAAAACAAUCUUCAAGUAUGGUCGGCCAAAAAUAUCCAUUCCUUCGAAUCAUCCACUUCAUCUUAAAAGCUGACUGAUGCGCUCCACACACUCCUUCAUGGAUUUCCCCCAUCAAACCUCUAGCUUCAUCAUCACCCAAGCAUCGGAGAAGAAUUCCGUCGAUAGUUCGAUAAUACAAUUCAUUUUCAAGGAGCACAUACUUGGUUGCUUGAAAUCGAACCCGUCUUUCAACUUUUUUGGAUGGAUCUGUUAGAUAAUCAAUAAUUUCUUUCCUCCAAUCACCGGCACCGACUGCCGAUGUCGCAUUAAUCAUUGGCUGAUAUCCCGAGGCAUGCUGAGCUAACCGAUUAGCGUCUUCAUUAUGCAAUCGGGGAACAUGCUCCAAUCGGAAAUCCUUGAAUUCCUUUAACAGUUGCAUACUUCUCUCGAAAUAAGUUAUGAGAACUUCACUUCGGCAUUCAUAGCUUCCGGCCAAUUGAUUUAUAACCAACAUAGAAUCCCCGAAUAUUUCAACAGCAUCAGCACGAACUUCUCUUAACAACUCCAAUCCCUUGAUCAGAGCUUGAUACUCAGCCUGAUUAUUUGUUGAUGUGGCAACAAUCGGCAAGGAAAACUCAUACUUCCUCCCCUUAGGGGAAACUAAUACAAUGCCGAUUCCUGCCCCCCGGUCACAGGUAGAUCCAUCAAAGAAGAGCGUCCAGGGUACAAUUUCCAAGGUUUCCACUAGACCGCAAUGCUGAGUCACAAAAUCGGCCAUAAUCUGCCCUUUGACUGCCUUAGCCGAUUCGUAACGCAAAUCGAACUCCGACAGCGCUAAAAUCCAUUUACCGAUCCUACCACUCAUAAUCGGCAUAGAUAGCAUGUAUCGGACCACGUCAUCUUUGCAAACAACAGUGCAUUCGGCCGAUAACAGGUAAUGUCUCAGCUUGAUACAUGAAAAAUAUAAGCAUAAGCAUAAUUUCUCAAUGGCCGAAUACCUGGUUUCAGCAUCAAUCAACCUCCUACUCAAAUAAUAAAUUACCCUUUCAUUCCCUUCAAAUUCUUGGACUAAAGCUGAACCGAUAACCGAUCCAUCGGUAGAUAAAUACAAUCUGAAGGGCUUCCCUUGUUGAGGUGGAACUAGAACUGGAGGAUUUACUAGAUACUUCUUGAUUUCAUCCAGAGCCAACUGCUGUUCUUCUCCCCAAAUAAACUCUUGAUCGGCUUUCAAUUUAAGAAGAGGACUGAAAGCACGAAUCCUACCAGACAAAUUCGAUAUAAAUCUCCUGAUAAAAUUUACCUUGCCGAUCAAGGAUUGGAGCUCCGUUUUGUUGGUAGGGGCCACUAUUUUAUUGAUGGCAUCAAUAGAUCUUCGACUAAUUUCAAUACCCCUCUGAUGUACCAUGAAACCAAGAAACUGUCCUGCCGAUACACCAAAUGCACACUUGUUGGGAUUCAUCUUCAAUCCAUGCUUCCUUGUGCACUCUAACACUUUUUGUAAAUCGGCAAGAUGCUUUGAGAAAUCUCCAGACUUAACUACCACAUCAUCAAUAUAAAUCUCUACGAGCUUGCCGAUGAACUCAUGAAAUAUAAAAUUCAUAGCCCUUUGAUAAGUAGCACCAGCAUUCUUCAACCCAAAAGUCAUGACUAUCCAUUCAAAUAGCCCAACAUGACCAGGACACCUGAAUGCGGUUUUUGGAAUAUCCUCCUCCGCCAUGAAUAUUUGAUUGUAACCUUCAUUACCAUCCAUGAAGCUAAUGACCCGAUGACCAGCCGCAGCAUCAACCAGUAGAUCGGCGACAGGCAUUGGGUAUCCACCCAUCGGCGUAGCUUUAUUGAGAUUCCUGAAAUCAAUGCACACCCGAAGCUUCCCGUUCUUCUUGUAAACCAGAACAACAUUGGAAAUCCAUUCGGCAUACCGACACUGCCGAAUAAACUUAGCUUCAAUAAGUUUAGUGAUUUCGGCCUUAAUAUCAGGUAGAAUGUUAGGAUUACAUCGGCGGGCUGGUUGCUGAUGUGGCCGAAAUCCAGACUUGAUGGGUAACCGAUGUUCAACAAUUGAUCGGUCUAAACCAGGCAUCUCAGUAUAAUCCCAAGCAAAGCAAUCUUUAUAUUCCUUUAACAAACUAGUCAAUUGUAGCUUACUCUCAGGAUCUAAUUUAGCACUAAUGAAAGUAGGCCUAGGCUUAUCACCACUACCUAUAUCUACUUCUACCAAAUCAUCGGCCGAUGUGAAUCCCUGGCCUAAUUUCCCAUCAUCGGCGAAUCUAUCCAUUAAAAACCGUCGUCAGAACCGACUGCUUGGAUCGGUGGAAUCUCAUAAUCGGCAACUUUGAGAAAAUCUUUCUCCCAAACUUCUCCUAAAAUGCACCUGGUCCUUUCGUAAGUAUCCGCUUCUGCUGAUGCGAUAACAUAAGAAGAGUCUCCUGGGACAAUCUCAAUCUUGUCACCUACCCACUGAACCAAGCACUGAUGCAUUGUAGAUGGGAUACAGCAAUUGGCAUGAAUCCAAUCUCUUCCCAAUAAUAAGUUGUAAGCACCUUUUCCGCUGAUCACGAAAAAAGUUGUCGGCAAGGUUUUGCUGCCGAUGGUCAACUCUGCACAUAUCGCCCCCUUGACUGGAGACACGUUUCCUUCAAAGUCUUUGAGCAUCAUAUCGGUCUUGGUCAAAUCUUGACCCCCUUUCCCAAGCUUCCGAUAUACUGCAUACGGCAUAAUAUUAAUAGCAGCUCCACCAUCAACUAGGAUCUUGGUCAUUGGCUGCCCAUCAACCCUUCCUUUGAGGAACAGAGCUUUAAGAUGCUGCCUCUCGUCAUCGGCAGGUUUCUCAAAGAUAGCCGUCAUCGGAUCUAGAGCCAACUGAGCUAUCUGAUCAGAAAAUUCCAACUCAUCAUCACUGGCUGGUGCAAGAAAUUCCAUCGGCAACAUGAAGACCAUGUUGACGCCUGCCGAUGGACCUUCCCUCUUAGUGUCUGAUGGCUGCCGAAUUCCAGAGUUCUCUCCCUUGUUUAGCUCUUCUUGCCUUUCACGUUGCAAUCUCCUUUUCUGUGUCUUGGUUAAUCCUCCAGGGCACCAUGGAGGAAGUGGCCUUUGCCUUGCCAUCGGGCGUCGGUUCUCCCUUGACUCCAUACGAUGCGUGUUAGCAACCCUGCAAAAUAUGAAUUCAUCGGGAACCCGCGCAUCAGCCAUUCCCUCGAGCUCUUCUUGGUUCCUGGGAAAAUACUGGACACGGUCACUAAGUCUGUCGUGCCCGCUAUAUCUGCCCCCUAGCCGGUCAUGAACUGACACCCUUCUUCUGAUCGGCCCAUUAAAUCGCCGUUCAUCAUUAUGAUAAUGCCGAUCGAUCCUAUCGUACCGAUCAUAACCGUUGCACUCAGGGCAGUCUCUGACAGUAGGAAGCUUGAUAUUCUCCUCCCAACAAUGGAUGAAGAAUGGACAAUUCCAAUGAUCCCUGUGCCGAUUCCACUCCUGUCGGCGUCUUUCUUCUUCCCGUCGAUAAUCUUCCUGCUGGCGCCGAUACCGAUCUUCCCGUUGUUGCCAUUUUUCUCGAGGCCUUCUAUGAGUUAUGACGAUACCAGAUCGAGGAAGCCUUCCUGAGCUAGUUCCUUCCUGGACCAAGCCCUUACUUCUUGCAUCGGCAGUAGUAACUUGAUACUGAGGAUCUACCGAUGCAUUCUUCUCAGCUGUCUCCGAUGUUAAGACCUUAGCCUUCCCCUUAGCAUCCAACAUGUUUGUCGGGAAAGGAUGUUGGUCUAUCUUCAUCGGCUUCUGGGCUUUGGAACUGUCAAACUUGAUUCUCCCUGACUCUAUAGCCGAUUGCAGCUGCUGUCUGAAUACUUUGCACUCGUUGGUGUCAUGGGAAGUUGCAUUAUGCCACUUGCAAUAUCUCAUCCUCUUCAACUCUUCUGCCGAUGGGAUCACAUGGUUAGGUGACAGUUUGAUCUGACCUUCCUGAAGUAGAAAGUCAAAUAUCCUAUCGGCCUUAGCAGUGUCAAAAGCAAACUUUUCUGGUUCCUUCUGCCCAAAAGGACAAGACAUCGGCUUCUUGUUUUUUACCCACUCUGCCAAACCGAUUACUGGUUCUUCAUCAGAAUCUGAGCUUGUUGCUUCAUCGACAAAUGACACUUUCUUAUUCCAUGCUCUCUUAGGCUCAAAAGGCUUGAUGUCUUGAUCAGAAAUCCUCUGCACCAAAUGACUUAAACUUUCGAACUCCUGAGAGGCAUACUUAUCCCUGAUAUGUGGCAACAAACCCUGGAAAGCCAAAUCGGCUAGCUGCCGAUCAUCCAGAACCAGGCUAUAGCAUUUAUUCUUGACCUCUCGUAUCCUCUGCACAAAUCCCUCAACCGACUCAUCAUUACGUUGCCUCAACUUGACCAAGUCGGUGAUCUUCUUCUCAUGAACCCCCGAGAAGAAGUAUUUGUGGAAUUGCUUCUCUAGAUCGGCCCAAGUAAUUACUGAGUUGGGAGGUAAUGAUAUGAACCAAGUAAAGGCCGAUCUAGACAAUGAUGAUGAAAAUAGACGAACCCUCAAUUCGUCCCUAUUACCAGCCUCUCCACAUUGAAUAAUGAACCUGUUGACAUGCUCCAUGGUUGACGUGUCGUCCUGUCCGGAAAACUUUGUAAAAUCCGGUACCUUGUACCGAUGUGGAAGCGGGAUCAAAUCAUACGCGGGAGGAUACGGUGUCCGAUAAGAAUAAGUGUUGACUUUGGGUUUUAUCCCAAAUUGUUCCCUCAUUACUUCAGCAAUCUUAUCGGCCCAAUAUGCAUCGGCAUCUUGCCGAUGAGGCGGCUGCGGAUCUGGCACUUGGUGGCGAACCUCCACGUGUCUGUUCGGGACGUGAUCUACACGGAACAUUGUAUUGAUCACCUGUCCUCCAAUCUGCGGACCACCAAGCUGCUGUCCACCGAUUGGCUGUCCUCCGAGUUGUUGUCCAAAAUUCAUUGGCUGGUUGGGAAUCCCCUGACCUUGGAACCCGGGAUAGACCUGCCCUUGCUGGAACCCCGUAGUCUGGUAACUCUGCUGGGGCGAUUGUGGAAAGGCUUGCUGUCCAAGCCAUCCAUUAUUAGCGUUCAUCGGCAUAGGUGCUGCCGAUGAUUGGUAAUUGGGUACCGUCGUUGAAUUGACAUACCCCGACUGGGCCAUAGGCCUCUGUUGCAUCAGCAUUGACUCUGCCGAUGCGUUGGGCAUCUGGAACAUUGAAUCUUGAGGAUUUCCAGUGUGAGGCCUCGCAGUAGUAGUUGUGGUAUACCGAGGACUCUGGUUCACCGGCGCAUUGGGGGGUGCCGAUGUCAUAGGAGUUUUGCCCCUCAUGUCAGUUAUUUGUGAUGUUCCCGGCGUCAACUCUGGAGGCAUACCGUAUCCCCACCAGUUGGGAGGAAGAGUCAACCCUGACAUUGCUGAUGCCAACAUAUCUGUUGUCAAUUUAUGCUGCCCAACUGAAAUUUGUGGGUUGGUUGCCAUCGGCAUAGAUAGUGCACCAGUAGUCCCCAAUGUACUUGGAGGGACGGCAGAUUGUGCACUUGCAUUCGUCAAGGCAGCCGAUGGAGCCGUGACCUCUGGUGCCGUUGGUUGAUGAUGGGAGGGGCCCACAUAAUCUGGUGGGAUUUGUCCUUCCUUGAAAGUUCUUGCCACGGCAUUGAAAACUGUAUUAGACAGUACACCAGCUUGGUUAAUCAACCAUAUCUUGAAGCUUGCCAGGAUUGGCGUCAAAGGUAACCUGCCGCGGUGCCGGCAGUGCAUCUUUCUGGACCACUUCGCUGCUCCUGUUUAUGCUGAAAGACCUCAGGCAUUGCUGCUUGAACUCUUCCAUGGCUUGGGCAAUAGCUUGCUUCUGCUCAUCCUUGAGGUUGGCCUCCGUCACGGGGAUGACGUUCUCUUGAUCGAGGUCAGAGAUCGACAUGUUGAUCUUGAUCUUGAAUCUGGUCCCACCGGGCGUGCCAAAAGAUGUGUUGAUGCAAAACUGAUCUGCAAACACAAAGGGCUAAUACCCGAUUCAAACGUUAAGGCGUGCCAGCCGAUUUGACCUUACUAUCGGCAAAGGUGAUAACUCGAAUACUUUAGUCCUGACAACAGCGAUGCGCCCGGAUGUCACGGCUAAGAGGUACUCACGCGGAACUCGAGAACACGCCGAGCUUAAGUCGACGAAUUCCUAAGAACUCGUAAUAAAAGGAAAAAGUGUGACGAAGUCGUCGAAAAGUAGAUGCUGGAAUAUGAGUAAAAACGUGUGUUUGAUUGAUUUCUUGAUUUUGAAUCUUGUCCCACCAGGCGUGCCAAAAGACGUGUUGAUGCAAAACUGAUCUGCAAACACAAAGGGCUAAUACCCGAUUCAAACGUUAAGGCGUGCCAGCCGAUUUGACCUUACUAUCGGCAAAGGUGAUAACUCGAAUACUUUAGUCCUGACAACAGCGAUGCGCCCGGAUGUCACGGCUAAGAGGUACUCACGCGGAACUCGAGAACACGCCAAGCUUAAGUCGACGAAUUCCUAAGAACUCGUAAUAAAAGGAAAAAGUGUGACGAAGUCGUCGAAAAGUAGAUGCUGGAAUAUGAGUAAAAACGUGUGUUUGAUUGAUUUCUUUUUUUUAUUACAAGGCCGUAGGGUCUAUAUUUAUACCCUGCUCAAAGAGCUACAACCAGACACGAUUAGAAUUCGAAUUCCAAAUUACACGGAAUCCGUAUACAAAACGAUGCAAAUAAUUAAGGAAAUAACAAAACUAUCCCUCGUGACAAACCGAAACUCCUCCACAUAACGACCGGCAGCUUCCAGACUCCUCCUUUGCAUCAUCGGCAGAUCCUUUGCCAUAGUCAUCGGCAGACUUUCUUAUCUAGCCAUCGGCACCAUAUUACUGCAUGUGGACUUAGUCACAUUCAACUUCCCCCUCAUCGGCAACCAUCCUCAUCGGCAACCCGCUUUGUAAACAUCGUACUGCCACCUUAUCCUGCCAUCCUAGACACGUGCCGAAAAACGGUGUCAACAAUGAGUGAACGUGCAAGUGAAUCUUGAUUUUAACUGCAUGACAAGCUCCUAAGGGUCUACACAGCUUGACCACACUCAAUGCUCAUAAGCAGUAAGAAGUAAAUAUGUGGCUCAAAGUCUAAUAAGUAUGUAUGUAUGGCUGUGGUAUGAAUUUUAAACUCUCAUCAUACAGGAACUCAUCAUGUGUCAUUUUAAAGAUUUUUAAAGAUAAAAUUCUCCAGAAUUCUAGCAUCUCUAGGAAUAGAUAAAUAGCAGCUGAACCUUCCCAUAUCAUAUCCGUUAACGACUCAAACUUUAGAUCAAGUACUCUUCCCACAAGUUCAGGUUUUAGAGCAGGUUUAAAUUAUAACAGUUAUGCCUAAACUUAAGAGAGAGCUCAAACUUGAAAACUAGGUACAUGGCAAAGCAACUAUUUAUCAUUUCCAUGUGAGAGCUUAUCAUGAGGGUUGAUAGCAAACUUUAUUUAUUUAUUUAUUUAGCAAACUAAGCAAAGAUAUAAGCACAAAAUUUUUAUUUGGGUUUUCAUGAUUAUGCAUCUUUUUAUUAUUUGAGUAAAGUAUAAGCGCGAGUAGAAACACUUAGCUGGAUAAAUGGGGGUGCUCUCCCCUAAGCUGGAUUUUGACGUAAUUUCUUCUGAUGUAGCUAGCAGGUGACGGAGGUGUAUUUGAAUGUCGGCAGCACCCUGACAGCGAUUAGGAUGUCCUCCGUCUGCUAGUCUUCUUUGAUUCUUGAAUUCUGUGGAGCUCAAAUAGACAACAAAGCUUUGUGGAACUGGUUAAGUGUUAGCGUAAAUUCUCUUUGCCUUUAUCAUGUUUGAGCUUCCUCUAAUAAAUAUUAUUCUCUUUGGUAGGAUCAUAAAUUUAUUUUUAUAUUCUCUUUUUUAUAGGACAGGCAUAUAUUUGUUUUAUUUUUAUGCCACCACAGUGAAUGUACUUAUGGGUUUUGUGCCAUAAGCAUACUCACAUGGGACUUACUAUUUUUAACAUUUUUAUUUUCUUUUUGAGAUGAUAUGAACCUAAUUAACUAAGCAAACUAUUUUAGAUAAUUGAAAGGAAAAUGAUAACUACCAAGUUUACCUCUUGGCAAGGCGUUCUGUGUUUUUAAGUCCUCCAAACGAGACUCUCCGUUUUUUCGGUUGUCCUGGGAUUCGCUGGAUGGCGUAGUCGGUGGUUCCAGUGGGACCUCCUCUUCGUGUUUAACUAUCUUCUCUCUCCACACCUGACUCGGUGGUACGGUCUCCUUAGCACAGUUCUGUUCAAGCUGUAUGUCUUCAGACCUUACCACUUCUACUUCGUAGUCUGCCCAUCUGUCCUUGAUGAUUUGCCUCCUCUGGUUGUGGUUGCGUCGUCUUCUUCUUGUCUUGACCUGCUUAGAGUCUUCAAUUAUAUAGUUAAGGUCAGUAAAAUAGCGACAUACCUUCACAGAGGGGAAGUGCAUGUGGACUUCUCUGGUUCCAAUGUAGAUGAUUGCUUUAACGGUACUGAGGAACGGUCUCUCAAGGAUGAUGGGUGGAUCAUACUCGUCUUCUCCCAUGUCAAUAACCAUCAACCUUUCUGAAUGUCUGUGCUAUCUGGAGCUGGGUCAUCCUUUUUGGUCAGAAACGGUGACUUAAGUCGACGAUCUUGACCUCCUUGAACUGCAGUAACCAUCUUAGCUGACUCGGUCCACAUUUGCUUGUUUCUGUUCCUCCUAUUGGUCCUUUCCUUGGUUCAUGUCGGGAUUGCUCUGAGAUUUGUGUAGUCUUGUUCUUGAAGGAAAACGUCUCCUUCCUCCCCUUGAUGUAGAGACUUAUCUUGGCAGCACUGGGGUGUACAAGGUACCAACUCGGACACAGAGAUUCUUCAAUAUUCCCUUUGGGAAACUUAGUGUCCGAUCUGCAACCCUGGGUAUAAUGUUGAUGCUGGAGCCAAAGUCGUAGAGUGCUUCUGGGAAGUCCACCAUGUUGAUGGAGAUCGGGAUGACGGGGCGUCCUGGAUUGCCUCUCUGAGUAGGUAGGCCUCUGUUGAUUCCAACCUUGAUUUUGUUGAGGGCGGUUGUAGUAGUAGUAGUUAUUGUUGUUGUUGAUGUAGUUUACGUCCUCAAGCAUCUCAGGGCAGUGAUUGCCUAAGUGUCCAGCAUCUCUAGUGUGUUUGUGCUCAUAGAUCCAGGUUCUUCACUUGGUGGAGUCUCGGAGUUGUAAAACUCCUUCAGGUUUUGCUCGAAGUGUACCUACUCAUAGAGACAAGGCAGAGAUCAAGUGCA